NNNNNNNNNNNNNNNNNNNNNNNNNNNNNNNNNNNNNNNNNNNNNNNNNNNNNNNNNNNNNNNNNNNNNNNNNNNNNNNNNNNNNNNNNNNNNNNNNNNNNNNNNNNNNNNNNNNNNNNNNNNNNNNNNNNNNNNNNNNNNNNNNNNNNNNNNNNNNNNNNNNNNNNNNNNNNNNNNNNNNNNNNNNNNNNNNNNNNNNNNNNNNNNNNNNNNNNNNNNNNNNNNNNNNNNNNNNNNNNNNNNNNNNNNNNNNNNNNNNNNNNNNNNNNNNNNNNNNNNNNNNNNNNNNNNNNNNNNNNNNNNNNNNNNNNNNNNNNNNNNNNNNNNNNNNNNNNNNNNNNNNNNNNNNNNNNNNNNNNNNNNNNNNNNNNNNNNNNNNNNNNNNNNNNNNNNNNNNNNNNNNNNNNNNNNNNNNNNNNNNNNNNNNNNNNNNNNNNNNNNNNNNNNNNNNNNNNNNNNNNNNNNNNNNNNNNNNNNNNNNNNNNNNNNNNNNNNNNNNNNNNNNNNNNNNNNNNNNNNNNNNNNNNNNNNNNNNNNNNNNNNNNNNNNNNNNNNNNNNNNNNNNNNNNNNNNNNNNNNNNNNNNNNNNNNNNNNNNNNNNNNNNNNNNNNNNNNNNNNNNNNNNNNNNNNNNNNNNNNNNNNNNNNNNNNNNNNNNNNNNNNNNNNNNNNNNNNNNNNNNNNNNNNNNNNNNNNNNNNNNNNNNNNNNNNNNNNNNNNNNNNNNNNNNNNNNNNNNNNNNNNNNNNNNNNNNNNNNNNNNNNNNNNNNNNNNNNNNNNNNNNNNNNNNNNNNNNNNNNNNNNNNNNNNNNNNNNNNNNNNNNNNNNNNNNNNNNNNNNNNNNNNNNNNNNNNNNNNNNNNNNNNNNNNNNNNNNNNNNNNNNNNNNNNNNNNNNNNNNNNNNNNNNNNNNNNNNNNNNNNNNNNNNNNNNNNNNNNNNNNNNNNNNNNNNNNNNNNNNNNNNNNNNNNNNNNNNNNNNNNNNNNNNNNNNNNNNNNNNNNNNNNNNNNNNNNNNNNNNNNNNNNNNNNNNNNNNNNNNNNNNNNNNNNNNNNNNNNNNNNNNNNNNNNNNNNNNNNNNNNNNNNNNNNNNNNNNNNNNNNNNNNNNNNNNNNNNNNNNNNNNNNNNNNNNNNNNNNNNNNNNNNNNNNNNNNNNNNNNNNNNNNNNNNNNNNNNNNNNNNNNNNNNNNNNNNNNNNNNNNNNNNNNNNNNNNNNNNNNNNNNNNNNNNNNNNNNNNNNNNNNNNNNNNNNNNNNNNNNNNNNNNNNNNNNNNNNNNNNNNNNNNNNNNNNNNNNNNNNNNNNNNNNNNNNNNNNNNNNNNNNNNNNNNNNNNNNNNNNNNNNNNNNNNNNNNNNNNNNNNNNNNNNNNNNNNNNNNNNNNNNNNNNNNNNNNNNNNNNNNNNNNNNNNNNNNNNNNNNNNNNNNNNNNNNNNNNNNNNNNNNNNNNNNNNNNNNNNNNNNNNNNNNNNNNNNNNNNNNNNNNNNNNNNNNNNNNNNNNNNNNNNNNNNNNNNNNNNNNNNNNNNNNNNNNNNNNNNNNNNNNNNNNNNNNNNNNNNNNNNNNNNNNNNNNNNNNNNNNNNNNNNNNNNNNNNNNNNNNNNNNNNNNNNNNNNNNNNNNNNNNNNNNNNNNNNNNNNNNNNNNNNNNNNNNNNNNNNNNNNNNNNNNNNNNNNNNNNNNNNNNNNNNNNNNNNNNNNNNNNNNNNNNNNNNNNNNNNNNNNNNNNNNNNNNNNNNNNNNNNNNNNNNNNNNNNNNNNNNNNNNNNNNNNNNNNNAUUCCCUUUUCCUAAUACAGACAUGCUCGUGUUAUUCCCAAGUUUCACUGAAUCUCGAAAGGUUCCAUCAAAAUCUAAAAAAUAAUCCUUUUUUCCACACAUAUGAUUGCUGCAUCCAGAGUCAAGAAACCACGUAUCUUCUCGACUAGUUUUGUUUAGAUCCACAUAUGCCAUCAACAACAUCUCCUCUUGAUUCUCUGCGUAGUAAGCCCCUGUCUCUCGGUGUGGACAUUCCCAUGCAAAAUGUCCUAGCUUGUGACAAUUAUAGCACUCCACAGUAGCCUUAUCAAAAGAUCUUCUAUUCCGUCCUCUUCCUCUUCCUCUAUAAUUUCCAUGACCACGACCUCUACUUCCGGAGUGAUCUCCAUGAGUAACUUUCAAAGCCUGUUCUUCUUCUAACACAUGAGAGGUCAUGCGUUGUUCAUGGACAAGAAGACUACUCUGCAACUCAUCUAUGGUUAAAGUGUCUAAAUCUUUAGACUCUUCAAUGGAACAAACAACAUAAUCAAAUUUGGAAGUCAUAGAUCGUAAAAUCUUUUCAACAACAGCAGUAUUUCCUUUAUCCUCACCAUUGACCUUCAUUUUGUUGGCAAUGGCAAGAGUGCGAGAGAAAUAUUCAUUCACAGUUUCUCCCGACUUCAUGUGAAGAAUUUCGAAUUCCUUCAUCAAAGCUUGCAAAUUUCCACGCUUCACUCGUGUGGUGCCCUGAAAUUUCUGCUUCAUAGAAUCCCAAAUAUCCUUCGUAGUCUUUUUGUUUAGAAUUGUCUCUAGGAUAGAACGAUCUAAUGCCUGAAAUAGAUAGUUCUUUGCCUUCAAAUCCUUUAACUGCUGAUCUUCAAUGUGCUUUCUCUGUGCAUCUGUGAGAACAGCAUCUUCAGCCACUGCAGGAACUCCAUUCACCACAAGUCCCCAAUACUCCUUGGAACGCAAGAAGUUUUCCAUGAGCAUUGCCCAGUGAUCAUAGUAGCCAUCAAAUUUCGGAAUAGCUGGCUGGACAAAUGAACUCUCUGUCGUCAUUGUUCAAACAGAACACACGUAGAAGACUGCUGCUUCUAAAUAAUCAGGCCCCUAUGAUGGGGCUCUGAUACCAAAUGUUGGAAAUUGAAUAGGAGUAUAGAUGAAGCUGGAGAAAAACAACUUUACUAAAUUGAAUAACAAACUUGGCUAAUAUAUAGCCUUACAGAAAAUAGCCCAUAUCUAGAUAACUCCUAAAAGUGCUGAGAAGAUAACCCUCAGCAAAUAUCAGAACCCAAAAUAAUAGAUAACUCCUAAACGUGGUGGUAACUAACUACUAAAGAUAAACAUAAAAAACUAACAUUAACCAAUAAGAUAAACAUCACAAAACUAACAUAUGGAAUAGGCAAAUGUCAGGAACAGGGAAAGACCAGAAAAAUAGAGCACAAGGGAUAGGAACAAAAUAAUCCCAUACAAGCCGUGUUUCAUAUCCGGAUCAAUGGGCUUAGGUGAGGGUGAGCGCAAUCAAAUGGAAGACAAAACAUGAUUGCAUGUAUUUUCAUGAGGAAGCUUUAAACAGGGCCAAGUUAACAUUCAACAAAAACCAAAUAAAUGAGGAACAUGAACGUGCUAUAAUUCCACAAAACCGACCUGAAGGUCAGCCAAAAUAUACCUGUAGCACUUAAUGUCUAUUCCCCAAUCAACAAAUAGCACUCAACAAUCAGCAGAGAAAAGAAAAGAAAAGCAUGCCAGUUGGAAUGAGUUAGAAACCCAUAAUAAUCAUACCUGAAAAACAAUCCUCCCCAAGAAGCCGUGUCGGAUUUCUAGCUGUUCCACUGGUUCCCUCUUCUUCCCUUUAGCUGCCUUUUCCUCAAGUCACCUCAAAAUCACAACCCUCAAGCAACCCGCAACCCUUUCCUUUUUCAGAUUCUUCUUUUCUUUUCACUCUCAGCACCUACUAUAUCCUUCUUCCAUCGGCUUCCUCUGUUUCUCUCGAACAGCUCCAAGGAAAAAAAAAACUUCUCCCCUCUUCCCUAGCUUCCCCUCCAAGCUAUACUCUAAAUAUUUCUUCUCUGUUUCCAUCUUCUCCCGCAAGCCACCACCUGCUCCACUGUGCACCAUUCCGCCAAUGCGUCACCCUCCAAACCACCACCAUGGGCGAGCCAUGCAGCCGGUUCUCAGCAUAAGGAGGUCCCCCUCCAAAAAUGCAAGGAAAAGAAAAGAAAACAACUCUGCUCGGGCCCUCACCACACGUCCUAUGCUUCUCGUGUGUCUCCAGAAAGAGCUCCCUCCCCCCUACUUCAAAAAAAUGAAAGAAUUCCACUCUCCCGGGUGGUCCUAAAAUAAAAGAAAAGCUAUCCGUUUUUUUGAGGGGGUUUACAACUUUAUUAUUACAUUUUAUUUUUUGUUUGAUGCUUUAAAUAAUUUUUAUUAAAUAAAAUUAUAAUUAUAUUGGUGGAGGGCUAAUUAACUUUGUUUUUAAGUGAGAAAGACAGUGAUAAGGUUGAAGUGGGUUUAAAAAAAUGAAAUAAAAGAAUGAAAAAAAGAAAAAGAAAAAGAAGAUAGAGAUAAGAUUGAGGUGGGUCCGUAAUUAAAAAAAAAAUGAAGAGUAGGAGAAAAAGUGACAAAAGCUUUUGCUUUCUUCCAAAAAAGUAAAAACAAAGGCUAAUGACAUCAUGUGAUCAAACUCUAUACAAGACCCUACUUGAAUAUUUCUAUGAUUUGUUUAUUAAACUAGUCUUAUACAAGGACAAAGUUAAAAAUAACUUUAAAAAAAAUAUUAUUUAAGAAAUUAUUUUCUAAUCUACAUAAUUGCUACAUCUUUUCGACUCGAUUUUAUUCAAUUUCAUUAAAAUGAAAUCAUUUAUUUGAGCCCAAAAAUCCAAAUCCAACUCAUUUAUCUAUAUACUUUAUUGGCAUGGAAUGAGAAAAGUUAUAAAGUGAAAGAAAAUUUGAUCAUAUGAGAGAUUUUCCAAAGUUGGAGCCAAUUCAAUGCUUAGUGGGUAUAACAAAAAAAAAAGUGGAAAUUAGAGUGAAACAACCAAAUUUUUAAGGUUUGAGGGGAUGUCACUGCACCUUCCAUAUAACUGUCUAAGAAUGUGAGAUGUCAUUGCAUUGAAAAUUGAUAUUAAAUCUCAUAAAGUAACUAUAAGAAUUGCUUUACUUAAGUAAUAAAUAUAUCUUGCUUUUUCAUAAAGUUUAUGACCCUAAGUGAAUAAAAUUUUUAGAGUGGGAUGAAUGCAUUUCACGUGAGUCAUGUCCUAGAUAUAUUUUUAGAAUUUUUUAGCAAGAUAUUAAGAGAAACUUUAUGGUGAGUGUUUUUUUUCUAGUUAAGGUGGGUACAGUUUGAUGUCAUUUGUAAACAUAAUUCAAACCCAAUAUAUUUUUUAGGUGUUUGAAUUGAAUAGAUUUGUAUUUAAUUUAAAUUCAUGUGAAUAUAUAUAAUUCAUUUAAUAAAUAAAUUAUUUUUAAAUUAACUCAGAUAACCUACAUUUGACUCGAAUUAACUUAUUUAAAAAUGGUAUUGAUUAACCUAAUAAUAACUUUAAUUUAUUGAACUCAUAUUUAACUCAUUUAAGAUUUGUUUUUCAAGUAGUAUGCCAUAAUUGGGUCAUUAUAUAAUAUUAGAACAUUAAGCAUAUUAUUUCAUUCAACAUUUAACUUGAUUUGAUUAUUAAACAUUAUCUUAUUAUUAAAUUGGUUAAACAGGUUAUGAUGUAUCACCUGGUUAAUAAUUAUAUAGUGUUUGAGUUUAUAUUUUUAAUUUUGAUUAUUAUUCAUGUCAUGUUUGGGUUGAGUUGUUUCGUGGAGUAUCUAACAUUUGAUACAAGACAAACACAAUCCACCAACAUAUUAAUAAAAAAUUACGAGAUAUUAGGAGAGUAAUUUUGGUAAAAGUUAAUAUUUAAUGAUUUAAGAUGAUUUUAAAUAAAAUUAUAUUUAAAUGGUCAAGUCAUAUCAAAUCAUUAACUUAAUUUAUCAAAAUCAUUUUUGAUUUUAUAUUAUAGUAUUAAGUUAUUUUAACGAUCAUACUUAAUAUACUUAAGAACUUAAAUUUAGUCUUAUCAACAUUCUCUAAGGUCUUCUCAAUUUUUAAUAUUUAUUUGAUACAUAUUUUAAAGUAAACAAGUCAAAAUAUAUUAUCUCAAAAUUUCUAAUUCAUACUCCUACAAGAUUUUAAAAUUCAUUAAUUAAUUUGAAAGAAAUUUGUUUUGGAACAUGCAAGUGAUGGACAUAUCACAUAUCUUAAAUUUUUAACUAAAAAACCUCAUAACAAAAUAAUUUGAUGAAUGUUUUUAAGUUUAAAAAACUUAGAACCAUUUCACAAUGAUUUUGGGAAGUUAGAAAUGUUUCCAAAUGCUUGAAAAUGUUUUAAUAACGAAAAUUAAACAUUUGAUAAAAAUUAAAGUUCACAUUCUAAGUAAUUGAUAGUGCUUCUUAUAAUUUUUUCUUUCUUUUCAUUAUAUAUAUAUAUAUAUUAGACAUUGAAAAGGUUUCACCAAUUAAAUGGUGUCACAUUUACAUUUUUUUUUAUAACAUGAAUUGAAAAAGUUUCAUCAAUUAGGUGGUGUCACACAUAUAUUUUUAAGUCUCAUAGUUAAUACCAUUGUACCUUGGCCACAUUUGUUUAUACCUUUGUUUAACGAUUUAGAUCUCACUACAUAUAUUUAAUAGUUUAGAUCUAGACUUCGUCAGGUACCACUACAAAACCUUAGUAUUAUAUAUAUAUAUAUAUAUAUAUAUAUAUACAUCAUACUAACUAGUUUUUUUUUUUUUUUUUAAUCAAAACACUUACAAUAGAAAUGCUACAAAUUAGAAGUGUUUUUAUCAAAAUAGUUUCCAAACCAACCAUAAUAUUUGCAUUAGCUUUAACAUAUAAUAUCUUUUACUUUAGUUGUUGAUAUAGCUACAUAUAAGACCAACCAUUCAUAUGAUAAUUAUUAUGGAUCUUAUUUUAAUUUGAUAAAAAUAUCUACCCAAGCAUUACGCAAAUAGGGAUGACAAUGGGGUGAAAUAUAGACAAGUCAUUCCUAUCCCAAUCUCACCCCAUUUAUUCAAAAUAAUUCUCAUUCUCGUCUCAUUGAAGAAAUUAAAUGGAAUGGGGUAGGUAUGAGAAUUUCCUGUACAUUAUUUUUAAAUUUGUUUAAAUACAUUAAAAUAAAUAUAUUUUAUAAAUAAUUUAAAAUUUAAAAUUUUUUUUAUAACUUAUUUAUUAUUAUUAUUAUUAUUAUUAUCAUUAUUAAAAAUAGGAAAAUAACAAUUUAUAUCUAAUUGAGGCAGGACAAGGUAAUAUCUAAACAUACCCCAAACUUGUCUCGAGUUUUAAAAAAAUUCUAAAAAAUGCUUUUAACUCGUUUAUUUAAAUUUCAAAUUCAUCCCAUUAGGAAUGGGGUGAAAACCCGUCUCAUUGUCAUCUCUAUAUGCAAGUCAUAAAUAUAUAAUAAGAAAAAUAAUAAUAAAAUUAGUAUCUAUUUAGAUGAACUUCUUGUUUUUUGUUUUUAAAAUCAGAAAAUAAUAAUAACUUUUAUAUAAGUGUAGACCCCCUUUGGUAGUGAGGACCCGGGAGGUUUUUUUUUUUUGGGGAUUUUCAUUAUAUUGUUAGAAGGGGUAGGGGACCCCCAGCUGGAGAGGAGCAGAGACGCCAUGCUGAUGAUGAAGGUAGCCACCAAAUGGGACGUGUAGCAGCGGGCAGAGUGGCUUGCGGUGGAAGAUAGAAACAUGAGAGAAAAAGGAUAUACGAGGGGGGAGUCUGACGGGAGAGAGGCAGCCAUUAGGGGAGUCACAGAGAAGGGAGCUUGCUGGUUCCAUUGAUCUUAGAGGAGAACUUACUAGAGAAAGAGAUAACAGAGAAAGAAGACAGCUGCAGGUGAGUUUGGGGUGAGUCUCUUGCUCCCUUUUGAUUCAUAUUCUCCUCAUCCCUUUCUCAUUUUGGUUUGCUUUGCAUUGCUCAUCAGUCCGGGUUGGAUUUCAUGUUGAAUUUCAUUGAUUUUUCUGGAUCACUUGUUUGUUGUCGUUGAUCUUGCCGUUAUCCUUAUGGUUUAGUUUGGAGUUGAUGAGAUCUGUUUCUCACGUAUUUUGUGGCUCUGGCUUGAGAUCUUCCCACCUGUAUCUGCCCAUGGAUACCACCCGACAUGAGGCUUGAUACACUCAUGUUUUUCUACUUUAUUCCUUGAUUAUCUUUCCCUCGUUUUUUGUUGUUUUGGCUCCUAUAUUUGUGAUCCUUUCUAUGAAUGAAGGCCUAUACACAAAGGUUGUUUCUUGUAUUUGAUAAAACCGAUUGAGCCACCCAUGGUUUCAGAUGAAGCAGAGACGUUAACGAGAUGUAUGCUCUGUUUUUAGGAUCUUUUUUCUUCUUUUAAUAUCUGUAAACAGAGAAGCUUGCAUGCAAAGAGUUCAUCAUCCAAAACUGGCAGCGUGUUGGGCCUGAGGUUAAACAAGAGUGACAAAUGUAAGAACAGUGAGGGAAGAGAGCCAUUUUUUUCAAUCACUGGGCUGCCAUAUUUUUAUCACCGGGCUGUUGAUUUCUUUUCAUCACCGGACUGCUAUUCUUUUUCAUCACCGGGCUACUGACUUUUCUUUAUCACCGGGCUGCUCAUCCACCAUAGCAUCAACUCCAUGUCACAGCUGGUUCUUUUCCAUUCGCCGCCGCACCAACUGCACACCCCAUUUUUUUGGUACCUUCACGGCCAUUAGGUAUGUCAGUUGUUUUUUUACAUAUAUAUGCAUAGAGUUUCAGCAACAGUGAAGGCUCGGAGCAUUUUUCCAAGUAGAAUUAUUAUUAUAAUAGGGUAAGUGGUUUGACUUUAUUUACUAGCUCCAACACUUUUUUGGUCUAUAUGGUCAUAUGGAUAUGGUUGCAAAGUAUGGGAUCACCUUAUUAUCCAAUGGGCAAAAUUAUAAGUGGACUUUCUAGGAAGAGACUUAAAAAAAUAGGUUUGUGGGGCCUUUUCUUUCCAUUUAUUGAUUCCUCAUGUUGUGUACACGUUUUGAUGGUAAGCCUCUUUUUAUUUUAUUUCAUUCUAUUAUUUUAUUAGUUUUCUUCAACUUUUGAUGCCCAAAAAUUUCAUUUUCAAAAUUUUAAUCUUAAAAUAAUAUACCAAAAAAAAAAAAAACUCUAGUUUUAAUUUAAUUUCUCAAAGCUCCAAUUCUAAUUUAAUUUUUCAAAAGCUCCGAUUUUUUAAAAUUUAGUUUUCAAUACUUUAACUUCCCAAACUUUAAUUAUUUUCAAAUUUUAAUUUUUAAAAUUCCAUCAUUAGACAAUUCCAAUUUUUCGACUCCCGAAUUUAAUUUUCAACCUCAAAAUUUUCACUAUUCACAUUCAGCUGUUUAAUGACGAUUUUCGUUACUAUUAUUAUCCCGUUCAUUUAUUUAUUCACUUAUUCAUAUAUUUAAAAUCCCAUCUCCAAAUAAUUUCUCAAAAUUUCAAUCUCUAAAUUCAAUCUUCAAUCUUUAAAAUUCUAUUUUUCGCAAUUAUUUACUUAAUAUUUAUUAUUUCAUCAUUAUUAUUAUUCCAUUCCUUUAUUUAUCCACUUAUUUGUUUAUUAAAAUUCCGUCUUUAAAUAAUUUUUUCAAAAUUCCGAUUCCCAAAUUUAGCUCUCUAAAAUUCCAAUUCCUUUCAAGUUUAAUUUCUAAAAUUCUCAUUUUUAUAUUUAAUUUCUAAAAAUCUAGUUUUUCAAGUAAUUUCUAAAACUCCAAUUUUCAAAUAAUCCCUAAGACUCCAAUUUUCAAAUAAAUUUCAAAAAUCCAAUUUUCUCUCAAAUAGUUUUGAUUCCACUCUGGUUUUCAAACAAUCUUAUGCUCCUCUUGAUUUUAAUAAGCGUGAAUGCAAUCUUCAUAAUUCCUAAAUAAUGGAAUUUGUGAUAUUAAUUCGUGCAAGAUUAAUCGGGCUUUGGUGGGGGCCCCACAUACAUGAUUUUAUGAUUGAUUGAUCGAUUGAUCGAUUGGUUGAUUUAUUUGCCAUGCGUGAUUGAUUUGCUAUGUUCCAUGAUAUGUACAUAAUCAACCUGCGUUUGUCCACUAACCCUAUUUUGUGAUAGCGUGUUGUCGUUUGCUGAAUAGGUACGUAUCCACUUCCACUUUGGUUAUUCUCUAUGCAUAUUCUGAUUCUCAUAUGUGCAUGAUAGUUCCGGGUAUCCAUUGAUUUCUUAAUUAAUUGCUAUGAUUGCUCCAUUUUAUUAGUAGAGACCCAUUUUAGGGACUUAGAGGGGUGCUACGGUCUUUCCCGUACCUUCCUGAUAAGUAACCUGACCCUCGUACCCGAUCCGGUUUUUCGCAGACCGUCUUUUUCAAAUUAAGGAGUCAUAUUUAGGGUUUUUCUUUCUUAUUUUGUUUACCCUUUUAAAAAUAAAACAAAAAUAAGUGGCGACUCCAAGUCAUUUCCUUAAUCAAUAAAAAAUCAAUUUUUCAAAUAAAAUCGAGCUCGCCAUCGAGUGGAAAACGCAUGAGCACGAAAUGCGGGGUCCACAAAAAGAUAUAAGGAUACUUAUAUUAAAAAAAUAAUAAUAGUUUUAAAAAUCAUUUAAAAAUUUAAGGUAUUAAAAGAAUUUUACUAAACCAAAUUUUAAAAAAUUUUAAUGUGAUUUUUAAACAUAUGACAUAAAUUUAUAUUUUUUUGUAUAACAUGUUCUACUUUCAUAUAGAAAUUCUAAUUUAAAAAAAAAAAAUAACAGAUGUAUUAAAUGGACACUUUAGCUUCUUAUUUUUUUAGUGGUUCACCUUGCCCCUUAGAUAAGAAGAUUAUGAAAAUUUUCAAUAAUUAUGAAAAAGAUAAAAGUGAAAGACUUUUGACAAAAUUAUGUGUGAGAUGGUGUGCAUCAACUUUAAUUUGGACAAUUAUGUUAAUGGGAAGAUGUUAUCCUCAUCACCUUUAAAUUGUAGUACUUAUUGUAUUUUGGAUAAUUAUGUUAACGGUCAUGUCAUCCUUGUCUCAACUCAUGUUGAUUAUUUAAGUUAUAAGUUAUAGUCACCAUGUCUUAUUUAAACUUUUAUACUAUUUUUUAUUAUUUUUAAAUAUAAAUCUUAUUAAAAUUAAUAUAAUUUAAGAGUUAAUAAAUUAAUUUUUAUGAAUUUUAUAUUAGCAUUGAUAAAAAUUAUAUUUUCAAUUUUAUUUUAAACAUGUUCAAAAGGGGGAAAACAAAAAAAGAAACUAAAUUAUUUUUAUUGAAUUUUAUAAAUAAAAAUGAUUUAAUUUUAAUUUUUAUUUAAUUUUAUAAAAAAAUUCUCAAAUAUAUCCCUAAUUUGUUUAAACUGGUCCUAAAUCCUUCUAUAGUUGUCAUCUCUAAUUUUGACCAUAUAAAAAUUAAACCAAAAUAUAAGAAGGUUGAGGAAUAUCAAAUAUAAAGAGAGGUUGAAAAAAUUUAUAAUGCUUAGAGGUUUUUUUCUUACAAAUAGAACUUGUUUGGUCAUGUGAUUUAAAAAUAGUGCAUUUUUUUUUUUUGUUUUUAAAAAUAAAAAACUGUUUUUAAAAUUUUCUAACAAUGUUUGACCAUUGUUAUCUGGAAGCAAUUUUUAAAAAUAAGGUGAAAUAAAGAACAAUUUUUAGAGAACAAAUAUAAAUUGUUUUCAUUGAUUUUUAAAAACAAAGGGAAAAUAUGAGCCCAUUUGACCAUAUUUUCUUAAACUUGUUUUUACACACUUUUUUUUUUUAAAAAAAAAAAAAGACUUUUUAGAUUAAAAACAUUUUUUAGAAUCACUACCAAAAUGAUUUUAAGUAUUAUCUCACUUCACCUCAUUUAUAUAUAAAAUUAAGUAAAAAUAAUUUAAUUUCCUUUUCCAUUUCCCCUUUUUAAUCAUAUUUAAAAUAAAGUUACAAAUUUACUUUUUAUUAAGAUAGAAUAUAAAAUUUAUGAAAAAUAAUUUAUUUACUCAUAAAUUACAUUUAUUUUAAUAAAAAUUAUUAUUAUUUUUUAAAAAAAAAGCAAAAACAAAAGGUGAAUUGAAGUAGUAAAGCUCGUUCGAAAAAGAAAAUAAAGAGGAAAAUUAGAAAAUAAUAAUAAUAAUAAUAUAAAAUAAAUUUAAAAUUCAUAAUUUAUUUUUAUAUUUUAUUUAAAUCUUAUUUUAUUUAUAAAGAUUAAAUGAAUCUAAAAAUACAUAAACUUUUAAUUAAUUUUAAUUAUAUAUAACUUAAAGUAAAACUAAAUAUUUCAUUAACAUUUUUUCGUAAUACUUGAACAAUCAAACAUAACUUAAAGCACUAAAAAAGUAUUUAUAAAAAAUUUCAGUUUGAUUGUGAUAAAUGUUAAAUUAUUAAUUUUCUUAAAAGUUUAAACUUAUAAGAUUUGAGUUAGCCCCCUCCCUAACAUACGAUCUCAUUUCAUAUAAUUGCAAAUGACAAGACGGGAGAUAUACCAAAGAAUUGUUAAAAAAGAGAAUAGAUAUCAGAUGAAGAAACAAAUAUGAAAAUUAUGGAGUAGUUCAAACUACAACUCCUCUCCAAACCAAACUAUAUUGAUAUAUCAAUUUUUCUAAAUAUUUAAACUUAUAGGAUUUGAGUUCAAUAUACAUAUCAUGUUUUACGAUGAUAUAAAUAAUAAAAAUAAAGUAUAAAAAAUAAAUUUAAAUAAUAAGAUUAAGAUAUAAAAGAAUAAAACUAAGCUCGAACCUAACAUAAAUUAAUGAAACCUUAAUAUAAAUGUGGUAGGAUUUGAUCCAUGGUGUUUGUCUUUUAGGUACUGACCCAUCAACACUAAAACCAGAUUUAUAUUAAUUUAAUGAGAUCGUGGAUUCAGGGUAGAAUGGGACAGGGAAAGAGUCAUGUGAAGAUGAACCUUCGGCAUAUAAUCUUUUAUUAAUUUAAUAGAAAGUUUUGAGUGUACAAGUCCGAACUACCAACUGUUGUUUGAAAAUGGUGUCUUUGGACACAGGUGGAUCCGAUCAAAUUGCGGGACGGAUGGAGCAUCCGGUGAGGGUUUUUAGAUAUGAAAGUCCCAUCAAAUGUCUCUGAUGCAGCCAGUAAAUUAACUUUGGAAGUAACUUCCCUCUUAAAGAAAAGAAUAUGAUAAUAUUAAUGGUUGAAAAGAUCUGGCCAAUGGGUGUCUUCCACGUUGCUGCAAUGAAUUUCACGUAAAUUGAUUGCCAUCUUUUCUAUUCGCGAAAGGUAAACAUGGACACGUGGUCACCGCCCUCUUGUUUUAUCUAGGAUUUGACAUUCAUACAAAUCAUGCGUACAAUCAUAAAAUUAUGCAAGUCAUGCAUAACUGUUUAAUUUAUUCAUUUUUAAAAUGAUUGUUGUUGUGCUGUCAAAACAUCUUCAUCCAUGGAUCACAGAUUGAUGCUUCUUCAUCAUAAUGUUAAAAGAUUACGAUUUUGAAUAUGUUUUUGAAGAUUUUCUGUAUUCAGAUUUAUAUAUAUAUAUUUAGAGUGUUAUUAGAAAGAUUAUUUAUCAAGUAUUUUUUUUAUAUUAUUAGUUAUUUUUUUCUUUUAAAAAAAAUAUUUUUUAUAUUAGAAAUAGUUUAUUAAAACAUUUCAUGGACUUUUAUUUUAACGUGGUUUUUCAUUUACGUGAUUGGUUUCUUGGACGUUUUUCUUUUAAAAGAUAAAUUUUAAGUUGUGUUCGUAAGUACGUCAAAAUUCCACUUGUUUUUCUUCUCUCGAAUGUUCAUAGAUAUUUAUAUUUUGUCAAGCCUUUAUAUGUCAUCCUCUAAUUGGCCUGAUUAAUAAUUAUUUAUAAUUGAAAAUAAGUGUUUGAACUUAGACGAUCGUACUAGUGUUAAUACGACAAUUAUAAGUGUUUGUUCAAAUGGGUGCUUUAAGAAAACGUUAGCUCGGUCAUCAUGAGUGUAGAUAUAUCUAGAUGAGUGGUUGUUAGAUUAGGGAGCAAGUGUGAAUUUGCUACCAUACUCUAUCUACAAGAAAUUGGGACUUGGUGAAUUGAAGCCAACAUCAAUCACUCUAUCUCUAGCAGAUAGAUCAGUGAAAAUUCCAAGGGGGAUAAUUGAAGAUGUCUUAGUUCAAGUUGAUAAUUCCUAUUAUCGAGUAGACUUUGUUGUUCUUGACACAUACCUAAUUGUCAAGGAAACGAAUUAUGUUCCUAUCAUCCUUGGAAGGCCAUUCCUUGCUACGUCAAAUGCAAUCAUAAAUUGUAGGAAUGGACUUAUGCAACUCACGUUUGGCAACAUGAAACUGGAGCUCAAUAUCUUCUAUAUGUCCAAAAAGCUAAUCACUCUGAAAGAAGAAGAAGGUCCAGAAGAAGUGUGCAUUAUUGACACUCUAGUGGAGGAGCAUUGUAAUAAGAAAAUGCAAGACAAGUUGAAUGAAAGUCUUGGGGAUCUUGAAGAAGGGUUGCCUGAACCCUUUGAUAUGCUUGCUACUUUACAAGGUUGGAGAAGGAUAAAAGAGAUUCUACCUUUGUUCAAUAAAGAGGAGGCACAAGAAGCUGCUAAAGAGGAGACCCCAAAGCUCAAUCUGAAACCUCUACCCACGGAGUUGAAAUAUACAUACCUGGAAGAAAAUUAAAAGUGCCCUGUUGUUAUGUCUUCAUCUCUUACUACUCCUCAGGAGAUGUCUCUACUUGAAGUUCUCAAGAGGUGUAAGAAAGCAAUAGGAUGACAAAUAUCUGACUUGAAAGGCAUCAGUCCUUUGGUCUGUACACAUCAUUUAUACAUGGAAGAAGAAGCUAAACUAAUUCGUCAACCUCAAAGAAGAUUGAAUCCUCAUUUGCAAGAGGUGGUGCGAGCUGAGGUUCUGAAGCUAUUUCAAGCAAGUAUUAUUUACCCCAUAUUUGAUAGCCCUUGGGUAAGUCCUACUCAAGUAGUCCCAAAGAAGUCAGGGAUCACGGUGGUUCAAAAUGAAAAGGGAGAAGAAGUUGCUACACGCCUCACUUCAGGUUGGAGGGUGUGUAUUGAUUAUAGAAAAUUGAAUGCUGUGACAAGGAAUGAUCAUUUUCCGUUGCCAUUUAUUGAUCAAGUGUUGGAGAGAGUCUCUGGCCACCCUUUCUAUUGUUUCUUGGACGGCUACUCCGGGUAUUUUCAAAUUGAAAUUGAUGUUGAAGAUCAGGAGAAUACCACUUUCACAUGUCCAUUUGGAACAUAUGCCUACAGAAGAAUGCCUUUUAGUUUAUGUAAUGCACCUGCAACAUUCCAACGAUGUAUGCUAAGUAUCUUCAGUGAUAUGGUGGAGCGAAUUAUGGAGUUUUUCAUGGAUGACAUCACCAUAUAUGGAGGUACAUUUGAAGAAUGCUUAGUCAACUUGGAAGCGGUUAUGAACAGAUGCAUUGAAAAGGACUUGGUGCUCAAUUGGGAGAAAUGUCAUUUUAUGGUACAACAAGAAAUUGUCUUUGACCAUAUCAUCUCCGAGAAAGGCAUUGAAGUUGAUAAAGCAAAGGUGGAACUUAUUGUCAAAUUGCCAUCCCCAACAACUGUAAAAGGAGUAAGGCAAUUCCUUGGCCAUGCAGGGUUCUAUAGGAGGUUUGUAAAAUAUUUCUCUAAGUUUUCAAAGCCUCUUUGUGAACUUUUGGCUAAGGAUGCUAAGUUUGUAUGGGAUGAGAGAUGUCAAAAGAGUUUUGAUCAACUGAAGUAAUUCUUGACAACGGAUCCAAUAGUGAGGGCUCCCAACUGGCAACUACCCUUUAAAGUGAUGUGUGAUGCUAGUGACUUUGCUAUAGGAGCUGUGCUUGGCCAAAGAGAAGAUGGAAAGCCCUAUGUGAUCUACUAUGCAAGCAAGACAUUAAACGAAGCAAAAAGGAACUACACAACCACAAAGAAAGAAUUGUUAGCUGUAGUGUUUGCCUUAGACAAGUUUCGUGCUUAUCUAGUAGGGUCUUUCAUCAUUGUUUUCACUGACCAUUCAGCCUUGAAGUAUUUAUUGACAAAGCAAGAUGCAAAAGCAAGGUUGGUUAGAUGGAUUCUCUUACUACAAGAGUUCAAUCUCCAAAUCAGAGAUAAGAAAGGAGUGGAGAAUGUGGUAGCUGACCACCUUUCAAGGUUGGCUAUAGCACACAAUUCCCAUGUCUUACCUAUUAAUGAUGACUUUCCAGAGGAAUCACUUAUGUUGCUAGAAAAAACUCCUUGGUAUGCUCAUAUUGCUAACUAUAUAGUUACUGGUGAAGUUCCAAGAGAGUGGAAAGCACAAGACAGGAAGCAUUUUUUUGCAAAGAUUCAUGCCUAUUAUUGGGAAGAGCCUUUUCUUUUCAAGUAUUGUGCAGAUCAAAUAAUAAGAAAGUGUGUCCCUGAAGAAGAGCAAUAAGGAAUCCUCAGCCAUUGCCAUGAGAGUGCAUGUAGAGGCCACUUUUCCUCCUAGAAAACAACCAUGAAGGUGUUGUAAUCAGAGUUUAGUUGGACAUCACUCUUCAAAGAUGCCCACACCAUGUGUAGGAGCUGUGAUAGAUGCCAAAGGCUUAGGAAGCUAACAAGAAGAAAUCAAAUGCCUAUGAACCCCAUUCUAAUAGUUGAUCUCUUUGAUGUUUGGGGCAUAGACUUCAUGAGACCUUUCCCAAUGUCUUUUAGUAACUCUUAUAUCUUGGUGAGGGUGGACUAUGUUUCUAAAUGGGUUGAGACAAUCCCUUGUAAACACAAUGAUCACAGGGUGGUUCUCAAGUUUCUUAAAGAGAACAUUUUCUCAAGAUUUGGGGUGCCCAAGGCUAUAACCAGUGAUGGAGGUACUCAUUUUUGCAACAAACCUUUUGAAACCCUAUUAGCCAAGUAUGGGGUGAAGCAUAAGGUAGCUACACCUUAUCACCCUCAGACUUCCGGGCAAAUUGAGCUAGCAAACAGGGAAAUCAAGAACAUAUUGAUGAAGGUGAUGAACAUGAGCAGAAGAGAUUGAUCUAUUAAGCUCCAUGAUUCACUAUGGGCAUAUAGAACAACUUACAAGACUAUUCUUGACAUGUCUCCUUAUCGCCUAGUUUAUGGCAAAGCAUGCCAUCUUCCUGUGGAAGUUGAAUAUAAGGCUUGAUGGGCAAUCAAGAAGGUAAACAUGGACUUGAUCAAAACUGGGGCAAAGAGGUGUUUAGACCUUAAUGAGAUGGAGGAAUUAAGAAAUGAUGCCUACAUCAAUUCCAAAGUUUCAAAAUAGAGGAUGAAGAGGUGGCAUGAUCAGUUAAUCUCCAACAAGGAAUUCCAGGAAGGACAAAGAGUCUUACUCUAUGACUCAAGGCUCCAUAUCUUUCCUGGGAAGUUGAAGUCAAGGUGGAUAGGCCCUUUCAUUAUUCACCAAGUGCAUCUCAAUGGAGUGGUGGAAUUACUGAAUUCCAACAGCACUGACACCUUUAAAGUCAAUGGCCAUCGUCUCAAACCAUUCAUCGAGCCAUUCAAGAGAGAUAAGGAGGAAAUCAACCUCCUUGAGCCACAGAAAUCCUAAUCAAAUAGGGGUUAGAUGGACUUGGUCUCACCAAAGUCCAUAUUUUUUGUUUAAUUUUGUUAAUUUAAUAGCUUUAUUAAUUGUUUUGAUUUUGAUCUUAGUCUUAAUUUAUGUUAUUUGUAUAUAACUUAGACUUUUUGAAUGAUCUAAUUGAGGAGGACUUGCAAAAGAGGUGAAGGAAGGUCUCAAAGAGCUAAAAGGAGCUUAGAAGUAAGAAAUUUCAGUUGUUUGCGAAAUUUCGCAGCCCAAAAUAGAUUCCUGCGAAAACGGCCAUCCUUUGCAAAAUAAUUUCGCAGCCACAAGGUGCCCGCUUCGAAAUUAAGGGUUUGCUGCGAAAUAGGCCCUCCUCUGUGAAACCAUUUCGCAGCCCCAUAGCCACACCUUGCGAAAAUUUUCGCAACUGCGAAACCCACCUUUGGCACACAAGUUCCAUUUCGCAGCUACGAAAACCUCUUCGAAACCACCAAGGCCCUCAAAAGCUCAUUUUCGCAGCCCAAGCCUCAUUUCGCAGUUGCGAAAACCCCUGCGAAACCCCUUUGGCACAUGAGUGCCAUUUCGCAGCCCCUCUCUUUUCGCAGCUACGAAAUGGGCUGCGAAAAUGGCCAUUGGCUGCGAAAAGGGGACUUCGCUGCGAAAUAACCCCUCAUCUGCGAAAAAUUCCAACCAUCACUUGGCUUCUAAUUUAACUUUUUAAAUUCCAAAUUUUCACUUUACACCGGUCAUUUGCCUUGUGAAAACCUCCAUUUGGUGCAAAAUAGAGGCCAAGCCAGAGUACCAUUUCUAGAGGACCUCCGUCUGAGCCCAAGCCGCGCGCAUCUCUGGCCACCCUCUCUCAAACCUCUCUAAAUCAGCCAUGGAAAAAACCCGAUGAGCCAAGACCUCAUCUCCUUCAGGCCGCCCCAGAGCACUGAGAGUGGCCCCUGUGUAAGGCUCCAUGACUAAGCCUUCACAGCCACUUGUCGUCCCACCUUCAGUAGAGGACGCACCAUUGAGUUCUCCUUCGAGGCGAUAUGAGACGAGAAAACCACCCACCACACCAGGGGCAAGCUCCUCUCUUGCCAAAAAGUCAAGUAGCCGUCCUCCUAAGAAGAAAGCAAGGAUAUCAGCUCUACUUGAGCCAUCAGAGCCUUCAUCCGAGCCUCAGCCACCUUAGCCACCUGCCAUAAAGUCUCAGAUUCCCUCUAGGAUGACUCCUGAGGUGGUUAUCAGGUGGCCCAUGGUCACUCAGUCACCCAUUGAGGGUAAUUUGGAUUGUCGGGCUAGGCCAUUCCACUCCGAGCUUUGCUUUGACAAAACUACCUUCAGGCUUCAGCCAGAGCUCAGAGAUUCCUUCCAUCUACUACAGAGAUACCAUAUGGAGUACCUGAUGACUCCUAGGGAUUUCUUCUAUCCCCGUGUAGCAUUAGACUUUUAUCAGUCUAUGACUACAUAUCGCGUUCGGGAUCCUACUGUCAUCCACUUCACCAUUUACGGACGCCAUGGUAUCCUGGGAACCAGACAUAUAGCAGAGGCCCUACGCAUUCCCUACGAGCCAGCACGUCCAGAGUGACAUGGUCCAUAUACUGUCCAGAGGAGCAUCCACACGUCCAUAUCUGUUGAGAAAGGAGCUCCCUCCCAGCAUGUUCUUUAUAGAUGCACUUCUGCGCUAUAACAUCUAUCCACUUCAGCAUAUGGUGCAGAGGAGAGGAACUUUGCUAAAGGUCUUAUUCAGGAUAUCAAAGGGAUUUUUCUUUGGCCCUCAUCAUCUCAUUAUGACCGCUUUUAUGUACUUUGAAAAGAAGGUCCAUAGGAAGAAGCUACUGAGAGAGGAUGUCAUUCCACUUCUAUUCCUGAGAUUGCUCUAUCAGAUUUUGGAGCACUUGGGAUAUCCAUCUGAGCCUCAGCUUGAGCGCAGACACAUUUGUUGAGAGAUAUUCACUCUCGACAAAUGGACUAGUAUGACAACUUAUGAUGUAGAGCCAGGAGCCCCAGCUGGACCAGAGCAUCCAGAGAUUCCACAUCCAUAGCAUUUAGAGGAGCCACAACUAGUUGAAAUACUUGCUGACAUGAGAGCACCUGCCUUUGAAGUGCCCUCUACAAGACUUAUGCUUGAGGUUGCACCCUCUGCUCCUCCUGCCACACCAGGGACUCUACCAGUUGUACCAACUACAUCAGAGCCUCCUUCUCCAUCUGAGUCUAGGAUAGCCAUAUCCAUUUCCGAGUUCAGAGGCCUAUGUCACACUUUGCAGACAUUGAUCACUUCUCAAAGCAUCCUGACUCAACAAAUGACAGCCAUACGUGCCCAUCAGGAUCAGCUUAUCGCCACCUAUACCCAGCAUACUGCCAUCCUUAGGCAGAUACAGCAGCAUCUGGGAGGUACCACUUUCUCUCUGUAAUUUCAAUCGCUCUUGCCACAUUGAGGACAAUGUUUAGCUUGGUUGGGGGGAAGAGAGUUGAGGAAGGAAGUUUUUAUUUUAAAUGCUAAGUUAUUUUGGUAAUUUAGUUGUUAAUGCUUAAUUUAAAAAAAAAAAUUAUAGUUUUUAUUCUACUCUCCAUGGUUAUUAAGGAAAAAUUCUCAAAAUAAAAUGAGAGAAAUUGAAUUUUUGUUUUUCACUUGACUUAGAGUUUGUAUUAUGCUUACUAAAGUUGAUAAAUUGUUGAAACUUCUAUUGAAUUCAACCUUAGUUCUUCCACUUUAAGCUAUUCACACAUUGUGCACAAUAGGUUCCGAGUAUAAGAUGAAAAACUAUUUCCCUCUUGACUUAGGAAAAUUUUAGACUUGGUACCUUUGACCUCAAUUAAUAGUGUUGGGACACCUUAUAAAAGGCCAAUGAGCCUUUGGAAAAAAAAGAAAAAAGAAAAAUGUUUGCUUACCUUGAAACUUGAGCAAGGUCUGAAGGAUAUAUGGUGAAAAUCUUUAAAACCUGGUGCCCUAAGCCUUAAUUGGUUGGAAGUCACCGACCUCAAUGCUCGUUACAAGGGUGAAUAGGUGGAGUUUAACAUACUGUAGGUGCUUGGGUAUUAAAAAUUCAUUCUCAAAAGUCUGGGAUAAAAUCCGAGGAGUUAGUGGUUGAAAGAUCCUUAAAGCUUGAUGCCCUAAGCCUUAAUUGGUUGGGAGUCAUCGAUGGACCCCCAUUACAUGGAAAAUUUAGAAAAGGAUACCUUUAAGCCUUGUACUCCUACAAUGAAAAAAAUUGUGAAACAAAAGGGUGCGUUCUUAGCCUAUUGAAUUUUGUCAGUUUGCUAAGUGUUGAAAAAAAACUAGGUUGGGGGGAGAGAUUAGUUUAGCAUACUAUAUUCAGAAACUAUCAAGUAACACUUAGAUUUUUGUGGAAGAGUAAGGAUUGGACCUUUGAAAGUGGAAACAAUUUUAAAGCUUCAAUUUGCAUAAUGUCUUCUCUUUAUGAAUUGUGAUUAGGCAAGGUAUUUGAUAACUCUUGUUGAAAUUUGAGUUUUAUAUCUUUAAUGUUCCAUGUGAGAGUUAGAUCAUCAUGCCACUUAAAAUUUUUUUGAAGUGAUCAGUAUGAUUUUGUAAAUUAUAUUACUGUUUAUUUUACUUUUUCUCCCCUUCAUUGCUAAGGGACUAGCAAUAUGUCGGUUGUGGGGAGUGAUUACUACUCAAAAAGUGUUAUUUUGUAGCUUGUAAUUAACUCUUUUAAACAUUUUUGAGUAGUAGUUAUUACCUUUUAACUCAAUUGGCAUGUUAAGGACCCUUGUAAUCGUUUUUAAUCAAAUUGUGUUAAGUUUUGGUGUUUUUGAUAGUAUUUUGAUCACCAAAGCAAUCCAAGAUUGAGGAGAUUUAUAUAGAAUCCAUGUCAAAUCAAUUGGAAGCUCAUUUACAUGAAGAAUCCAAGCUUUGAAGCUUCAUAGUCAUUUGCCAAAAGCAAAUCAUGAAUACAAGGAGGGAAAGAAAAGAGAAAAAUCUAACAUGAAGAAUUCAAGAGGAUAGCAAUUGUUGGACAUAUUUAGAGCACUUUCUGGAGUCCAUUUCAUGCAUACUAUAUGUCGUUUGGAAGCUCAGGAAGUCAGGAAUCCAGGCUUUAAACAAUACACAAAUCGGAGUUGAAAUGAAAAAGUUAUAGCCAUUGGAAGCCAAUCAUACCAAGUUGAAGGCCAAUUUCGCAGCUGCGAAAUCACAAGGUGCUCGCUGCGAAAUCAACAUUUGGCUGCAAAAUGAAGACCUUCAGCUUGCGAAAUUUCACAGCCCAUCUUGCAUGCCUACGAAAUCCACCUGAGUGCUUCCAGAUAUUUGCGACCGACUCUUUUAGAUUUUUUCUUCAGAUAUUUGUUGUUUAAAUCCCCAUUUUCUCCUUGUAAUCUACCAAUCAUAGGAUUCCUUAGUUAAUAAGUAAGAACAAAGGGUGAAUAACCUCAUAUAUAUAGUUUGUAAUUUUCUUUACAAAAUCAUCUUGGGAGCUUGUUCUCAGAGACAACCGUUUGUAUAGUUUUGAAGGAAGUAAUAAACAGAGCUUUGCUCUGCCUUACAUACUCACUUUGAUUGUAUUUUUCUUAUUAGUCAAACAAGCUAUAAGGAUGUUUUCUCAGAGAAUGAGUGGCUAGACUUUUUGUCUCUUGGAGUUAAGGGAGCUGGGUAAGGUGCCGAAUGCAAGAAUUGGAAGUUUUGUUGUUUCAGCUUUUAAUGAAGAGAAAGUGUGACCCGUUAAUGGUUUUUAUCUUUUUAGUUAACUUAAAACGCCGUUAAAUCACCUGGGCCAACACUUGGUAAGGCAAGUGAUCUCCGUCCAUUGAGAUGCACUAGUUUAUCUCUUGCGAGCCUUUGAGAGGUGGUUUAAAGGUAGGAUUUUCUAGAAUAGCCAACACUUGGUAAACUUUUGGACUCUAAGGAGACAUUCAUUAGUUAUUUCUUGCGAGCUUAAGAAGGGAAAUCCAAGGUUAAGGAUCACCUUGAAUGGCUAAUACUAGGUGAGAGGUAUGAACCAUUGCAAGAUGAAUCAGUGAGAGGGAUUUAGUGUUGGAAUCCAUAAAAGGAAAGCAUCUGUACCACACCGGUUAGAGAAAUAACUAUAUGUUAAUUCUCCAAUGCGAGAAAAAGAUUCAAGUGACCGAAACUCUGUUUUUGUAUUAGGAACCUGACCCUAGUGAUCCUAAAACUCCAAGAAACGCUUUUCUUUAUUAGUAAUUUCAGUUACUAUUAUUUUUGGUUAGCUUAAAACCAAUCCUUUUUCAACCAAAGAUUAUGUUUUCUUUUAAAGCUAACCUUGAAAUGAAAAAACAUCAAUUCAACUUUGAAUUUAUGUCAAUAGUAAGUUGAAAACCCUUCCCAGUGAACGAUCUUAGAGCCACUAUGCUAUACUAGCUGAGGCUAUCCUAGUACAUGGUGAUAUAGGUUAUAAAUUUUGUUGAUUACUCCUGUCUGAGGACCAAAAUCAAGGUACACCAGCUAGGCACGAAAAUCAUAUGGUAUAUUGAUGCACACAGUUUGUGGCACGACAGUUUGAUGAAAUUAUAGAAGUGUAGCACUCAUGGGCAUAUCAUGUGAACCUUAUUCAAUGUGGCAUUGACAGUUGGUUUAUAUUUACAUGGGUGUAAUGUCGCACCAGUAUCCUCUAAUGAACCUUGGAUUCUUUUUUCUUUGUUUCUUCCUCUCUUGGUCAAGCCAAACAAUUUAUCUUCAUGACUUUCUCCUAUUACCAAAAAGCAGCAUCUUGUGUUCUCCAUCUCUUCAUCCCUUUGUCAAGACACAACAAUUUGAUGCAUCUUUGCAUUAGGUUGCUUUCUCUCCUUCCCCUCUUCUUUCUCCUCGUCUCAUUGCUUAGUUUUGGCUACUUUGUUUCUUUUGAUCAUUAUGGUAGAGCAUCCUUGCAAGAUGUACAAGAAAUAUGUUGUGGUGCAUUAUCCCCUUCUCUACCACUUGAAAUCUGUUUUCCAUGAUCAUUAAUACCAAGAUGUUUAAGCAUCAAGUAAGGCAUCUCUUGACAAUUAUGCGAGAAAUAAGAGACAAGCAACAUACCGGUAUUCAAGAGAAGUGAUGUUCUACAUUUGCAUUUGACAACAUGCAUUUAGUUUGAACUCCAAAUUUGGGCAACUCAGAAUCUCCACCUUCAUUAGGAUUGUAGAAAGUUAGCUUCUUGGAAAAAUGUGGAAAUGAGGCAUUUAGAAAUCUGAAAGAAUCACAAUGGCUUGUUGCUACUUUUGAAUAAUUCCAAUCAGUAACAACUCCAAAGAUAUAUAUAUAUAAAUCUGUCCCUGGGAAAGAGAUCGAUGUUUCUUAGGCAUGCAACCAUCUCUCUUAACAAACUCAGGGUUCUACUAUUGUGUCACGUUUGAAAGCAAUUUAAUCUAUGUUAGAAGUUUUUUUUUAAUUUAUUCCAUUUUUCUUUUAGUUUUGAAACUUACAAUUAUACAUUGUAAGGUUUCAAGUUUAUCUAGAGAUAUAAAAAGUUGGAGUCGAUGUCUUAGUGGUAGGUUUCAUAAGAAAUGUAGUUAUUCUAUGAAUAUAACUUUGGAUUCUAAUUUUUUAACUUUCUAAUAUUGUAGCUCUUUAGUAGGUCUCAUAGAAAAUGAAAGUUGUGGAAAAGUAUAAUAUGGACUCAAUUUUUUAUUUAUGAGGUGUUGUUACAACACCAUUAAGUAAUUACCUUGAAAAUGAUAUGUUGUUGCAUUGAAAGUAAUAUUAAAUUUAAUGGAGAGAUAUCUAAAUAAAAAUAUCACCUAAUUUUUAAAACAAUAUUAUGAUCUUACUAUUAUGUCAUGCUAGAAAACAAUUUAGUUAUUUUGUGUUAGCAUUUUUUUUAUACAUUAUAUUUUUCUUUUUGUUUUGAAGCUUGCAAUUGCAAAUUGUAAGGUUUCAAGUUCAUUCGAAAAUAUGAAUAGUCGAAGUCAAUGUCUCAGUGAUAGCCAGUAGGUUUCAUAAGAAAAGGAAUUAUUCUAUGAAUAUACCUUUGUGUGGACCCCGCAUUUCGGCUCAAUGCGUUUCCCACUUGAAUGACGAACUCGAUUUUUAUUUGAAAAAUGAUUUUUAUUGAUUAUUUAAAAAUGACUUGGAGUCACCACUUAUUUUUGUUUUAUUUUUAACAGGGUAAACAAAAUAAGAAAGAAAACCCUAAGUGCGACUCCUUAUUUUGGAAAAGGUGAUCUACGAAAAACUGGAUCAGGUUCGGGGGUCAGGUUACUUAUCGGGAAGGUACGGUAAAGACCGUAGUACCCCUCUAAGUCCCUAAGUCAGGUCUCUACUAAUGAGAUGAAGUUGACAUGACAAUCAAUGGGAAAAUCAAUAAAUACUCGAAUCAAUCAGGCACAUAUGAGAGUCAGAGAAUGCAUAUAAACUAACCAGAGUGGGAAUGAGUGUGUACCUGAGCAGCGAGCCACUAUGCGCUAUCAAGAGAGAGGGUUAGUGCAAAACAAAGAGCAUAAACAUAGCUCACAUGUCACUAAAUCGAGUACAAAAUCAUCAAAGGCAUGCAUGGCACUUCACUCAAAAUUCAUUUUUAUUUUAAAGAAAAUUUAUUUGAUGUUGGGCCCCCACCAAAGCCCAUUUAUUUUGCAUGAACCAAAUAUGUAAAUUCCAUAACUAGGAAUUACAAAAUUUGAUUUUUGCGUAUUUUAAAAUAUUUUUAAAAACAAAGAAAAUUCAAAAGUGGCUUGCAGGAAAGAAAAUGACAACCAAUUUUAUAUAAAUAAAAAAAAACGGAAUUUUUCGGAACCUAAAAAAAAUGCUAAGGGUAAAAAUGAGAGAAUUGAAAUCCGGAAAUUUAUUUGAAGAAUAUUAUUUGGGAAGAGAAACACUUUAAAAAUUAAAGAUGGUGAACCUGAGGGUGACACACGGCCUAGAGUGACCAUUCAGACCAUGCAAGGGUGGAUAUAGGCUGUCAUUAAGGAGAAAGAUCCUCAGCUGGGUGCAAUUGUGUUGAGAUUCCUCUAUUGACGCUGGGAAUGCCCUCAUUUAAUGAGGAGAAAUCUCAAUGUGAAGUCAGCUCAUCUUCAGUGGAAACACAUCAUGAAGACCUCUGGUAGCUUAGGGUCCUUUUAACUGUGCGCUUUCUGAAGUUCCAAUCAUCAUCGAAUGACCAAUAAAGCUCUCCUCCAUGGAUGCAUAAAGUGGUCAUUCAACAUCCACCUUCACCUUAGCCCCACAGCAACCCUUCAUCUCCUAUGCCUCCAUCUUUACUUUUCUUGAACAGCAUGUACCUCCCUACUGCAACCCAGCACUACCAAGCUUUGAUCCUCUCUCCAAAAACUCAGAGUUCUCCUUCCAAACCUCUCCAUUUGCAUACACCUCCUUCUCCCAUAUCGGAACUGGUGCCUUAAUUUCAUCAAUCACAAACUUACAAGCGUCCAAUGCAUCUGCGCGGUGGACAGAAGAGAUUGCAAUGAAGACGCUGGUUUCCCCCACUGGAACUGGGCCCAAGCGGUGCGCAACUGCAAUGGAGAGGAGGCUCCAGGAUGCGCGGGCGGAUGAACAAAUGUCGUUGAUGCAGAGGAUGGCCAUCGGAACAUAAGCUUCACAUCUCAACUCCAGAACUGUUUUACCAUCAAACGUGUCCCGAGUCGUGCCUGGAAAGUUGCUACAGCGCCUGCCUUGCUCCUCAAAGAAGCAGAUCCAGCAAGUAUUGCUCCUUUCCUUGGAUACAUGUUGAAGACUCUAGCACAUUCAGUGCUUGUUAUCCGGACAUAAUCAAUGACUGAGACUUGGCCAAACCCCACCAUUGUGUCUCAAACUAGAUGCAUCCUCUCCUCAAUACCAUUAACACCAUUAGGAAUUGUUCGGAAAUCAUUAAUUCCAAAAGCUUUCUGUGUGGAAUUGAAGGCACAAUGAUCAGUCCCUACAAGCUGUAGAUUUCCAGUUGAAAGAGCAGCUUGAAGGGCCUUGUCAUGUCCCGAUGCUCUAAUAGGGGGACUCAUUACAUACUUUGCUGCGUUGAUGAAGUCAAGAUCCUAGAGCCCAGAAUCAUCAGGGACUAACCCAGGAACUACUGGCUCUCCCAUAACCCUCUGUCCUGAUUUUCGAGCUUCAGCUAUUUCUUUCAUCGCAUCAAUGCCCAUCACAUGAACUACAUAGAGAGGCGUGUUAGCAAAACUGGCCCACCGAAUAGCUCUAGCAGUUGCCUAGCAGUGGUUGCUUUGGAUGCAUCCCGGAGGGAUUAUCACGACAAAAAAGAGAACACGUGGCAGUUAUAUUGGGUGAGUCAGAAGUUCCAUGGCUUGAAGCUGCAACUGGGUGGAAGAUUUGAUCUGACACAAGUGCAUUUCAUACAGAAGCAGGAGGUGGCGUGGCUUGUAUGCUAGAAGACACCAUGUGCCCCUACAUAUUCUGACGCAACCUGGAGAUCCUCACUGGACAAAACUGCUUCAAUCCCAGUGAGAGGCAAGUCCGUCGCCCCUUCUUGAAAUUUAGUCAUGUCCUUGUAUCGACUAGCAAGGUGCUGCCUAACUGUAUCUGUUGAAAGCUAAACUGCCUCAGCCAUCAAAUAACUAGAAGGAAGCUCUAGAUAUAGAGCAAUGCAGAUUCAAGUGCUGUGGAUGAGUUCCUCGAGAGUCUACCACAACGCCACAUACAUGAAGCAACCUCAAGUUUAUCAACAGUCAUCAGCAUAUUUCAGCAAACCAAGAGCUGUACUUGUAGAUAGGGUAUUGACACACACGAAAUUCAAGAAUUCCACGAGAGCAGCUUCCUUAGAGGCGUCAAUUCAUAAAGUCACAUGCUUCUGCUCUGACUCCCAUAAAUUCUCGCUUUUUUUAUUCAUCAGAUAUAUGUGAAUAACGUACCUAGGGCCACCCGAUGAGCUGCUAUAGUUGCUGUUAUAGAUGAUAUGACAUUUGACGUUUAUGGGCCUCGGAGACUUGAGUACUUAGCUUUCACCAUACUUCGCGAAUCCUCAUCACUUGAGAACCUCUCAUCAUCAACCUUGCCUUUGGGAAGAUGACCUCCAGUGCAUGCAAGGCGGGGGGAUAAAUAAGAGAGGUGGUACGAUAGGAUGAGUUUAGUGGGAUGAAGAGAGAGAGAAGGUGGCGGGAUGAAAUGGGCAGUGAGUAUGGAUGUCGCAGCUGAGUUUGGUACCCAGAUGGACUAAGUUGGCAGUGAGGUGGUGACGGCGGAGGCGUUUCGCCGCCGGCGGCUUCGUUCGAGGACAACUUCUCAAUUCCUCAAUCAACCCACUUUAAAGCAUCAAGAGUAAUGGAGCACUUGUCUUCUUGAUCCCAACACACAAUAUCCCAGUGACAAUGAAAACCAGAAUUGUUGUGCAUGGAUUAACCACAAUACCAAGCCAAGAACAGGUAGCUUAUCCUCGCCUCCAAAAAUAAAGCCAGAUUCAGAAAUAUGUCACGAGCAACAACUGAGCUAUCAAUUAUGUAUUCCAAUAUUAAUGCCCAACCAAUCAACCAAGCGAUGCCUUCUCCCACACCUAUGUACAAAUAAUGAUAGGCUCUACCAACAGAUGAACAAUGUCAUGCAAGCCCUGCACAACAAAAAUGUGGAGAGCACAGCAGCCGAGAAUACUUCCUUUGUACCCUUCAGCUCAUUUUCUGCUUGAACAAUUCCUCCUCCUCUCAUCCUCAGAUGAUCUCUCUUCUUUCAAAGGUAUCUCUUCUCUCAAAAUCCAUAUAAUUAACAAGAUCCAGGAACAGGGGUGGCCUCAACCAUUAAAAAAAUGCAUGAAAACAGGGCACAAAGGGAAACAAAUAAAAAGGUCCUCAAAGAAGGCUUCACAUCAUGAGUUUUCCGGGAACCUUCUCGGGUUAGGGUGAGGAAUACAGUAUCGAAUGCAAAUAAAUGACAGGACUCUUGGAUAUUUCACAAUCAGAGACAAAGCAUACCAAGGCUAACAAUAUGAAUCCAAGACUAUAUCUCAACAAGGAAUAGGUGGCCUUCAUUAUCCACCUCAAGCAAGACAACUAACACUCAAAUAUCAAUAAAAAAACGGGUAGGAAUAAUAAGAAUGUGAAUCAAACCAUAUAUCAGUUGCAUCCAUACCUGAAAAUGCCCUUCUGCAGUAGGGUCUUGUUAGCCUCCCCAGCUCCAGGAAAGGCUCCUCCUCCCUCCCAAGCUCUCUGUUCUCUCUGGAAAACUCUCACUCUCUGGUUCUUUCUCUCUCAAGUUCCCCUUUUCUCAAGUUCACCGUCCCCCCAGAAACUCUCCUCUCUCUAAAAAAAAAACUCCCUCUCUCAUAAUCUCCUCCUGCUGAAAAGGCACCCCCCCUGUUCCUCUAGCUGGCCUGCUGCUCCUCAACAGAAACGUACCUCCUCUCUAACGGCCAGAAUAUCUCCAUGCCACGUGUCAAACUCUCACUCGCUCCUCAAUUCCACCAUCUGUUUCUAUGACCACCAACCACGAGGCGACACGUGGCUCCUUGAGAGCCCUCCACCUGCAAAGAAUUAUAACCUGUAGAGAUGCAAAGGAAUGAGCCCCAAAUGGGGUCUACACUUUGAAUUCCAAUUUUUGAACUUUCUAAUAUCUUAGUUCAUUAGUGGGUCCCAUAGAAAAUAAAAGUUGUGGAAAAGUAUAAUGUGGACUCAAUUUUGACUUAUGAAGUGAUGCUACAACACCUUCAAGUAAUUACAUUGAAAAUAAUAUUAAAUUUAAUGGAGAUAUAUCAAACAAAAUUAUCACCCAUUUUUAAAACAAUAUUAUGAUCUUGCUAUUGUUUUACGUUCAAAAGCAAUUUAAUUAUGUUGUGUCAGAAUUUUUUUUAUUUAUUAUUUUUUAUUCCAUUUUUCUUUUAGUUUUGAAGCCUGCAAUUGUAUAAUUUUUUAACUUUCUAAUACUAUAGCUCAUUGGUAGGUCUCAUAGAAAAUGAAAGUUAUGAAUAAGUAUAAUGUUGACUCAAGUUUUGAUUUAUGAGGUGAUGUUACAACAUUGUCAAGUAAUUACCUUGAAAAUAAUAGGUCAUUGCAUUGAAAGUAAUAUUAAAUUUAAUGGAGAGAUAUCUAAUAAAAAUAUCACCUAAUUUUUAAAAUAAUGUUAUGAUCUUAUUAUUGUGUCACGUCGGAAAGCAAUUUAAUUUAGCAUUUUUUAAUAUAUCCCAUUUUUCUUUUAGUGUUGAAGCUGGCAAUAUCUCAGUGGUAGCUAGUAGGUUUCAUAAGAAAAGAAAUUAUACUAUUAAUAUACCUUUGGAUUUCAAUUUUUGAACAUUUCUAAUGUCUUACUUCAUUAGUGCAUCUCAUAGAAAAUGAAAGUUACAAAGUAUAAUGUGGACUGAAUUUUUUACUUCCUUCAAGUAGUUACUUGAAAGUGAUAUAUUAUUGUAUUUUAAAAUAACAUUAAAUUUGAUGGAGAGAUAAUUAACAAAAUAUCACUCAUCUUUUAAAACAAUAUCAUUAUCAAGUUGGAAAGAAAUUUAUGUUGGUGUUAGAAUGUUUUUAUAAUUUAUUUAUUUAUUGUUUGCAGACGGUAAGGUUUCAAGUUCCUUUAAAAAUGUGAACAAUAAUUAAGAAUUAGAAAUUUUGAAACAUUAAAUGUAUGGUUAAAGCUAUGCUUAGAUGGUUGAAAUUGCUUUAAAAAAAAAAGUUCAAAUUUUAUUUGAUUAUCUUAAAAAAAUAUGAAAAAUAAAUAAAUAUAAUGAAAAUUGUUUAGAGUUUUAUAUUCUUUUUAAUAUUCGUCCUUUACAGAAAAGAUUAAAAUUAAACAAAUAAAUUUUUAUGAGUUUGUGAAAUAUAUUAAAACUAGAGUUUAUUUUUUGUUUUUUCUUUCCUUUCGUAAUUUUUCUUCCCAAUCUUUCCCACUUCGUCCAAACUUUCCAAGAUCUAAACUUUGUACAUGUUCUCUUCUUUUCAAUUAAAAAUUUUUAAAUUUUCAAAUUCAAAUUCCAAGACAAGCUAAUAAAACCCUAAAAUUAAUAUUAAAUACUAAGUGAAUUAAGUCAAGUUGGUAGCUAAAUUGAAUCUAAUCCGAAUUACUUAACCUAAACUCAAGUCAAACUCAUUUUUAUAAGCUGAAGUUAGGUUUAAAUUAACUAGGUUAUACUUUUGGUUCAAUUGAAUUGAUUAGACUCUAUGGAUCAGAAUUAGGGUUUGCAAGGUUGAGUUAGAUUGAACCUAUUCAUAAUUUUUUUUGUUUAACUUCUUUUAUAUCAUAAUUUAAAUAAUAAAUAUGAUAAAAUUAAUUAAAAAUAAUAACAAAAGAAAAGAAUCACCUUAGAAUCACUCUAAUUUCAAAUUGAGGUUUCCUAGCUACCUCAAAAUUUUAAAUUUAAAAAAAAAAAUAUUUUUAAGUGCAUAAACUAAAUCUAUAGUUUUUUUUGUAGGAGUUUUUAUAUUCCAUAUAAAAGUUUUUACAUAGAGACAAGUAAUAAAUAUAUCUUGUUUUUUCAAUAAGUUUAUGACCCUGAUCGGAUACAAACAUUAUAGUGGGAUGAAUGCAUCUUCACUAGAGUUAUGUCUUGACUCCUAACAUAAUUUUAGAAUUUUUAAGGAAAACGACAAGGAAACCUUAUGAUAAGUGCCUUUUAUUUAGGUAUGGUGGAUAAAGUGAUACCAUUUGUUAGUUGUUUUAUUUAUGUAUUUAUUUAUGGAUUUAAUUGAAUAUAAUUUGUGUUUGAUUCAAAUUUGUGAUGAUCUAUAUAAUUCAUUUAAUAAAUGAAUUGUUUUUUUGGUUAAUUUGCAUAAUACGACUCAAAUUGACUUAUUUAAUAAUUAUAUUAAUUGAUCAAAUUAUAUUUUUAACUUAUUUAACUCAUCUAAAAUUUGAUGUUUGAUAAGUCAUAAUUGAGUUAUAAACAUGUUAGGUUAAGACGUUAAUCAUAUAAUAUCAUACAAUAUUUAAUUUGAUUUUAUUAUUAAAUAUAAUGAAAAUUAUGAAAAUUUUCAUGGAUGAACUUCUCGUAGGAGAAAACUAUGAAAAAGAUAAAAAGUACUAGAGGUGGAAAAUAAGACUUUAGAAAAAAUUAUUAGUGUGAGAUAACAUACACCAACUUUAAAGUGUAGCAAUUAUUGUAUUUUGGACAACCAUGCUAAUGGGGUCAUGUUAUCUUCAUGCCGACUACAACUUUAAAAUUUAGCAAUUAUUGUACUUUCGAUAGCUAUGUUAAUGGGACCAUGUCAACCCCAUCCAACCCAUCUUGAUUACUUAAGUUAUACCCAUCCUAUACUAUUUAAAAUUUUCUAUAUCCUUUUUAUUAUUCUAAACCUUAAUUUUAUUAAAAUAAAUAUAAUUUAUGACUAAAUAAAUUGGUUUUCAUAAAUUUUACAUUUUUAUGUGAUAAAAAGUAAAUUUGUAAUUUUAUUUUAAACAUGUUCAAAAAGUGGAAAUGAAAAAAAAGAAAGAAAAAGAAAACUAAAGACUCGUUUUACUAUGAUUUUUGAAAAUUAUUUUUAAAAAUUGUUUUUUAUUCUUUAAUUGAAAAAUAAAUUUUAAAAACAAGUUUCAGAAAAUAUGAUCAAAGAGCUCAUAUUUUCCUUUUGUUUUUAAAAAUUGAUGAAAACAACACCUACUUGUUUUUCUAAAAAUUGUUAUUUAUUUAAUUUAAUUUUUAAAAAUUGUUUCAAGAGAACAACCAAAUGAGGUGUUAGAAAAUUUUUUAAACAGAUAUUUGUUUUUAAGAAACAGCUUUAUAUAAUUAUGUAUCAUCAUUAUACAUAAAUGAGGUGGAGCAGGACAAUACUCAACCUCCUACCAAAACCAAGCCGAGUUUAAAAAAGAAUACUCCAAUCCUUCCCUCAUAUUUUUUAAACCUCUCAUAAGCCCAUCCCUAGUUGUCAACUCUAACUUUUACUAUAAAAAUAAUAAAUAAAUAAAAAAUCUAUCGUAUACCAUAAAAAAAAAAAGGAAACUGUAGUAUUAAAUAAACAUUUUUCUUUCAAGAAUCAUCUUCUUUUUUUAAUUAUAUAUCUUAUAACUACAAAUAUUUUCAAAUUACAUUUUUGGUUUGUAUCUAAACAUUAACCACUAUCAAUGGAAGCAUUACACGCUAAAAAUACAUUUAUGAGAAUUAAUUCCAUAAGUUCUAUUUAUCAAGUUUUUAUUUGCUUUUUUAUACUAUAAUCUUCAUAAUUGUGUGAUUCAUAUUUCUAAAGCAAACUAACAAACCUAUUACGUGUAAUCUAAUAAGUUACAUUUCUACAUUUUUUCAUCAUUACACACUUAUGUUCUCGUGAUAUAAUCUCUCAUUGCUAGGUUUCAUAAGAAAAUGAAUUAUUCUAUGAAAAUGACUUUGGAUUCCAAAAUUUGAACUUUGUAAUGCCUUAUCUCAGUGGUGGGUCUCAUAGAAAAUGAAAGUUGUGGAAAAAUAAAAUGUGCACAUAAUUUCUAAUAAACUUGGACUUUUGGCUUCAAGCACCCUUUAUAAUCUUCAAGAGAUACCCCACUCUUGAACAACCUCUCAAGUGAUACCCCACACUUGAGAAUCUUCCUCUCAAAGAUAUACAAAUAAUUGAUCUCGCAAAAUCCUAGUACAAAAACUUUAAGCUCAAAUGAUACAAGAAAACUAAGAUUGAAAGGUGCACUAAUGAUAUGCAAGUUUUAGAACAAUGGUGCACUCAAAACACUCUUCCAAGACUCAAAUAUAUUCAAGAAAGGUUUGGGAAGGUUUAGUUCCUGAACAAUGAAGAUUUGAAGCCUUUUUAUAGAGGAGAAAAGCCAAACUAGUCGUUGGGGGUUCGACCGGUUGAACUGGGGGUCGACCGGUUGACUAGCCGUUAGCAUUUAAUGUUUGGCACGUGACCGUUAGACCUCGACCAAACCUCGACUGGUUGAGGUGUGGGUCGAAUGGUUCCUCAUUCGGUUGAAUAACCAUUCUAGAAGAGAGAGAAGGUUUUUUACACCCGUCAAUUGGUUGAGCUAGCGAUCGACCAAUUAUUGUUCACACCCUUGACCAGUUGAACUGGGGGUCAACCUGCUCCUAGACCAGUUGAGCUGGCGGUCGACCGGUUCCUCAUUUGGUUCAACCGAUUGAGCCGUUUUUGGCUCAACAACUAACUUUUUCAACUUAAAACAUUUUAAACAAGUUUGAAAAACAUUUGACACAAGGUUUUAGUUGAAAACAUGAAAUCAUCCAAUUUUAAAAUAUUUAAAGCAAAAUAACUCUUAGAUGAUUUUGGUGCAUAAGUAAAUAAUGUAAUACAUGAAAAUCCUAGUGCACCAAUAACCUUUCAAAGAGAUAUUAUGAAGCUUGGGUCUUGAAAAACACUUCUCUUUGAGGUGGUCUUCUUCUUCAUGAUUUCUUUUUGGCUUGAUUUGUCUUUGUGAUUGUCACUUUGGAAAUCGUUUUACCUAAUCACACUUGAAAUAUAAUCAUUAGUUCUAAACUUUCUUUUGUUAUCAUCAAAAUCGAGAUUAACCAGAUAUUGGUUUCACAAAUAUGACAAACUAUAUAUAUAUAUAUAUAUAUAUCAAUUUUAAAAAAUAAAAAUAAAAAAAAAAUCUAUUUUUUACUUCUUAUAUAAUUUUUUAGAAUUUGUCUUAAUAUUUUAUUAUUUUUUACUUAAUCGAUAUUUUGUGUCAAAAUAUCCAUCAAUAUAUCUCCUAUAUAUUUGAUAUAUCCGUAAAAUCAAAGUACCAAUAUAUUUGUAAUUAUCGAUAUUUUCAUCAUUGAGUUCAUUGCAUGGUCUCUGUGUUCUAUUAUCUAUUGGAAAUGCUUCUCAUUAUAUGUUUUCAAAUGUAUUGGUUUCUACUAACUAUGAUAUAUGCAAAGACGUUAGCUGAGGAGGCUUCUUGGAAGUUUGCAAAAGUGAAUGGGAUUGACAUGGUUACAAUACAUCCAGAGUGGGUGAUUGGUCCUCUCAUAGAGCCUACUCUUAAUCUAAGUGUGGAGGAAGUCUGAAGCUACUAAAAGGUACCCUUCAGCAAUGGAUGAGAAUCUCUAUUUUAUGCUGAUCUUUCUACUUCAAUAUCAAUUUAUACUCAUAAUAAGUAGAUAAAAUGUAAUUAAAAAAUCAACAUUAUUUUCUAUUUUUAAAUUAUAAAUAAAAAAAUUAUAUUAAUAAUUCAAAAACUAUUUUGGAAAAUACUUUCUAAAAAAAUGUUCAUAAAUAAAAAUUAUCUUUUACAUUUUAGAAGUAAAUAAUUUAAUGAUUAAAACACUAUUUAAAAUAAAUAUAUUCACUAUUUUCUUUUCUUUUAUACAAAAAAGUAUUUUAAUAUUUUUUUACUAUUAUAAAAUAAAAGGUUUAAUUUUUUUUUGUUAAAUUUUUUUCCGUCCUUAUUUUAAUAACUUUUUGAACAUGACUUUUAGUAAUAAGUUAUAUAAAAUGUUGCUAAGGAUUUUCUUUUAAUGAUUUGAAUUAAUUGAAAAUUUAUCAAAAUAAGAAAAAUAAAAAGAAAGAAAGAUGAUGGAUGGAGAGUUUUAUUUUAAAUAUCCAAUUAAAUUUUUUUCCUAUGACCAAAUUUUAGAAAUGAAUUAUAUCAAUAUAGAGUAGAAAUUGAAAUUUUCUUAUAUAAAAUGGUUGAAAGAUAUAUUUACUCAUUUUAUAUGAAAAUAAGUAGUUAAAAAUUAUAUAGUUAUGUUUGACUUUGGUUUAAAAAUAUUUUUCUAGUUUUUAUUUUUUAAACUAAUUUUUGUUUUCUAUAUUGUCUCUUUUUGAAAAUACGUUUGAUUACAAAAUGAAAGCUAUUUUUAAAAAUAAAAAUUAAAAGCCUUAUUUAGUACUAUUGUUUUAUAUGAAAAUAAUAAAAAGAAUUAAAUUUCAUUUAUUGAUUCUUUUUUUUCUUUCUAUUAGUUGUUUUAAUAAUAAAAUAAAAUAUAUAUAAUAUGUUCAAAAUUAAACAAAGGAAUUGGUCAAUUGUGUAAUUUUUUCUCAAAAAUAUAAUAUAUUCACAAAAAAAAAAAUUAGAUUUAAGUUUUUCACAAUUUUCUCAACCAAACUACUGGAAUCAUGUUUAAUACACCUAUAGGCACACAUUCACUACAUGAUAUGGAAUUUGUGUAAUUAUACAAGGGUAUUCACUAACUGUACAAGGGGUAUACAAGACUACCUUUUGUGAAAGAUUUCAAUCAAUUUUGAACCACCUUUUUAUUUUCCUUGUCACCCAGAGAUUGCAUACUCAUGUCAUGCACUUUAUUUAAUUUCUACAUGAAAAUUUCAAUACUUUCCCCAAUAAUGAUGUUUGGGGAAAAAAAAUUUGAUCCUGAAUCAUAUGCCAUUUUCUCAAGUAAAUUAUUAGAAAAAUGGUUGAUACACUUAUGUGGACACAUGACUUAGGAAGGAUAUGGAAUUUGUACCACUGUAUAAUGGUAUUACACUAACUGUACAAAGAAAAUGUACUAAGUGUACAAGGGUGCACAAGGCUACUUUUUGUGAAAGAUUUCAAUUGAUUAUGAACUAUUCCUUUAUUUUCCUUAUCAUCAAUGAAUUGUACACCUAUGUCAUGCAUUUUAUUUAAUUCCCACAUGGAAAUUCCACUUACUUUCCCUAGUAACGAUGUUUGGGGAAAAAAAUUUGACUUAUGUCAUCUACUAUUUUCUUAACCAAACCAUUGGAAACAUGGUUAACAUACCUAUGUAGACACAUAAUUUAGGAGGGAUAUGAAAUUUGUGCCACUAUACAAGGGUAUUACAUUAAUUGCACAAGUGAAAUGCACUAAGUGUACAAGAGUGUACAAAGCUACCAUUUGUGAAAGAUUUCAAUCGAUUCUAAACCACUCCUUUAUUUUCCUUGUCACCCACGGAUUGUACACCUUAUGUCAUGCACUUUAUUUAAUUCCCACAUGAAAAUUCCAAUACUUUCCCCAGUAAUGAUGUUUGGGGAAUUUUUUUUGACCCUAAGUCAUCCAUUAUUUUCUCAACUAAACCAUUGGAAACAUGGUUAAACACAUCUACGUGGACAUAUAACUUAGUAGAGAUAUGAAAUUUGUGUCAUUGUAUAAGGGUAUUAUACUAACUGUACAAAAGAAAUAUACUAAGUGAACAAGGGUGUACAAGAUUACCCUUUGUGAAAUAUUUCAAUUAAUUCUGAACAACUUUUUUAUUUUCCUUGUUACAUAAGGAUUGAACACAUAUGUCAAACACUUUAUUUAACUCCCAUAUGAAAAUUCAAAUACUUUCGCAAUAAUGAUGUUUAGGAAAAAAAAUUUGACCCUAAGUUAUCCACCAUUUUCUCAAUCAAACCAUUGAAAACAUGAUUAACAUACCUACAUAGACACAUAACUUAAGAGAGAUAUGUACUUUAUUUGCGUCAUUGUACAAGGAUAUUAUACUAAUUGUACAAGGGAAAUGUGUCAAAUGUACAAGACUCUUAAUAGGUUUGUACGAUUUUUAAACAAUUUGGGCUAGACAUUAAGACGAUUAUCAAUAGUUUUUUUUUUUAUUUUACCAAACUAUGUCAUUAAUACUUUCCCUACAAAAAUUAACACAUAGGAAAUAAAAUUAAAAUCAAUCAUGUUUGAAUUGUUCAUUAUAAGUAAACUAAAUGAAAUAUAUAUUUUUACUAUUUUGCCCUAAUAAACAUAAUUUUAUUGUUAUUAGUACAGAUUAAAAAAUCCUAUUUAAAUGGAAUUAAAAAUAAACAAAAAUGAUUUUUGUAACAUUUUUAUUUUUUUAAACCAUUAAUUUAAAUUAUGAAAUUAGUUUUAAAAUUAAAUAAAGUUUAAGUGGUUAAGUCAUAUCAAAUCAUUAACUUGAUUUAUCAAAAUAAUUUUAUAUUUUAUAUUAUAACAUUAAGUUAUUUUAUCAAAUAUACUUAAUAUACUUAACAACUUAAAUUUAUGUGGCGUUUGGUUUUUGGUUGAAUAAAAAAAACCAAAAUAUGUGAUUUCUUUUAUUUAAUUAAAAAUAAUCUAUUGAUGUCAACUGAUAUAACUAAAUUGAACAUAUUAAUUACAAGUUUACUUUAGUUAUGUUGAUUGACAUCAAUGUUACUUUUAGCUUAAUAAAACAAAGUCAAUUUGAUUUUUUCUAUUCAACUAAAAAACAAAUACUGCCUUAAUCUUAUCAACAUCCUCUAAGUUCUUCUCAAUUUUUAAUAUUUAUUUGAUACAUAUUUAAUAAGAAACAAGUCAAAAUGUGUUAUCUCAAAAUUUCUAAUUCAAACUCCUACUAGAUUUAAAAUUCAUUAAUUAAUUUGAAACAAAUUUGUUUUGGAUAAUACAAUUGAUGGAGAUAGUACAUAUCUUAAAUUUCUAACUAAAAAAAGCCUCAUAACAAAAUAAUUUGAUGAAUAUUUUAAGUUUAAAAUAUUAGAACCAUUUCACAAUGAUUUUGGAAAGUUAGAAAUGUUUCCAAAUGCUUGAAAAUGUUUUUAUAACACAAACUAGACAUUUUAUAAAAACUAAAGUUCACAUUCUAUGUAAUUGAUAGUGCCUCACAUAAUUUUUUUUUUCUUUUGGUUAUACAUAUAUAUAGGGUGAACGAUACUUUUUAAGUAGGUAUAAAAAAGGUUCUACCAAUUAGGUGGUGUCAUGUAUAUAUUUUUAAGUUUCAUAAUUUGUGCCUUUGUACCUUCACUCUAUUUGUUUAUACCUUUGUUCAACAAUGUAAAUCUCACCAUAUAUAUUCAAUGGUCAAAAUCUUAACUUCGGUUAGUAUCACUACACUAUCUUAGUAUUUUUUUUUCUCUCUCUAUAUAUAUAUAACACUAACUACUUUUCUAUGAAAAUAUUUACAAUAGAAAUGCUACAUAUUAGAAGUGUUUUUAUCAAAAUAAUUUCUAAACCAACCUUAAUAUUUGUAUUAGCUUUAGUUGAUAUAGCUACUUGAUAAAACCAACCAUUCAUAUGAUAAUUAUUCUAGAUCUUACUUUAAUUUGAUAAAAAUAUCCACCCAAGCAUCACACAAAUCAUAAAUAUACUCCAUGUCUAUUUGGAUAAACUUGUUGUUUUUUGUUGUUAUGUUUUUAAAAUAAGGAGGGAUAUAAGAAUUCUUAAAGAAUUAUAUUAAAAAUAAAAUAAUAGUUUUAAAAAUCAUUUAAAAAUUUAAGGUAUUAUACUAUUUUUUUUAUUAUUUUUAAACUUAAAUUUUAUUCAAAUAAAUAUCAUUUAUGAGUCAAUAAAUUAGAUUUCGUAAAUUUAAUAUUUAGCAUUUAUAAAUAUAAAAUUUUCAAUUUUAUUUUAAACAUGUUCCAAAAGGGGGAAAACCAAAAAGGAAACUAAAUUAUUUUUAUUUAAUUUUAUAAAAAAAAUUCUCAAAUAUAUCCUUAAUUUGUUUAAACUUGUCCUAAAUCCAUCCAUAAUUGUCAUUUUUAAUUUUGACCAUAUAAAAAUUAAACCCAAAUAUAAAAAGGUUGAGGAACAUCAAAUAUAAGGAGAGGUUGAAAACUUUUAUAAUGCUUGGAGGUAUUUUUCUUACAAACAGAGUCUGUUUGGUCGUAUGAUUUAAAAACAGUUUUCUGCUUUUAAAAAUAGAAAACUAUUUUUAAAAAUUUACAACACUGUUUGGCCAUUGUUAUCUGGAAGCAAUUUAUAAAAACAAAGUGAAAUAGAGAACAAUUUUUAGAGAACAAGUAUAAGUUGUUUUCAUAUGUUUUUUUUUUAAAAAAAAAAGGAAAAUAUGGAUCAAUUUGACCAUAUUUUCUUGAACUUGCUGUUUUUUUAAAAUAUUUUUUAGAUUAAAAAUGUUUUUUAAAAUCACUACCAAAAGAAUUUUAAGUAUUAUCUCACUCCACCUCAUUUAUAUAUAAAAUUAAGUAAAAAUAAUUUACUUUCCUUUUCCAUUUCCCCUCUUUAAUCAUAUUUAAAAUAAAGUUACAAAUUUACUUUUUAUCAAGAUAGAAUAUAAAAUCUAUAAAAAUAAUUUAUUUAAUCAUAAAUUAUAUUUAUUUAAUAAAAAUUAAAUUUAAAAAUGAUAAAAAUAACAUAAAAUAUAUUUAAAUAAGAUAGGAUGACUAUAACUUCUAAAAAAAUUCCUUGACCCCAUCCUAUUCUGGUACAUGUUUGGGUUGGAAUAAAAAUUUGUUGAAGUAAUCAAGAUGGGUUGGGAACUUGGGAUGAGGAUAUGACCCCUUUCACAUAAUUCGUCAAAAUUCAAUAAUUGCUAAACUUUAAAGUUGUUGCAUGCCAUCUCACAGCAAUAAUUUUGUAGGAGGUCUUUCCACCUCCACUUCUAUCUGCUUCAUUAAUUUGUUUACACACUGCUUUGCUUUCUACCUCUCUCUCUCUCUCUCUCUCUCUCUCUCUCUCUCUCUCAUUCACUCUCAACAAACCCCUCCUUACUUGUUUAAUCUCUUCCAAAAACAAAUAAAAACAAUUAAUUCUAACUAUUCAAAAGUUAAAAGUUAAUAUUAUAAAUGUAAACUUAAAUGCAAGCAUAUAAAAUAUAUAUCAUAUCAAACUCUAAAUAUAAAUCAUUAAUAUAUUUAAUCAAGUCCAAAUUAUUAAAUAAAAAUAAAAAUAUAUAAAAUGGGGUAUAAAAAAAUAAAACUAAAGCAUACAACAAAAAAAUGAUAUUUAGGUACAAAUAAAUAAAAAUUGGAUAUAAAUAAAUAAAAUCUAAAUCAAAGUGUUAGAAAAUCAUGUACAUAGGAUUUCAUAAUUCUAGUUUAAUGAACCAAAAAUAGAUGUACAAAACUCAUCUUGUGAUAUUAUGAUAGAAAUCACCUUACAUAUAUUGUUUGCAACGCUGCAUCACUUUAGUAGCACCUUGUCACCUUGUAUCGGUAUUAACACCUUGUAUCUUCCCUCUCUUUACUCUCUCAUUCUUAAUCUUUGUAUAAAUGAUAGGAAAGGAGAGCGGGACCAAGAGCUAAGGCCAUUUUCUUUAUUUGUACCUCUAUUUCCUCAGUUUCUUCCUCUUUUGGUCAAGCCAAACUGUUCGGUUUCUCCAUUUCUUCUUCACCCCACUGCAUUUUGGGUUCUCCCUAUAACGGAAGCAUUCUCAAAUCAAGAAAAUCCCUCAAAUCAAGCAACAAAAAUGACUGCAGAUUUUUAGCCUUCAUUCAAGGAUGUAACAGUCCUUAUUUUUCUUGUAAUCGAUAGCCUUAAUUCUAGGAAACUUACUUAGAAUAGCUCUUGUUAACGUGUAUUUAUUUUUUCUCAUACAAUCUCUUGUUACGGUGUAAUAUUUUUCAAACAGAGCAGUAAUACAUUAUUGAGAAAUUCUCAAACUCCAUCAUGGUAUCAGAGCAGCCUUCCUCUCACGAGAACUCAAUCCAUAAUUCUGAAAACACCCACCACCCGAUUUCCACUCCACCAUCCUGAUUCAUCCCCGGCAACGGCGCCAUUUGAUGCGACUCAUGGUAGCUUAGCUUUAAAGGCGUAUCAACAAAAUUUAUACCUUAAAUACUAUUACUAAAGUAGCCAAGCUACUAUAGCAUAGUGGUUCUAGGAUCGUUCACUAGGAAGGGUUUUCGCAAACACAAGUGAUAUUCAAAUUAGGAAAAUAGGUGAUUUUCUUAUGGAUGUUAGCUUUAAAAGAAGAUGUAAAUGUUUUAGAAAGAUUUAAACUAAUCUAAGCUAACAUUAAAGACUAAAAUGAAAGGGUGUAAAAACAAGUUUCUCAAAGAUAGGAUAGCUAUGCUCUGGCUCUUAUGCAAAUUGGAAAUCUCAGGAUAGGCUCCUCGCGUUGGGGUUGCAACUAUGGUGAUGCUUGCUUCCCGAACCGGUAUGGAUUUAGCAAAUCAAGUUUUAAUCCUUUAAAAUGACAAAACAGAUGGUAGUGAAUUUCAUCAAUGGUUAUUCACCUUAGACUUCCUUUGAAUGACUCGUAAGAGAUAACUAAUGGUCUAAAGCCAAAAGCUUACCAAAUAUUGGCAACUCAAAGUCAUUCCAGGUGAUAAACUCACCUUUCAAUGGCCAUUGAAAUUGGUUCUAACGGAUUAAUGCAAAACUUGGAAUUGAAAACCUCACCUUCCAAUAGCUCGUAGGAGAUAACUAAUGGAUAGAAAUCCAAAAGCUUAUCAAGUAUUGGCCGUUGGAAGUUGUCCAAAGGAAAUAAAAACCAAACUUUGCAUUAAUGAACCUUUAAUGAAAAACGACUACCUUACCUUCCGGGUACGAGAAAUUUCCAUGGGAGCAAUCCAAGCCAUCACAUAACAUCCAUACUUUGAGAAACUAAAAGUUUUAGCCAAUCAUCCUCUGAGGAAAAGCCCUCAGAGGCUGUUUGGCUUCCAAGAAAAUAAAAUAGUAAAGAGAAAAGAGAAACGAGAGAGCUCUGUAUAUUUUCUCUAAGUGUAAAAAGUAAUAUCUAUAUUAUAUUCUAUAUUCCAAGAGGUGAUUUCCACCCCUUAUAUAGUCUUUACAAAAGCAAAAGCUUGUGAUUGGUUAGUUACAAGGAUAAGAAAGGAAAUUACAUCACAAAAUACAAAGGAAAAUAUCUAAAGUGGAGUCGGCAAAAACAGAGGAAAAUUCGCACCACGCAUGGGUUAUGCGAAUUUUGAAGGUGUUAUGCGAAUUUCGCAUAACACCUUGUGUCGUGCGAAAUUUUCGCACAACCUGGAGCAGUUGGCUUCCGAAGGCCAUAUCUUCCUCAUUUCAGCUCUAAAUCGUACACGGUUUGAAGCGUUGGAUUCUUGACUUCCAGAGCUUUGAAAUGGUAUAUAGCAUGUAAAAAAUGGACUUCGGAAAGUGCUCCAAAAGUGUGAAAGAAGACUGCAGCUGCUGUCCUAUGAUUUUUUCACUUUGCUUUCCUCUUCUCCAUUGUUCUUUCCUUGCAUACUUUGAACGACUUUGGCAAAGGGCUAUGGAGCUCCAAAGCUUGGUUCUUCAUGAAUUUGAGCUUCCAAAAGCUUUGCCAUAACUUGUCCAAGUAGCUCCUCCAUCAUUUGGCAUGCUUGAAUUGAUUCAUAAGCUGAUAAAAACAUGUAAACUUGCCACAAAAUGGUUAAAACCAAUUACUAAGGACCUUAAUGAAUUAAUUGGGUUAAAUGAAUAUGAUUACUACUCAAAGGUGCUUAAAACCAUUAUAAUUAGGUCUACAAAAUAACACUUUUUGGUAGUAAUCACAUCCCCAACCAAUAUUCCUCUCAUUGCUUUCAACAUCUCUGCUCAAAUAAAUGAAAAACUCACACCAUCAACCUUCCCUCCAAGGAGGAAAAUAUCGGUAAUCACGGAUAUAUCGGUAUUUCGAUUUUACGGAUAUAUCGGAUAUAUCGGAGAUAUAUCGGCGGAUAUUUUGGAAAAAAAUAUCGGUAGACUCAAAAUUGUUAAAAACUCAUUGAAAUGUAAGGAAAACCUCAUAAUAAUAUAAUUAGAAGUAUAAUAGACAUUUUAAAGUUGUUUUAUUGAAAAAAUUGAUAUACAUAUGAUAUAAUUUACGAUAUUAGAUGUAAUUAUAUUAUGUCGAUCUAUAAGAAAUGUUAAUUUUGUAAUUGUUCUUAUUAUAAAGUUACAUAAAAUACUUCAUUUUAUUAAAUAUCAAUAAUUUGUACACAUUACAUUGCAAUGUCCCUUUAGUACCAAAAUGAGGAUCGAUGUGGUUCAAUGGGAUUGAUAGAUGAAGGAACCCCGUUUUGCUGUUAGAGACAAUAUUGGUCCCAACUCAAUAAGCCUCGAUUAUAUUGGUUAAAAAUUCUAACAUGUCAUGCAUAUAUAUAUAUAUAUACAUUGAUUAUUAAAUUACAUCAAAUAUUAUUCAAUAAUAAUAUUGUGAUAUUUGAUUAUAAUAUGUCUAAUUUUAAAAUAUAUUUAAUAUUAAAAUUAUGAUAUAUUUAAUUUAAUUGUAUUAAAUGAUAAUAAAUGUAUAAUUUUUUAAUAUUUAAUUAAUAAUAUAUUAAUGAUAUUAAAAACUUAUUUCUACUUAAUUAAAUGAAAAUUUUUUAUUUACUUAUAAAAUAAUUAUAAUUAAUUCGUAAUUUAAAGGAUUGUUUUAAUAUUUUGUGUAUAUGAACACUUUUAAUAUAUAUAUGUAUGGUGUUGUAUUAUAAACAAGCAGUAAUGUUGCCUGGAUGGUUGCUAGGUGUCCUUUCCAACUUUUGGUCGGGGGUUCAAGUCCUGUGAGAAGCGAAAUGGAGGGCUUUUGGGCAUCAACAGAACAUUUUUAGCUGGUUUGACUCGGUCAACGCUCCGCGUUGACCCGCGUUGACCUUCGAUAUUUCUGUGGCAAAUGUCGUGUCGACAUGUACCGAUACACCGAAAUAUCGGCGAUAUUUCGGCGAAAUAUCCCGAUAUUUUAUUCCCUGCUUCCCUCAAUGGCGUGCCCAGUUUGAAGCUCUCUUAAUUGGCUACAAUCUACUUGAUUAUGUCAUAAGUGACAAUCCUCCUCCUCCUCCGAGUGAUUCCUCUGCUACCAAUCCACAGAAAACCCACUGGAUAAGAUAAGAUAAACUUAUCCCCAGUGCCAUUUUGGCAUCCACCACCUCCACAAUCACCCCAUUCAUUUCCGCUACACAAACAUCACAACAGGCAUGGCAAAAAUUGCAUACCAUGUAUGUGAGCAAAUCUCGUACUCGGGCCAUGCAAUUGAAGGAGGAACUCACAAUGAUUAAGAAAGGGAAUUAGACAGACAGUUCAAGAAUACCUGCACAUUGUCAAGGCUCUUGUUGACAAAAUCUCCCUCAUCGAUCAUCUCAUUGCAGAUGAUGAUCUCACAUUGUACAUUCUCAAUGGAUUGGGCAGUGAUUUUCGAGAAAUCGCGACACCUAUACGAGAAAGGGAAAAACCACUCGCGUUUGAAGAAUUGCAUGAUCUACUCGUAGGCCAUGAUGCCUACCUCCGACGCCUUGAAACCACCACACGGAAACUAGUUGCAUCGACCAACUACUCCAAUCGGCAUCUUGCUUCUUCAUCCGGCGGCCAACAUUCUAAAGGUAACUUCAAUGGGCAACACAAAUACACUCCAAAGUGCCAAAUCUAUGAUGAACUGGGCCACAUUGCAAAACAUUGUCCACGUCUGCGCUUUGUUGAGCCCACUGCCAAUUAUGUUGCCACUUCACCUGCAACAAACCCAAAAUGGCUUAUUGAUUCUGGAGCUUCACACAACAUUACUGGUGAUUUAGCCAAUUUAUCUAUUCACUCUGAGUAUGACGGCACUGAUGAAGUUGUCAUAGGUGACGGUUCAGGUUGCAUGUCUCACACGUUGGCUCAUUGGUUCUCAAAUCACCCACACACACUUUUCAUUUAAAUAAUACUCUUUGUGUUCCUAAUAUUCGCAAAAAUCUCAUUUCUAUCCAUCACUUCACCUCACAAAACAAUGUUUUUGUUGAAUUUCAUCCCUUGUUUUUCCUUGUUAAGGACAAGAUCAUGGGGGCGGUUCUAAUCAAAGGUGCAUGUGAAAAUGGUGUUUACACUCUCUUGGAUUUACUAGUGCAAGAUUCUCUAAAAAUGGUUACCAAUGUGCAUGAACGGACCUCAAUCAAUGGGUGGCACAAGCGUCUUGGACAUCCCUCUCAAAAAAUAGUUCAUCACCUUGUUAAGAAUUUUUAUCUUCCAAUAAUACAAAAAGAACAUAGUUCUCAUUUUUUUACCUCUUGUUCUAUUACUAAAGCGCACAAACAACCAUUUCGGACCAAUAGCCUUCAAAGCCAUGCACCUCUUGAUUUAAUUUAUACUGAUGUUUGGGGUCCCUCAAAUACAAUUAGUCUUGAUGGAUCACGAUAUUAUUUGAUUUUGGUUGAUCAUUUUACAAAGUAUAUUUGGUUUUAUCCAAUAGAAACCAAAUCUCAACUAAGCAUGAUAUUUCCUCAAUUUAAAUAUCUCAUUGAAAAUCAAUUUCAAUCAAAAAUCAAAAGUAUCUACUCAGAUAAUGGUGGUGAAUUUAUUGCCUUAAAAAAAUAUUUUUCUAUACAUGGCAUAAGUCAUUACACCACAGCUCCUCACACACCACAACAAAAUGGUGUAUCUGAGCGUCAUCAUCGUCAUUUGGUAGAAACGGGUCUUACCCUUUUACAUGAUGCUUAUUUAUCUCUCUCAUAUUGGCCUUAUGCCUUUUCAACGUUUACUUACCUCAUCAACAAACAGCCAACCCCUUUCCUACAUAACAAACCCCCUUUUGAAGCAUUAUUUCAUCAGCCCCCCAACUAUCUUAAACUAAAAAAAUUUGGGCAUCUAUGUUUUCCUCUCACCAAGCCCUAUAACACACAUAAGUUGCAGCCCAAGGCAACACCAUGUUUGUUUGUGGGCUAUUCCCCAACCUAGAAUGCGUAUAAAUGUCUUGAUCCACAAGCCCAUAAACUAUAUUUAUCUUGGCACAUUUUGUUUGACUAAAGUGAAACCCAUCAUCUCCUCCGUUCAGUUGAAACACAGUCCUCCAUUCAGUUGAAACACAGGUACCAGCCAUGUCCAUUUCGCCUGCCUCACCUGUGCUGCUCACACUUUUGCCGCAACCACCGCCAGUGCCAACGAGAGGUAACGCCAUUUUCGCCUCAUCUCCAAGUAACUGCCUCGACUCAUCUUCUUCUCCUUUUCAAGAUAUGCAAUCCCUAAACUCAUGCCCUAAUUCCUCUCAAUCACAUGAACACUUGGAUUCUAACUCAAAUUCACACACCAAUCCACUCUCAGAACCCAUGGUUGUCCAUAAUGACCAUCACAGUGACCCUCCACUGCCUCAUUCUCACCGCAUCCACACCAUGACCACUCGGUCAAUGAAUAACAUUCAUAAGCUCAAACAGUUCAACUCCAUGACCAAACACCCACUCCCACCAACCAUUGAACCAACAUGUGUGGGCCAAGCACUUCGUGAACCUCACUAGAGACAUGCUAUGUCAGAUGAACUUACUGCUCUCAUGCGUCAUGGCACUUGGGAUCUUGUUUCCUAGCCCAAAAAUUGUAAUCCUAUUGGGUGCAAAUGGGUAUUCCGUGUGAAAUGAAACUCAGAUGGUUCAGUUGACCGCUUCAAAGCAAGGCUUGUCGCUAAAGGAUUUAAUCAACGAGAAGGGUUAGAUUACAAAGAAACCUUUAGCCUAGUUGUAAAACAUGCAACAUUAGGACUGUCUUGACAGCGACUGUAAUGCAGGGGUGGUCAUUAAGACAAUUAGAUGUUAACAACGUUUUUUUGCAUGGUGACUUGAUUGAGACUGUGUAUAUGACACAACCACCAGGAUUCAAAGAUGUCAAUAAGCCAAAUCAUGUGUGCAGGUAAUGUAAGGCUAUCUAUGGCCUUAAACAUGCCCCAAGAGCUUGGUAUUCAACUCUUAAACUGGCAAUUAUGGGUCUUGGUUUUCAAAAUUCCAAAGCUGACUCAUAUCUUUUUAUCUAUAGUUAGAACUCUGUCAUAUGCUAUAUUAUUAGUAUAUGUGGAUGAUUUGGUUAUCACUGGCAAUAAUUUGUGCUUUGUGUCUGAGAUUGUUGCACAACUUGGUAAUUGGUUUUCCUUAAAGGACAUGGGACAACUUAACUUUUUCUUGGGAAAGGAGGCUAUUUCUACAAAAUCUGGGCUUUUUUUUUCUCAACAUAAAUAUAUUCGAAACCUAUUGUCCAAAACCAAUAUGAUUGGUGCUAAAGAUGUCUCAACCCCAUUGUCCACCACCACGUCCCUCAAAUUGGUUGAUGGUACUUCAUCUACCAACAGUACAGAGUUUCGAAGUGUCAUUGGUGCUCUUCAAUACCUGUCCCUCACUAGACCGGAUAUCUCAUUCUCUAUAAAUAAACUUUCUUAGUUUAUGCAUAAGCCUAUAGUGACACAUUGGACAACUGCAAAGCAACUUCUUCGCUAUUUAAAGCACAUUAUAUUUCAUGGACUUCAAAUAAAAAAUAAAAAUAAAAAUCCAGCUUUGAACUCAUUACAUAUUCUGAUGCGGAUUGGGCGGGCAACUAUGAUGAUUUGAUUCAUGCCCAGUUGGUGUCUCAGCUGAUUUGUGUUCAGCUGGUGCUCCUUGAUUGAGGGAGUAAUCAACAAAAUUUAUAACCUAUUACACCAUAUACUAGGGUAGCAAAGACAAAGCUACUAUAGCAUAGCGACUCUAGAAUCGUUCACUGGGAAGGUUUAACAAAUUAUCAAUGAUACCAAUUCAAAGUGAAUUGGUAUUGUUUCAUUUCAAGGUUAGCUUAAGAAAUAAAACACAAACUUUGAUUGGUAAAGAUUUAGAUUUAAACUAACUACAAAGCAAGUGAUGGAAAUUACUUAGGAAGAAAAACAUUCCUUGGAGGGUCAGGUUCACUGGGGAGGUUCCUCAUGCAAAAGACAUAGCUCCGGUCAGUUGGUUCAUUUCCUCGCAUUAGAGAAGCAACAUAUAGUCAAUUCUCUAACCGAUGUUGUACAGAUACAUCCUUUAAUUAGAUUUCAGCUUUAAUUCUCUCACUGAUGCAACUUGCAACGGUUCGAGCCUCUCACUAAGCCUUAACCAUUCAAGGUGAUCUUUAACCUUGGACUUCCCUUCACAAGCUCGCAAGAGAUAACUAAUGGAUGUCUCCUUAGAGUCCAAAAGCUUACUAAGUGUUGGCAAUUCCAAAAAAUCCUACCUUCAAGUCACCUCCCAGAGGCUCGCAAGGGGUAAACUAGUGCAUCUCCAUGGUUGGAGAUCACUUGCCUUACCAAGUGUUGGCCCAGGUGACUCUAAGGUGUUUUAAGUUAACUAAAAACAUAGAAAUCACUAAAGGAUUUCACUUCCUCUUCAUUCAUGGCUGAAACCACAAAGCUUUGCAUUCUUGCACUUGGAACCUUUGCCGACAACCUUAGCUCCAAGGAACUAAAGGUUUAGUUACUCAUUCUCUGGGGAAACUUCCUCAGAGAGUGCAUAACUUAGAAAAAAUGAAAAAUACAAAGUGAGAAGUAAGACAAAACAAAGUCCUGAAUUUUACUUACUUUCAAACUUUUCAAAAGGUCCUCCCUGAGACAGCUCUUGAAAGCUAUUUAUACACAAACAAUACUAUAUNNNNNNNNNNNNNNNNNNNNNNNNNNNNNNNNNNNNNNNNNNNNNNNNNNNNNNNNNNNNNNNNNNNNNNNNNNNNNNNNNNNNNNNNNNNNNNNNNNNNUUUACUUACUUUCAACUUUUUCAAAAGGGUUCCUCCCUGAGAACAGGCUCUUGAGAGCUAUUUAUAACAACAAAAACAAAUACUAAUUAUUACACGGAUAUUUUCUCUUUUUACUAACUUAAAAGCUAAGGAAUCUUAUAAUUGGUGGCUUUCAAGGAGAAUUUUGGGAUUUAGACAACAAAAAUUUGAUGAAAAAUAUCUCCCAAUGUCGGUAGCAAAUAUCGGGACACACUAAGGAUCAUUUCGCAAGUGUAAACGAGGUCUGCGAGAUUUCGCAGAUGCACAAAAAGGACUGCGAAAUCACUUCGCAGCAAACGGCUGAUUUCGCAAUGCUGCGAAAUGGUCUUUCAACUUGUGGUAUUUGGCUUCCAUCAUGACGGGAAACUUCAGGGGGGAAACACAGCACUGUACAUAAAGGCUGCGAAAUCAUCUCGCAACAAAAGGGUGAUUUCGCAGCGCUGUGCAAAAUUCUUCCUUCAGCUUGGAGUGAUCGGCUUGAAAUGGCUGUAACUCCUUCAUUUCAACUCCAAAUUGCGUACCAUUUGAAGCAUUUGAUUGUUGGCUUCCUGAGCUUUGAAACGACAUAUAGCAUGCAUAAAUUGGACUUCAGAAAGUGCUCCAAAAGUGGCUGACAUGACUGUCAUCAAGAAUAUGCUUCAUGACAGAUUUCUCUUUGCUUCUUCUCCUUACAUUCCGGAUUUACUCAUGGCAGCAAAGGACUUCAAAGCUUUAGUUCUUCACGUUUCUGAGCUUCAAAUUGCUUUGCCAAAGAUUCCACAUAACUCUCCUCAAUCUCGGAUUGCUUUGGUGAUCAAAAAGCUAUCAAAACACCAAAACUUAACACAUUGAUUAGAAGUGCUUGCAAAGGUCUUUAAUAUGUUAAUUGGGUUAAAAGACAAUAACUACUACUCAAAAGUGUUUAAAAGAGUUAAUUACAAGCUAUGAAAUAGCACAUUUUGAGUAGUAAUCACUCCCCCCAACCGACAUAUUGCUAGUCCCUUAGCAAUGAAGGAGAGAAAAAAAAAAAAACUAUAAUUUACAACAUCAUGCUGAUUACUUCAAAAAAUUUUAAGUGGCAUGAUGAUCUAAUUCUCACAUGAGGCAUUAAAGAAAUAUAAACCCAAAUUUCAACAAGAGUUAUCACAUACUAUGCUAAACACUAUUAAUCAAGGGAAUGCAUUAUGCAAAUUGAAGUUUUAAAAUCAUUUUCACUUCCAAAGAACCAAACUUUAUUCUUCCACAAAAAUCUAAGUGUAUGAUUCCUUAGCUUCCGAAUAUAGUAUGCUAAACUAAUCUCUCCCCCCAACCUAUCUCUUUUCAACACUUAGCAAACUGACCAAAAUCAAUAAGAAAAGAACACUCUUUUUUUUUUUUUUUUUUUUUUUUAAAGAGGCUUAAAGGGGUAUUCUUUCUGAAUUGUCCAUGUAACGGGGGUCCAUCGAUGACUCCCAACCAAUUAAGGUUUAGGGCAUCAAGCUUUAAGGAUCUUUCAACCACUAACUCCUUGGAUUUUACCCCGGACUUUUGAGAAUGAUUGAUUUUUUAAUACCCAAGCACCUACCAUAUGCUAACUCCACCUAUCCACCCUUGUAACGAGCAUUGAGGUCGGUGACUCCCAACCAAUUAAGGCUUAGGGCACCAGGUUUUAAAGAUUUUCACCAUAUACCCCUCAGACCUUGCUUGGGUUUCAAGGCAAGCAAACAUUUUUCUUUCUUUAUUUCAAAGGCUCAUUGGCCUUUCAUAAGGUGUCUCAACUUUAUCAAAUGAGGUCAAAGGUACCAAGUCCCAAAAUUUUCCUAAGUCAAGAGGGAAAUAGUUUUUCAUCUUAUACUCGGAACCUAUUGUGCACAGUGUGUGAAUAGCUUAAAGUGGAAGAACUAAACUCGAUUUCAAUAGAAGCUUCAACAAUUGAACCACUUUAGUAAGCAUAAUCCAUACUCUAAGUCAAGUGAAAAACAACAGUUCAGUUUCUCCUGUUUUAAUUUGAAAAUUUUUCCUCAAAAUCCAUGGAGAUUAGAGUGGACAAUAAAAGAUUACAACUAAUUUAUCAACAUAAUUGCAUUGUCAAAAUAACUUAGCAUACUUCCUUUAACUUAGCAUACUUCCUUCCUCAUUUCUCCCCCCCCCCCAACCGAACUGAGCAUUGUCCUCAAUGUGAUAUGGGUGAUUGCAAUUAAAGGGAGGAAGUGGUACCUCCUGAGUGAUAUCAAUUUCGAAUACUGAUUGGAGAAACCACAUGUUUCAAAAAGAAUAAAAGAUGUGAGAAAAGGAAAUAAGAAUAAAUUAAUGCUAAAGGUUAACAAAAAAAUAUGCUAAACUUGUAUUACUUUGAAUUCAUUUGAGUACAAUGAAAAAGAAGGCAAUACAAGCAAUCCCAUAUAUGAUACCAAAAUAAUGGGAUUUCAUAAAAAACUAAGAAAAAAAAUGAAAUACAUAAAGAAAAUAUGUAGUGGAUAUAUAUAAUGAUCAGAUGGGUGGAUGGUGCUGGAAUUAAUGGCUUAGGCAGAUGGCUCUGCCUCUUCAGUAGCUGCUUCAGAAGGGGCCUGAGACUCUGUGGCCUGCGAGUGUGGCACUACAGUGGUGGGGGUGGAGUGCUUAGUAGCUGAUGGAAGAUCAAAAUGAUGCUGGAGCUGCCUCAAGAUGGCAGUGUGCUGAGCCUGGGUGGUCAACAUCUGCUCCUGGCAUGCUCUAAUAGCUGCCAUCUCCUGAGCAAGGCUGCUCUGAGAUGCGGUGAGGGUCUACAGUGAGCCACAUAACUCCCUAUACUCAUAAAUGGGAAUGGCCAUCCUUGGCUCAGCUGAAUUCGAUGGCUGAGAUGAGGCUGGAGUGACUGGAGGGGCUCUGGAUAUGGUAGGAGAGGCAAUGGGUAUACCCUCAGGUAUAUGACGUGGAGAUGCUCUCCUGGCUGCUGGUAUCGCAGCUGGCUGUGGCUGUCCUGGCUGCUCAACUCUAUAUGCUGUCAUAUUGUUCCAUUUGUCGAGAGUAAAGACCUCUCGUCAAAUACGUUUGCGCUCCAACUGAGGAUCUGAUGGAUACCCCAGAUGCUCUAGAAUCUGACACAGCAGCCGUGGAAAAAGAAGUGGAAUGGCAUCAGCUCGCUGCAGCUUCUUCUUAUGCACCUUCUCUUCAAAAUAGAGAAGGGCAGCCAUAAUUAGGUGGUGAGGGCCAAAGAAAUAUCCCUCAGAAAUCUUGAACAGGGCCUCUAAAAGCACUCCUCUCCUCUGAGUCCAGUGUUGGAGUGGGUAGAUGUUAUGACGCAGAAAUGCAUCAAUAAGAAACAUGCUUGGAGGAAGUUCCCCCCUCAACAGAUGUGGACACGUGAAAGCUCCUCUGGACAAGAUAUGUACCAUCUCCAGCUCAGUGGGACUAGUCCACACUCUGAAAUCCUCAAAAUGAGUUGGCUCGUAUGGUAUAUGCAGGGCUUCUGCUAUAUGGCGAGCUCCCAAAAUGUCAUGCCGACCAUCUAUAGUAAAAUAGAUUAAAGUAGGAUCUCUGACCUGCUUGGUAGUCAUGGACUGAUAAAAAUCCAUGGCUACUCUGGGGUAGAAGAAGUCUCUUGGGCCAGCAACUGCUUCAUAUGAUAUCUACGCAAUAGGCAGAAUGAAUCUGCAAGCUCCGACCUCAAUUGGAAGGUGGUUGUGUCAAAGCACAGCUCAGAGUGGAAUGGCCGAGCUCUGCAGUCCAAAUUCCCUUCUAUUGGCGGCUGAGUAAGCAUCGGACGCCUAAUUAGCACUUCAGGAGUUACCCCAUAUGGAAUUUGGGAUUCAGAAAGUGGCGGCUGGAGCUCCUGAGGCUGUGCUGGCGGCGCCGGAGACGGCACCGGAGAUGGCAGUGGAGAGGGCUCUGGUGAGGGAACCAGGGACUGCUCUGUUAAGUCUAUGGGCUCUGAGCUUUCAACCCUGGCCCUCUUUUGCAGGGGACGACCCCCUGACCUAGUGAGAUAACGCCUCGCCGGAGGAUUUUUAGACACGGGCUUCGCCGGAGGGGGAACAGCUUUUGGCCGCGGAGGUUCAGAGAUGGGGCUUUGAACAGGUACCUCUCGCGGAACUCGUUUGCGGCUAGAAGGAGAUGAAGAUUUGGCUCCUCUAGUUCGCGCCAUAUCGGACUGUCGAGAUUUGGCCAGAAGUGAUGACCGGAGAAGAUGACCGGAGGUUCGCGCGUCGUCGGGCUCGGGCAAGGAGAUGAACAGACGGCUGUUAUGGCAUUCCCUCAUUUUGAAAUCCUUUUGAAACUCAAAUGACAGGUAUAUAUAAAAAUAACGGAAUAUUAAAGGUCAUUUUGAGGUUCGUAGAAGAACGUUGAUUUCACAGCAAAAAGCUGUUCUCGCAGCCCACUUCGCAGCCCACUUCGCAGCUUCGAAAUGGAUGUCACUGUGCUGCGAAAUGGCACUCGUGUGCCAAAGUUGGUUUCGCAGCUGCGAAAUACCCUGCGAAAGGAAGCUUUGACUGCGAAAACGGGUAUUUUCACGCUUUGUAGCUUCGCAGCCGAUUCGCAGCUUCGAAAUGGGGGCUCCUGUUCUGCAAAGUGGCACUCGUGUGCCAAAAGUUGGUUCGCAGUUGCGAAAAUUUUCGCAGAGGAGUCAAAUGAGUUGCGAAAUGAUUUCGCAAAGGAUGGCCGCUUCCGUAGAGACAUGUUGAUUUCGUAGCAACUUCGUUUAAGUUGCGAAACGGUUUCGCAGCGAAGUGCUAAUUUCGCAGAAACUGCGAAAUCUCGCAGACUCCUGUUUUUGCUUUGUUUUCACUCUGUUUUGCUCUAUUUUUGGUCCGAUUUCGCUCCGAUUUCUUCCUUUCAAUUUCUUUGCAUUUUAUCUCACCUGAGAUCAUCCAAAAAGAUUAAAUUACAUAUAAAAACAUACUUUAAGAUCAAAAAUUAAAAUGAAAAGUAUGGAAAAAACUUUGAAAUUUAAAAAAUUUACAAAAAUUUUGGACUGUGGUAAAACCAAGUCCAUCAAACCCUUAUUUGCUUAGGCUUUUUGUGGCUCAAGGAGGUUGAUUUCCUCCUUUUCUGGUUUGAAUGGCUCCAUGAACGGCUUGAGACGAUAUCCAUUGACUCUAAAGGUAUCUUUGCCAUUGGAAUUCAAUAAUUCCACCACUCCAUUGACGUAUACCCGAUGAAUAAUGAACGGGCCUAUCCACCUUGACUUGAGCUUUCCAGGAAAGAUAUGGAGUCUUGUGUCAUAGAGUAGAACUCUUUGUCCUUUCUGAAAUUCUUUGUUGGAAAUUAGUUAAUCAUGCCACUUCUUCAUCCUCUGUUUUGCAACUUUGGAAUUGAUAUAAGCAUCAUUUCUUAAUUCCUCCAUCUCAUUAAGGUCUAGGCACCUCUUUGCUCCGGCUCUGAUCAAGUUCAUGUUCAGCUUCUUUAUUGCCCACCAAGCUUUGUAUUCAACUUCCAUAGGGAGAUGACAUGUUUUGUCAUAGACAAGACGAUAGGGAGACAUGCCGAGAAUAGUCUUAUAAGCUGUUCUAUACGCCCAUAAUGAAUCAUGAAGCCUAAUAGACCAAUCUUUUCUUCUUGAAUUCACCACUUUCAUCAAUAUGUUCUUUAUUUCCCUGUUAGCUAGCUCAACUUGCCCGGAAGUCUGAGGAUGAUAAGGCGUAGCUACCUUAUGCUUCACUCCAUACUUGGAUAAUAGAGCUUCAAAAGGUUUGUUGCAAAAAUGAACACCUCUAUCACUGAUUAUGGCUUUGGGCACCCCAAAUCUCGAGAAAAUAUUCUCUUUAAGAAACUUGAGAACCAUUCUGUGAUCAUUUUGUCUACAAGGGAUUGCCUCAACCCAAUUAGAAACAUAAUCCACACCCACCAAGAUGUAAGAAUUACCAAAAGACAUUGGGAAAGGCCCCAUGAAGUCAAUGCCCCAUACAUCAAAUAGCUCAACUAUUAGAAUGGGGUUCAUAGGCAUUUGAUUUCUUUUUGUUAGCUUUCCAAGCCUUUGGCAUCUAUCACAACUCCUACACAUGAUGUGGGCAUCUUUGAAAAGAGAUGGCCAAGUAAACCCUGAUUGCAACACCUUCAUGGCUGUUUUCUGAGAGGCAAAGUGACCUCCACAUGCAUUCUCAUGACAAUGGUUUAGAAUCCCUUGCUGCUCUUCUUCAGGGACACACUUCCUUAUGAUCUGAUCUGCACAAUACUUAAAAAAGAAGGGUUCUUCCCAAUAAUAAGCAUGAAUUUUUUAAAAUAAGUGCUUCCUGUCCUGUGCAUUCCACUCACUUGGAAUUUCACCAGUAACUAGAUAAUUAGCAAUAUGAGCAUACCAAGGAGUUUUUACUAGGAACAUAAGUGAUUCCUCAGGAAAGUAAUCAUUAAUAGGCAAGGGAUGGGAAUUAUGUGCUAUAACUAACCUUGAAAGGUGGUCAGCUACCACAUUCUCCACUCAUUUCUUAUCUUUGAUUUGGAGAUCGAAUUCUUGUAGCAAAAGAAUCCAUCUAAUCAACCUUGCUUUUGCAUCUUGCUUUGUCAAUAAAUACUUCAAGGUUGAAUGGUCAGUGAAAACAAUGAUGAAAGACCCUACUAAAUAAGCACGAAAUUUGUCCAAGGCAAAUACCACAGCUAACAAUUCUUUCUCUAUAGUUGUGUAGUUCCUUUGAGCUUCAUUCAGUGUUUUGCUUGCAUAGUAGAUCACAUAGGGCUUCCCAUCUUCUCUUUGGCCAAGCACAACUCCUAUAGCAAAGUCACUAGCAUCACACAUCAGUUCAAAGGGUAGUUGCCAGUUAGGGGCUCUCACUAUUGGAGUUGUUGUUAAAAAUUUCUUCAGUUGAUCAAAGCUAUUUUGACAUCUUUCAUCCCAUAUAAACUUAGCAUCCUUAGCUAACAGCUCACAAAGAGGUUUUGAAAGACUUGAAAAACCUUUUAUAAACCUCCUAUAGGGUUUGCAUGGCCAAGGAACUGCCUUACUCCUUUUAUAGUUGUUGGGGAUGGUAAUUUGACAAUAAGCUCCACCUUUGUUUUAUCUACUUCAAUGCCUUUUUUGGAGAUAAUAUGGCCAAGGACAAUUCCUUGACGUACCAUAAAAUGGCAUUUCUCCCAGUUAAGCACCAGGUCUUUUUCAAUGCAUCUGUGAAGAACCGCUUCCAAAUUGAUUAAGCAUUCCUCAAAUGUACCUCCAUAUACGGUGAUUUCAUCCAUGAAAACCUCCAUAAUUCGCUCCACCAUAUCACUGAAAAUACUCAACAUACAUCUUUGAAAUGUUGCAGGUGCAUUGCAUAAACCAAAAGGCAUUCUUCUGUAGGCAUAUGUUCCAAAUGGACAUGUAAAAGUGGUUUUUUCCUGAUCUUCCACAUCAAUUUCAAUCUGAAAAUACCCUGAAUACUCGUCCAAGAAACAAUAGAACGGAUGGCCAGAGACUCUCUCCAGUACUUGGUCAAUAAAUGGCAAUGGAAAAUGAUCUUUCCUGGUUAUAGCAUUCAACUUUCUAUAAUCAAUACACACCCUCCAACCUGAAGUGAGGCGUGUAGUAAUUUCUUCCCCUUUUUCAUUCUGAACCACUGUAAUCCCUGACUUCUUUGGUACCACUUGAGUAGGACUCACCCAAGGGCUGUCAGAUAUAGGGUAAAUAAUGCCUGCUUGAAGUAGCUUCAGCACCUCAGCUCGCACCACCUCUUGUAAAUGAGGAUUCAAUCUUCUUUGAAGUUGACGAAUUGGCUUUGCUUCCUCCUCCAUAUAUAUAUGAUGUGUGCAAACUAAAGGACUAAUGCCUUUCAAGUCGGAUAUUUGCCAUCCUAUUGCCUUCUUACACCUCUUGAGAACUUCCAUUAGCAACUUCUCUUGAUGACUGGUCAAAGAUGAAGAUAUUACGACAAGACAUUGAUUAUUUUCUUCAAGGUAUGUAUAUUUCAGUUCCAUGGGUAGAGGCUUCAGAUUGAGUUUUGGAGUCUCUUUUUCAGCAACUGCCUCUUCUUCUUUAUUGAACAAAGGUAGAAUCUCUUCUAUCCUUCUCCAACUUUGUAGAGUAGCAAGCACAUUAGGGGGUUCAGACAAACCUUCCUCAAAAUCCACAAGACUUUCAUUCAACUUGUCUUGCAUAUUCUGAUUACAGUGCUCCUCCACUAGAGUGUCAAUAAUGCACAACUCUUCUGGACCCUCUUCUUCUUCCAGAGUGGUUUGCUUUUUAGACAUAUAGAAGAUAUUGAGAUCAAGUGUCAUGUUGCCAAAAGUAAGUUGCAUAAGCCCAUUCCUACAGUUGAUGAUUGCAUUUGAGGUAGCAAGGAAUGACCUUCCAAGGAUGAUAAGAACUAAAUUAGCUUCCUUUACAGUAGGGUCUGUAUCAAGAACAAUAAAAUCUACCGGAUAGUAGAAAUUAUCAACUUGAACCAAGACAUCCUCAAUUACCCCCUUUGGAAUUUUUACUGAUCUAUCUGCUAGAGAUAGAGUGAUUUUCGUUGGCUUCAACUCACCAAGUCCCAAUUGCUUGUAGACGGAAUAUGGAAGCAAAUUCACACUUGCUCCCAAGUCUAACAAAGCUUUCUCCACUACCUUUCCUCCAAUCAUGACUGAAAUGGUAGGACUUCCCGGAUCUUUGUACUUCAACGGAGACUUACAUUGUAAGAUUGCACUUACUUGCUCAGUCAAGAAGGCUUUCUUAUUUGCAGUCAACCCUCUUUUAAUAGUACAUAAGUCCUUUAGGAACUUUGCAUAUGUUGGAACUUGUUUAAUCAUAUCCAGCAGUGGGAUAUUGACUUUCACUUGUCUCAAUACUUCAAGAAUUUCAGAUGCAUUUCUAAUCCCCUUUUUCCCAUGUAAUGCUUGAGGAAAAGGAGGAGAAUUUGAUUUCUUCAGCAUUUCUUCUUUUUGAAGCUCCUUCUCUGGAAUUGCAUUCAUUGUUGAAUCAUAGUCCUUCUUCUUUUCACUGAUCUCACUCUCUUUGUCUUCCAUUUCCUCCCAUUUCUUUAUCUCUUCUUCUUCUUUCUCAACAUGUGGCUUGGGUGUUGGCUUCUCAAUUUUUUUACCACUCUUUAGAGUGAUCAAGGCUUUGACAUCUUUCAUCUAUGAUGAUUUCCCCCUCAAGGCUUUCCACUUCAUGGACACCCUUGGGGUUUUGGUGGGGUUGAGAAGGAAAUCUUCCCUUUUCUUGCACUGUGUUCAAAUUUGUGAGCCUUGAAAUUGAGUAUUGGAAAUUAUCAAACUUUUGGGAUAUAUCAUUUUGCAUUCCAUCCAUCCUUUUAUUCAAAGUACUCUCCACUCUGUCAAUUCUUUGAUUGAGUUGAGCAUUGAUGGCUUCUUGGUUUCCAACAAAAUCUCCCACUACCUUGCUGAGAUUUGCUAUUGCUUGUUCAAGACUUGAAGAUUGUUGAGAUGGUUGAUCCGGCUGUUGGUACUGAGUUGCUCUGGCCUUCCAUGAGAAAUUUGGAUGAUUCCUCCAACUUGAGUUGUAAGUAUUUCCAUAAGGCCCAUUGUUAUUGGACUUGAAUUGUCCAACAACAUUUGCUUGAUCUCUAAACAUUUCCCUUUCAGCUGAAAUUACAGGGCAUUCCUCCACCAAAUGUUCAUAUGAUUGACAAUUAGGACACAGCUUCACUUGCACUGGCGCUUCAGCAACAGCUUGCACUUCAUGUAUCCUUUUCAGCUCCAGCUCCUCCAAUCUUCUUGUCAUAGCUGCCAACUUUGCUUUCAUAUCAUCAUCUUCUUUCAAGGUAUACAUCCCAGCCUUAGCAUUAAAAGCACUCAGUUGAGACUUCAUCUUCCCCACUUCUCCUUUGGUUGGUUCAUCCCAUCCCCUUGAAACUUCGGCUACAUAGCUCAAGAAAUCCAUAGCUUCCUCCGGAUUUUUGCUCAUGAAAUCUCCUUCACACAUUGUCUCGAGGAGUUGCUUCAUUGAGGAAGACAUCCCAUCAUAAAAAUAGCUCACCAAUAGCCAAGUAUCAAAGCCAUGGUGAGGGCAAGCAUUUAUAGCUUCCAUGUAUCUUUCCCAACACUCAUAGAAUUUCUCAUUCUCUUUAGCUGAGAAGUUUGAAAUUUGCCUUUUCAAGCCAUUUGUUCUAUGAGUGGGAAAAAAUUUCUUGAGGAAUUCAGCUUGUAAGUCAAUCCAAGUGCGGAUACUCCUUGGCCUUAAAGAAUUAAGCCAAAUUUUGGCCUUAUCCUUUAAAGUAAAAGGAAAUAACUUAAGCCUCAUCAAAUCAAUUGAAGCUCCUCCCUCUUGGAAUGUAUUACAAACAUCUUCAAAUUCCUUGAUGUAUGCAUAGGGAUUCUCACUUUCCAUCCCGUGGAAAGUUGGUAGAAGUGGAACAAGAUACGGUCUGAUCACUAGCUGCUCUGUAGGGGGCACUAUACAUGAUGGUGCACUCAUACGAGGUGGAUGCAUGCGGUCCCUCAUUGAUCUAAAUUCAUUGAGAUUGUCUUGACGACCUUGGUGGCUAUGCUGAUCUUCAGGUGUAGCUUCCAUGAUAUUCAAGCUCAAUUCCAAUUCCUUGUUAUGAGGUGUAUCACGUUUAACAAGCCUUCCUCCACUGUCUCGUAUCCAAUUUGGCAUACACAACUAGUAUCUAUUUGUAACUAAAAUGAAAAUAAAGGACAACAAAAGGAAACAGGGCUACAACAACAAAAUUAAACUAAGCUGAAUUUAAAAGAUAAAUUUGGAUUAUGAAUUAGUAAAGAAAGAAUGAGAAUUAGUAAAAUGAAAGAAACGUUACCAAUCUUGUGAUGAAAAUCACCAGUGCUCUUUGACACCUUCCCCGGCAACGGUGCCAUUUGAUUCAUGCCCAGUUGGUGUCUCAGCUGAUUUGUGUUCAGCUGGUGCUCCUUGAUUGAGGGAGUAAUCAACAAAAUUUAUAACCUAUUACACCAUAUACUAGGGUAGCAAAGACAAAGCUACUAUAGCAUAGCGGCUCUAGGAUCGUUCACUGGGAAGGUUUAACAAAUUAUCAAUGAUACCAAUUCAAAGUGAAUUGGUAUUGUUUCAUUUCAAGGUUAGCUUAAGAAAUAAAACACAAACUUUGAUUGGUAAAGAUUUAGAUUUAAACUAACUACAAAGCAAGUGAUGGAAAUUACUUAGGAAGAAAAACAUUCCUUGGAGGGUCAGGUUCACUGGGGAGGUUCCUCAUGCAAAACACAUAGCUCCGGUCAGUUGGUUUAUUUCCUCGCAUUAGAGAAGCAACAUAUAGUCAAUUCUCUAAUUGGUGUUGUACAGAUACAUCCUUUAAUUAGAUUUUAGCUUUAAUUCUCUCACUGAUGCAACUUGCAACGGUUCGAGCCUCUCACUAAGCCUUAACCAUUCAAGGUGAUCUUUAACCUUGGACUUUCCUUCACAAGCUCGCAAGAGAUAACUAAUGGAUGUCUCCUUGGAGUCCAAAAGCUUACCAAGUGUUGGCAAUUCCAGAAAAUCCUACCUUCAAGUCACCUCCCAGAGGCUCGCAAGGGGUAAACUAGUGCAUCUCCAUGGUUGGAGAUCACUUGCCUUACCAAGUGUUGGCCCAGGUGACUCUAAGGUGUUUUAAGUUAACUAAAAACAUAGAAAUCACUAAAGGAUUUCACUUCCUCUUCAUUCAUGGCUGAAACCACAAAGCUUUGCAUUCUUGCACUUGGAACCUUUCCCGGCAACCUUAGCUCCAAGGAACUAAAGGUUUAGUUACUCAUUCUCUGGGGAAACUUCCUCAGAGAGUGCAUAACUUAGAAAAAAUGAAAAAUACAAAGUGAGAAGGUAAGGCAAAACAAAGGUCUUGAAUUUUACUUGCUUUCAAACUUUUUCAAAAGGGUUCCUCCCUGAGAACAGGCUCUCGAGAGCUAUUUAUAUAAACAAAAACAAAUACUAAUUAUUACACGAAUAUUUUCUCUUUUUACUAACUUAAAAGCUAAGGAAUCUUAUAAUUGGUGGCUUUCAAGGAGAAUUUUGGGAUUUAGACAACAAAAAUCUGAUGAAAAACAUCUCCCAAUGUCGGUAGCAAAUAUCGGGACGCACUAAGGAUCAUUUCGCAAGUGUAAAUGAGGUCUGCGAGAUUUCGCAGAUGCACAAAAAGGACUGCGAAAUCACUUCGCAGCAAACGGCCGAUUUCGCAACGCUGCGAAAUGGUCUUUCAACUUGUGGUAUUCGGCUUCCAUCAUGACAGGAAACUUCAGGGGGGAAACACGGCACUGUACAUAAAGGCUGCGAAAUCGUCUCGCAACAAAAAGGUGAUUUCGUAGCGCUGUGCAAAAUUCUUCCUUCAGCUUGGAGUGAUUGGCUUGCAAUGGCUGUAACUCCUUCAUUUCAACUCCAAAUUGCACACCGUUUAAAGCAUUUGAUUGUUGACUUCCUGAGCUUCGAAACGACAUAUAGCAUGCAUAAAUUGGACUUCAAGAAGUGCUCCAAAGGUGGCUGACAUGAAUGUCAUCAAGAAUAUGCUUCAUGACAGAUUUCUCUUUGCUUCUUCUCCUUACAUUCCGGAUUUACUCAUGGCAGCAAAGGACUUCAAAGCUUUAGUUCUUCACAUUUCUGAGCUUCAAAUUGCUUUUCCAAAGAUUCCACAUAACUCUCCUCAAUCUCGGAUUGCUUUGGUGAUCAAAAAGCUAUCAAAACACCAAAACUUAACACAUAUUGAUUAGAAGUGCUUGCAAAGGUCUUUAAUAUGUUAAUUGGGUUAAAAUGCAAUAACUACUACUCAAAAGUGUUUAAAAGAGUUAAUUACAAGCUAUGAAAUAGCACAUUUUGAGUAGUAAUCAAUCGAACCUCCACAUUUGCAUAUAUCUCAUUUCUUGGUGUCAAUCCUAUCUCCUGGAGUUUAAAGAAGCAAAAGGCAGUGGCACGUUUAUCCACUAAAUCAGAAUAUAGAGCCCUUGCCAAUGCAGCCUCCGAGACAUCAUGGCUUCUCUCAUUAUUCAAGGAACUAGGUCUACCUUUAUCUGGACAACCCAAAUUGCUCUAUGAUAAUUUGGGUGCAACUCACCUCAAUUUUAAUCCAGUCCAACACUCUCAAAUGAAACACAUUCAGAUUGACCUUCAUUUUGUCCGAGAUAUGGUUCAAAGUGGCGUUCUAAAUGUUCAUCAUGUUAACACCUAGGACCAGCUGGUUGAUCUUCUCACAAAAGGACUCUCACGCUAAAGGACAGAAAUUUCAAGGAACAAGAUUGGCUUAGCCGAUGACAGCUCCAUCUUGCGGAGGCAUAUAAAGGAAGCAUCCUCAAAUCAAGAAAAUCCCUCAAAUCAAGCAACAAAAAUGACUGCAAAUUUUUAGCCUUCAUUCAAGGAUGUAACAAUCCUUAUUUUCCUUGUAACCGAUAACCUUAAUUCUAAGAAACUUACUUAGAAUAGCCCUUGUUAACGUGUAUUUAUUUUUUCUCAUACAAUCUCUUGUUAUGGUGUAAUAUUUUUCAAACAGAGCAGUAAUACAUUAUUGAGAAAUUCUCAAACUCCAUCACUCCCAUCUCUUUAUCCUCAAACAAUCAAGACACAAACUUUGAUGCAUCUCUGUCUUGGAUUCUUCCUGUCAAAAGGAAUAGUUGAAGUAUCUCCAUUGCUUCUCUGUUUCUUUGAGUCAAAGGACAGAGUCUGCCUUUCUCUGUUUCUUCUAAUCAUUUUCAAAAUGCAACAUUGUGAGAUCUACUAAUCCUAAACCUAUUUCUCAAAGAAUCAAAAUCAUAAAUACCAAGAUGUAUACACAUGCAGGUAACACAUCCUCUUGACAAUGAUGUGACAGGUGUAGUAGACAAGGAACAUACAUACCUGUAUUCCAAGGAAGUACUAGUGCAUUUGAUGACAUUGUUCUAGCCUAAAUUCCAAAUUUUAGCAAUCCAAAAUCGGUAACUUCUGCAAAAUUUACCUAGUUGUUGAGGGAACAACACAUCUUCUCUUACCAUUUUUAUCUUAUGCACUACAUAUCCCAUGUCAACUGCCACUUCCACUACACCUGAAUGAAGUAGGAACACAAAUGAACAUUUCAAGGCAUCAGAUUGUUUGAAAAUUAAAUUAGGAGAGGUAGAACUACCGAUGCUUACAUGGAACUAAGGAAAAGACAAACAAGAUCAACAAAAAUGGAAGAGAAAAUGCAAAUCCAUAAGCCUGUAGUUGUUGUCCAAAGCAGCUUCCUUGUCAAUUGUCAACAAAAAGUCUACUAUGAAAUUCACUGGUAGAGCCACAUAUAGAAAAUUGCAAUAAAUGGAAAAGUAAGAAAUCUGCGCUAGGAAUGGGUGAAGCUUAUUGAAUGUAAGAUUCUAAACAGUCUCUGACUAAACAGAGUUGAAGAAUAGGGUUUCACAGGAAUAAUUUUCUUUCAUUGAGAUUAUUCUUUUAUAGAGUUUACAACAUAUACAAAUCCUUCAAAUUAUGAAACUAAAUCACUAAUUAAAAAGAAAGAAUAACUCCUAACAAUUACUUUCCUAAAAAUAAAAAGAUUAACAACUAAUAAAUAAUUUACAUCUUUACAAAGUUAUUUCUUUCCAUAUCAAUUUCGGUUUUCCAACAAACACAAUUGGAGUAUAGAUAGUAUCUCUUAAAGGGAAGUGAGGUCUUGGUGACCCUAGAAGGUUAAGGCUUCUAGAUACUGGAAUAUUUGUGUGUAGACAUACAUAAGAGAGAUGUAGGAAGGAACAGGCAAGCCUGUGUCAUCUGAGUAGAGGCAUCUGGAAUCUUUGUGUGCCAUUAUUCAAUCCAAAAAGAUGUUGGGAGAGAUUUGUUUAGGAUUUAUGUGAUGUACAGUCUUUUCACAAUCAUAAAUAUGAAGGUAUUUAAGUAUGGCAUUUUGGAAUAAGGUGAUAUACCAGUAACAUGGAAAAUAAUGUGAUCACAAAGGACUACAUAGUUAGCAUGUUUGGAAUAGUUGUGGUUGGUUAAUUUCAAGCCCAAGUUUUAGCACCUAAAAACAUGCCCAUUUUUUCCAGACCCUUUAGCAAGCCUGCACAGAAGCAUUCUCUGGUUGUUACAUACAUGGUGUCUGAUUACUACUCAAAAAGUGCUAUUUUGCAGCUUGUAAUUAACUCUUUUAAACACUCUUGAGUAGUAAUUAUUACUUUUUAACUCAAUUGACAUGUUAAGGACCCUUGCAAUCGUUUCUAAUCAAAUUGUGUUAAGUUUUGGUGUUUUUGAUAGCUUUUAGCUACACCAAAGCAAUCCAAGAAUGAGGGAGAGUUGUAUAUAGUUCAUGGCAAAGCUUUUGGAAGAUCAAAUUCAUGAAGAAACCAAGCUUUGGAGCCUCAUAGUCCUUUGCCUUAGUCAUUCAAAGUAUGCAAGGAAAGAGCAAAGGAGAGAGGAAACAGAGUGAAGAAAACAGAGGACAGCAGCUGCAGUCUUCCUUCACACUUUUGGAGCACUUCCCGAAGUCCAUUUUUUACAUGCUAUAUACCAUUUCAAAUCUUAGGAAGUCAAGAAUCCAACGCUUCAAACCGUGUAAGAUUUGGAGCUGAAAUGAGGAAGAUAUGGUCUUCGGAAGACAACUGCAUCAAGUUGAGGGACAAUUUUGCACCUUGCGAAAUUGGAACUUCAAUGUGCGAAAUUUAAAGUGUAUGGCAACUGUGCAGUCGCAGUGAAGCCCAACAUGCGAAAGUGGAUUCUAAGUUGCGAAAUCAACUUGUGAAAUUUUUGCAAGUCACCAUGCAACGUGCGAAACUGGGAUUUUUGUGCAUCGACUUUUUUUCUUCUGAUAUUUUGUGUCUAAAUCUCCAUUUUCUCCUUGUAUUCAGCCACUCAUGUAAUUCCUUAGCUAGGAAGUAUUCAAGGAAGGGUAAAUUACCUUCCUAUAUAAACUCUCUUGUAAACACUAAAAAAAACUCUCUCUCUCUCUCUGAGGAGCUUGUUCCAGGAGACGAACUAUUGUAUAUUUUACACUUAGUGAAAUAUAGAGAUCUUUUUGCUUUCCUUUUCUCUUUUCUAUUUUCUUUUUCUUGGAAGCCAAACAACCUCUGAGGAUGUUUUCCCAGAGGAUGAGAGGCUAAACCUUUGGUUUCUUAGAGUGAAGGAAGCUAGGUGAAAAGUCCAGAUGCAAAAAUGGAAAACUCUCGUGCAUUAAAUACAGGUAGUUGGAGUUCAUAAAUGGCUUUUAAAUCUAAAGUUUUGCUUUAAAUCCCUUAGAAUCACUUUGAAUGGCCAAUACAUGAUAAGCUUUUAGGUCUCUGUGGAUACUUAUUGCUAGAUCCACAUAAGACCAUUAGUUAUCAUGUACGAGCCAUUGGAAAGUGGCUCAAGGUGAAGACCCAUAGUGUCUAAAGCCAUUAAUGGAACUUGACUACCAUUUCUAUUGACUUUUUAUGGAUUAAAUCUUCAUUGUUAAACCUAUACCGGUUCGGGAAACAACCAUCCUUUAUGUUGUUGUCCCCAAUGCGAGGAGAAAGAUCCGAAAUUUCCCACUUUGCAUUCUGAACUUGAUCCUAGCAACCUUUAGCUCUGGGAGACUUUCUUUCUUCCAUUUUUACCUAGUUCUAUGUUAGUUUAGUUCCAAACACCACUUUCAAAACAAAUUUUCUUUUCUUUUAAACUUUAAGUUUUAGACAAAGGAAAUCAUCAGACUCAAUUUCUAAUCUUGAGUCUAUCACUGGUAGAGUGAAAACCCAUCCCAGAGUUCCACCCUAGAGCUGCUAUACUAUAGUAGCUUUGCUACGCCAGUAUAAGGUCAUAGGAUUUAUAAAUAUUUUUUUGAUUAAAUUACCCAACUGGGCACGAAUCAGUGUCUGCAUAUCAAUCAACACAUUUUGAUGUUUUUUUUUUCUCAAAUUCCAUAUUAAAGUUAUACUGGACACUUGAAUGUGAACAUGUCUGAUUAUAUCUUUUCUUUCCAGACAUGUUUCAUCUCUCCAGUGCACUAGGUUUGGAUGAACCUUAAAGCUCAGCUACAGAAUGAAACUGGAAUAUUAGUCAUGUUUUCUGUUCAUAGAUUGAUAAAAAUGUUGAGUAAGAUCAAGAAAGUUGUUAAAUGGGAAGAUGAUGAUUUUCUUACUGUCAGUUUGCAUUGAAAAAAUGGUAAUCAGAAAAGAUAUUUUAGAUAGGAUUCAGAAAGAAAAUAUGUUGAUUCAAAAGUUAAAGAUAUAGUACCCAAGGGGCUAUGAUCCUGUAUAUGGAUGUUUCAUGUUUUAAGAUUGUGCACGAAGUGCUGAUGUUAUAAGGGAUCAAGGGUGGUUUGUGGAGUAGUCCCCUCUUCAGAGUAUUGCAAGUAUCUAGAUAAUCCUGCAAUUCUGGAGUAGGCUUCUUCUAAUUUGCUCUGCUCCCAAUCGUCCAGAAUAGUGGAAAGCUUCAUUCAGUUGUAAUAAUUUUAUUAUUUAGAUUGAAUCAUAUUCAUUAGGUUUAUAGAUAAGGAGAAAGUGUCAUGGCUUUGAAUGUUUGUCUCUUUGAUAAUAUCACAGUGCAUUGGUUCACAGAGAUGGAAGCAUGACAGUUGAAUGAAAUGACUGAAAUGUAGCAGUCAAGGGUAUAUUAUAUGAAAAAUUUUAAAUAAAGCAACCUGUUUGACUUUACAUAGUGUGCUUGCAUCAGUUGUGGACGUCUAAUGGUUGGAAUAUCCUUGCACAUAUGUCAUCAUUUUCUUUUUUUUCAACUCUGUUUUCUUUGUUUCUCCCUUCCUCGAUCAAGCCAAACCACUUGGUGAUUCUUCAUUUCUUCUUCAUCCCAUCAAGAGAACAGCAUCUCAUGCAUCUUUGUAUUAGGUUCCUCCCUCUUCUUCAACCCUAAGGAAAAACCGUAUCUUGCUUAGUUUGGACUUCUCUAUUUCUUUUGAUCAUUGUGAAAAGAAUCAUGAGAAGAGGUACAAUAAAUGUGUUGUGCUGAAUUAUUCAAAACAUUAUUUUCAUAAUCAUAAAUACCAAGGUGUUUAAGUAGCAGGUAAGACAUCUCUUGACAAUGAGGUGAGAGGUAGAAAUAAGCAACAUACUUGUAUUCAAGAGAAGUUCUGUUCUUCUUUUGAAAUUUGACAACAUCCAUUUAGUCUGAACUCAAUAUCUGGGCAACUCAAUAUCUCCACCUUCAUUAGGAUUGCAGGAAGCUGGCUUAUUGGAAAGACAUGAAACGGGGGCAUUUCAAAAUCCAAAAAAAUUUCAGAGACCUGUUGCAACUUUUGAAUUGCUCAAAUCAGUAACAACUCCAAAGAUAUAUACAUAUCUGCCCCUGGGAAAUAGAGGUGUCCUAGGCAUGCAACCAUGGAAUGUUAGCUCCCUAAUAGGCUCAAGGUUGUGAUCAUAAAAAAUGCACUGAGUGAGUGACUUGCAAUCAGUUCUGUGAGUCCCUCUUGGUAGCUUCUCAUUUAUUUCACCAUAUGAAUUGCAGAUUCCAACUGCCAAUUUCACCACCCCUAAAUGAACUAGGAGACAUGUUGAAAGCAAAGUUAGACAACUCAUCAUAGAGUUAAUCCUGUAGGAAUACACCAAAAAGGAAAUCUUAUUAAUAUAAAUGAAUUCAUCCAAUUAAAGGAUAAGGUUGCCUGAAAAAUUAAAUUGAGAGAGAUGGAUAUAGUGAUGCUUACAUGGGACUGUGGGAAGGAUCAACAAGAGAAACAAAUAUUGAAUAGAAAAUGCAAAGCCAUAGAGUUUGCAACUGCUGUCAAAAGCUGCUCCCUAGUGAAGUCUUUUAACAAUAAAUUUUAGUGCAAAAUUCGCCUAAUUGCUCCACUUGUAGGACAUUUCAAUAGUAUGAAAACAGGAUAUGGUGAACUCUCCCUGCUUCUUCCAUUAGUGAACUAAUAUGGAUCAAAGAUGAAUCUCGUCAUCUACAUCUAUUUUUACAUAGGAGAUGUGGGCAAUCUUGGGCCAAUCUUUCAUCAUUGGAUUUAGGAGUUGUCUUUGAUUUAUGGUUCUAAAAGCAUGGCAGGAAACCCUUCACUUGUCAAAUACUACUGGAGCUUAGGUGAUGUCUCAAUGUGGGGAUGCCAAGGAUACCAGAUUCUGGAAUCUUUACAUGAAAAUAUACAUGAGAUCCAUAGGGAGAAAAUACAGGCCUUGGUCAUCUGAGAAAGAAGCCACAUAUUGAAAUAUACCACCAACGAUGAAUUGUUUGAGAGUGGUGAGUCUGUGAGGGCCCCACUAGGACCUGGGGUGUUUCUCACAUUCUUUCAAUCUUCAAUCUGAAAUAUCCACUUAAGCAAUUGUACCUCUAGGAAUGAGUCAUUUUGGGGCAGAUUGUUUUCAUUUUCCUUCACACCAUUGUUUCACCAUAGGGCACUAAAUGAUAUGUAGUUGCAAGACAAAUAAAGGUAGCCUUUAAUGAAAGCUUAUAGAAAUUCAAGACAAACAGAUCUUCAUGGAGAUAUGAGGUUUUGAAAUCCAAUAAAGAUUUGAAAAUCCAGACACGAGUUAUCCAAUGUACCCAUUGGUAAUAGAGUUGGGUAGUAUUGUUCCUUCUACCCUUGGAAAAUGACAUCACAUGAGAAAUUCCACUAGUAAUGGGGAGCUUAAGUGAUGUGUUGGGGCUUGGGCAAUGUUGUAUCUUAAGAUAUUCAAGAGAUGUGUGAUCAUGCAUCAACCCUAAUUCUGCUAGCAUAAUCUGGUUUUCAGUCUUAAAUAUGUAGUUAAAAUGUAUGGCAGGUCAUGCAUGCAUCUCUGAUAUUGUCAUGAGAAGUGGAGAUUGAGCAACAUACAUGAUUCAAGGGAUGUGCAAUUGUUCUUAUCCAUCGAACAAUCUUCAUUUGAUACAGAGCCCAGAUUUUUAGCAACUUGUGAUCUCCACAUUUUAACACAUUGGAGGAAGUUGGCCUAUUCAACAAACAAGACAGGACAUUUAGAAAAAUGCAAGAAUUCCAGACAUGUGUUGCUGUCAUGAAUUAUUCUAAUCAGUAAGGAAUCAAAGUGCUAUAAUUUUGAUUUGUGUAGCUAUUUAACAUGGAUAACAGACCUAUCUUGGGGAAGUAACUUAAGUCCCACACACCAUCUCAAUCCUGAGCUCUCUGGGAUACUUAAGACACCAACUUAAUCAAAGUUGCUACUUGUUUCUAUGGUAGCUCGUCUUUUUCCACUGAUACUGGGGAAAAAGCAAAACAAAGGGAAAUGAAGUCAUGUUAUGAUCCUGUCUCCAAUCUCCUUGACACAGAUAGAUGAUUUCCUUGCAACCGAUAAUGUCUAAUGCUUUCACUUCAGUUCUAGCAUGUGUUUUGGGAAGAGAAUUAAGCUUUCAAAUAUUGCCAAUAUGCAAGGAAUUGAGAAAGGCCAGGUGGGCAGCUGCCACAGUUAGUUCACAAACCAAUGGCAACAUUGGAGUGGAACAUGACACAAAAACUUCAAAAGACAAAACCUGUUUUUCACAAUCAUAAAUACCGAGGUGUUUAAGCAUAAAGUAAUGCAUCUAUUGACAAUGAUAUGUGACGUGGAGACAAGCAACAUACCUGUAUUCAAGAUAAAUGGUAUUCUUCUUUUGCAUUGACAACAUUCAUCUAGUCUAGGCCCCAAAUUUUUAGCAACUCUAGAUCUCCACCUUUAUUAGGAUUACAGGAAGCUAACCACUUGGAAAGACAUGAGAGUAACAUUUAGAAAUCUGAAAGGAUUCUAGAGAGCUGCUACAAAUGGUGAAUCAUUCCAAUCAGUAACAACAAGGAGCCCUAUAUACAAUUUUGAACUAUCAGCCUUCAUAGCAUGAAUGAUAAACUUGUCCCUAGGAAUGAGAUGUGCCUUGGGCAUGCAACCUUCAAUUAUUAGUCAGAGUUACCCCUACCUAAUCCAUUUCGAUGUGUCUGGGAAAACGAGGUCCACCAGAUGUUAUGGCCAUUAUCUCAUGGUAGUGGAUGUUUUGAAGCAGAGUAUCACUGGAGGUUAUGGCCAUUAUCCCAUUGCAGCAGAUGUUUUGCACCAGAGUUUAAAACCAAGUCAUUGACAAAGGCCAUAGUGAUGUCAUUGAUUUUAUUCUAAACCUAUCAAAAACAAUAUGAGAUUCACUUUGAUUUCAAGUUAUGCAAGAUCUAUAUGAGCUCAAUUGUUUUGAAACUUGAUUGAUGUUUCGUUGGUCAGGUUUUUUUUAGACAUGAACUUAUUUUUUGUGCUUAACUUGAAGAAGCUGCUAAUAAGACUGAAUAGUCACAUAUCACUUAGAGAGUUGAGAAUCACACAACUUUUUCGUUUUUUUUAGGACUGGUUUGUCAUCAAGUCUUUUGCUCAGUUGUUGUGAUGGUUUGAAAUUUCUAUCUGAUGACUAUAACCUAUAUAAACAACAACUUGUAUUCUCUUAUCUUGAGCAUUUUAGUAUUCAAUAAAAAAGACCUUUACUAAACCUGCAGAUUUUUUCAAGUGAUAUUUUUUUUUUCAACAAGGAAGGGAGGCAUUUUUAUUGGUAGCAUAUCCUGAUUCAUAGAGUCUAAACCCUUGCAAAUUGAAAGAAAGACAAUUUACAUAUCAUUAAAGGGUGAUCUGUAAGCACUCUUAUAAGCCAACAUCUUCCUCAUUUGGAUUUGGAAUUUAACCUUUGAUAAGCGUUUACUUGUUUUUAAUCUAUUUUUUAGGAAGACAAUUAAUGAGAUUUUGCCAACCAAAAACAGAGGUUUGUUAGCCCUCCUACCCUCAAGCUGGUUCUCUUGCAUAUGCUUGAAGAACUAAAACAAAGUAAUGCACUAUAUCCUAGUUCUAACGAUUUCCAAUCCCCGGCAACGGCUCCAAUUUCUUGACCAAACUUCUCUACUUAAUCAAAAUACUUAGCCUUUUUGCGUAGCAACUCCGGUCAAGAAAAAACUAGAGAAAUAGUCACUACGUCUUUUGUAGUAUUCCGGGUAUCGUCCUCAAGGACUGGCUUAUGGAAAUUGUCAAUACAAGAAUAAAUGAAUUGCUUUUAUUUAAAUUCUAAAGUGAAAACCAAUAUGUGAAUAAUGUGAAACUAAGUAAAAGAAAUGAAAUUAAUAAAAAAAUGAAUAUUCAUUUUAAAUUCAAUUGAUUCAAGUUUGGGGUUUUCCACAAUCCAACAUAGGGUAUAGAAAUUAGAGAAAACAAGGGUCUUUUAAGUAAUAUGAUCUUAGGAUUUUGGGAUCCUUAGCCGCUCGCUAUCAAGUUGAGUUCUAUAACUCAAAAUUGCAUCUGAAACUUAAUUUUUGCUUUUUAAAAUAGAUUCCUAAAACCAUCAAAUGAAUGAGAUUGAUUACCAAUUUAAGAUUUGGCUUUUUAACCCUUCCAACUCCUUAUAGCUUUGUUUAGGGGCAAAUAGCGAUAGGGAAGACGAGGAUAACUAAUGGUCAAGAAUUACCAAGAAUCACUAGUAUCAGGUAAUAACCUACGGUAUCAUUCCCUAAACGAACUCACAAAGAUAGGAUAAAAAAAUGAUAAAUUGUCACCCAACCAAUAAUUAAUCUCAUUGUUAUAAUAAUUUACCCAUUGUCCCUAUAGGUUUCCUAGACCUUAGGUUUUCAUGCUUCAAGCCCCAAGUUGGCUCUUAACCUCUCAUGGGGGUGAUGUCACAUUCACAAUCCAUAAUAGGGUAAAAAUCCAUAAUUUGAAUCAAAAGAAACCAAUUAAUUAGUCAUUGCAUUUUCAUAGUCUUACAAGAAAUCUUGUUAUGGUGGCAGGAGAACAAACUACAACAUAGUCUCAUUUCCCUUCAUGAUUUAGACAUUAUAAAGAUCAAAAACCUGUUCCUGGUAAUAUAAGAAAAAGAGUAGCCAAAGAACAGGAACAAAAUGUAUUGGAACCUUGUGGAAUUGAAUAGUUGGUAUCCAGGUGGAAAAAAUACACAAAAAUGCACUUAACAAACUGCUAAUCAACAGGCCAAGAUUCUACUUCCAAGAGACAGGUUUGUCAUCCAUGUCAAGAAGGCUUGCACUUCAUUUUUCUGGGACUUUGGCAUCAACAAAUUUCUGGAAUUCUUUCAGGUUUCUAAAUGGAAUGGUUCAAGUCAUCAACACAUUCCUAGAAUUCUUUUGUAAAUGUCAUCAUCCUGGCCAACUUUCUUCAGUGUUGAAAGAGGGGGUGAUACCAUGUUGCUAAAAAUUAUAGUCCAUAUGUACUAGAUGGACAAGAACUACAACACUUGUAUUAGAAACAUCUCUGUUGCCUGGAUUUGCAUUACCUGCCAUAAUUAAGCACCUUUUUAUUAUUGUAGCAGAGUGUUUCAGAGUCACCCAUACCUAAUCCAUCUUCAUGUCUCUCAAACAACUAGGUCUAUUGGUAGUAGAAGAAGAGCAGCUUGAAUAGCUGGUCAUUUCCUUUUAUAAUUUAGGGAUAGAGGUUAAAAACUACCGCACUUAAAUAACUGGUAUUCAGGUGGACAAGAACUACAACACUUCUCUAAGAAACAUGUAUAUUAUUUCUUCAACUCUUACUCUAUUCCCUGGAGUUGCAUUACCUGCCAUGAUUAAUCGCCUCCUAUUUAUUCUUGUGGAGAAACAGGUUUUGGUGUAUGUAGAGAGACUAUACAAUUAUUGCACCUCUUGAUUUUCAAGACCGCCCAACCUCUCCUUGAGAAUCUAGAAUUGUCAAACUGAUUUAUGGCUAACCUUCCAAGGACCUUAGGGGCUUCAUACAAGGUAGAUCUUGUGUAAGAGAUUCAAAAUUAUCUCUACAUAAUCCAUCUCCAUUUCUUUAUAAUAACUAGAUGUUGAUUCAUGCCCAAUUGGUGUCUUAGCUGAUUCGUGUCCAGCUGGUGCUCCUUGAUAGAGGGAGUAAUCAACAAAAUUUCUAACCUAUAACACCAUAUACUAGGGUAGCAAAGAAAAAGCUACUAUAGUAUAGCGGCUCUAGGAUCGUUCAUUGGGAAGGAUUAGCAAGCUAUCAAUGAUACCAAUUCCAAGUGAAUUGGUCUUGUUUCAUUUCAAGGUUAGCUUAAGAAAUAAAACACAAACUUUGAUUGGUAAAGAUUUAAACUAACUAACAUAACAAGUACUCAGAAUAACUUAGGAAGAAAAGCAUUCCUUGGAGAGUUAGGUUCACUGGGGUGGUUCCUCAUGCAAAAGACAUAGCUCUGGUCAGAUGGUUCAUUUCCACGCGUUAAAGAUUCAACAUAUAGUCAAUUCUCUAACCGGUGUUGCACAGAUACCCCCUUCAAUUAGAUUUUACUUUAAUUCUCUCACUGAUGCAACUUGCAAUGGUUUCAGCCUCUCACUAAGCCGUAACCAUUCAAGGUGAUCUUUAACCUUGGAUUACCCGUCAAAAGCUCACAAGAGAUAACUAAUGAAUGUCUCCUUGGAGUCCAAAAGCUUACCAAGUGUUGGCUAUUCUAGAAAAUCCUACCCUAAAGUCACCUCCCAGAGGCUCGCAAGGGGUAAACUAGUGCAUUUCCAUGGUUCGAAAUCACUUGCCUUACCAAGUAUUGGCCCAGGUGACUAUAAGGUGUUUUAAGUUAACUAAAAACAUAGAAAUCACUAAAGGAUUUCACUUCCUCUUCAUUAAUAGCUAAAACCACAAAGAUUUGCAUUCUUGCACUUGGAACCUUCCCCGGCAACCUUAGCUCCAAGGAAUUAGAGGUUUAGUUACUCAUUCUCUGGGGAAAACUCCUCAGAGAGUUCAUAACUUAGUAAGAAAAUAAAAAUACAAAGUGAGAAGGUAAAGCAAUACAAAGAACUGAACUUUACUUGCUUACCCAAGACUUUUACAAAAGGAUCUCCUCUCUGAGAACAGGCUCCCGAGAGGUACUUAUAUGAACAUAAUAUAAAACUAAUUAUUACAUAGAUAUUUUCUCUUUUUACUAACUUAAAAGCUAAGGAAUCUUGUAAUUGGUGGCUUACAAGGAGUAUUUUGGGAUUUAGACAACAAAAAUCUGAUGUAAAAUAUCUCCCAAUGUCGGUAGCAAAUAUCGGGAUGCUCCAGGAACCAUUUCGCAAGAGAAAAUGGUGUCUGCGAGAUUUCGCAGGCACUCAAGAAGGGCUGCGAAAUCAUUUCGCAACAACAUGCUAUCUUCGCAAGGCUGCGAAGUUGGCUUCCACCUUGAGGUUCUCAGAUCCCAGCUUGCAGCAUAUAUCAGGCAACUUCAGAAGGAAAUACACCCUACUGUACAAAAAGGCUGCGGAAUCACUUCGCAACAAAAGGGUGAUUUCGUAACACUUUGGAAAUUGCUUCCUUCAGCUUGGAGUGAUUGGCUUGCAAUGGCUGCAACUUCUUCGUUUCAACUCCGAAUUGCGCACCAUUUAAAGCAUUGGAUUGUUGACUUCCUGAGCUUUGAAAUGGUAUAUAUCAUGCAUCAAUUGGACUUCAGAAAGUACUCCAAAAGUGGCUGCUACAACUGUCAUCAAGAAUAUGCUUCAUGGCAGAUUCUCUUUACUUUUUCUCCUUGCAAUCCGGAUUUACUCUUGGAAAAUGACUUCUAAACUUUACCCAAGAUUCCUCAAAACUCUCCUCAAACUUGAAUUGAUUUGGUGAUCAAAUUACUAACAAAAACACCAAAACUUACACAAAGUGAUUAAAAUUGCUUUCAAGGGUCCUUAACAUGCCAAUUGAGUUAAAAGGCCAAAACUACUAAUCAAAAGUGUUUAAAAGGAUUAAUUAUAAGCUAUCAAAUAGCACUUUUUGAGUAGUAAUCAGAUGUUAUGGCCAAAAUCUCACAUAAGGUGUCAGGUUCAUGUUGGGGCUCAUUCACAAGAUUAAGAUGAAUAUAAUAGGGGAUGUUCCAGAUUUACCACCAGCCAUGUUGUCAAGUUGUUCAAUUUUCUUGUGUUGACUAUGGCCACAAUCACAGUUGUGUGUCCUUUCCCAAAAGAAAUGUCAUUUUGAAACUUUUAAUGUCAACAACAAAACUUUCAUGUUUCUAUAUUCAGGUACCCACAAAAAAUUGAGUCCCUGUUUGCAUCCAAUGAUAGAAAGUAAUAAUCUGAACAAGGGAACAAGUGAGGAGAAAACUAAUUCUAAACACGGAAGCCAAGUACUUGAUUUCUGUUUGACUGGUGGAAUAAUUGAAAUGUAUUUACAGAUUUAGCAUUAGAUAAGUUUAACAAAAUCACUAGUUAACCCCCAAACCUCUUCCCUCCACCCACCACAAAGGAAAGAAACAACGUUUUGGGAUCCUAGUAGCUUUAUGUUACAAGAUUCUGAUCAACAUAUGCUGCAAAGUAUUAUGUUGGUUCAAUUCCUCUACUUUGCAUUGCAACAAAGUAUAAGUGGGUUUUCUCUUUUCUUCAUCUUCAAAUGAAACAACCCUUCUCAAUAAAAGAAUACAAGAAAUUGAGAGCUAAGACCAUUUCCUUUCAUUGUGCUUUGUUUACUCUACUCCUUCUUUUGGUCAAGCCAAACAAUCUUUGGCUUGUCCAUUUCUUUUUCACCCCACAUAAAAAGGCAGCUUGUUAAGUUAUCCCAUCUCUUUAUCCCCUUGUCAAGACACAGAAUUUAAUGCAUUGUUGUCUUGGAUUCCUCCUAGUUAAAAGGAAGCUUGAAAUAUCUCUAGUGCUUCUCUGUUUCUUUGAGUCAAAUGAUAGAAUAUUGAUUUUCUCUGUUUCUUUGAGAUGCAAGAGGUUUGUACAGAACUUAGGUGAUGUAACUAUUGGUCAGUGAGGUAUUUAAUUAGAGAACUUUGGAGGCUUGGGCAUUACUAUUUAUUUAGAUAUUCAAAAUGCAUUAUUGCACAUCUUCUUGACUUCCUGUAAAUGAACUUGUUUUUCACAAUCAUAAAUAUGGAGGUAUUUAAUUAUGGUAGGUAAUAUACCACCUAGAAAUUGAUGUGGAAGGUGGAGACUAACAACAACAUAGAUGUAUAUAAGGGAUUUACACUUAGUCUUGUGCAUCAAACAACCCUCAUUUAGUAUAAACCAUAAAUUUUGGCAACUCGUGAUCCACAAUUUAGAGCAUGAGAGGAAGCAGACCUGUUGGAAAGACAAGAGGAGACAGUUAAAAACAUGCAAGAAUUCCAUAGAUGAGUUGCUGUUAUGAAUUAUUCAAAAUCCAUGAGAAAAUUUAAAGCCCAUUAAUUUUGAAUGAAACACCUACUUAGCAUGGAUCAGAAACCUAUUUUACGAAAAGAAACCAAGUCUUGAGGACCAAUUCAAUUACCAAAUCUCUAGGAAAUACUAAGGCCUUUUUAGUAGCUUCCUAAUUAGUGCAUAAGGUGGCAAUGCUAAUUGCUUUUUUGGAAGUUCUUCUUCUUCUGGUAUCGAGGAAAAUGCUAUAAUCCUAAAUCUGCAUUCUCUAUGUACAAAUGUUUUUUUCGAUGCAUACUGUUAGAGAAGAUGAGGAAGCUUCAGAAUGUUAGUUGACAAAUCAAUUGGAGCAAUGGAAUUGGAACAGGACACUAACUUCACAACAUUAAAAAUAAGUAAUGCAGAUAAGGGCAUUUAUAUGUACACAUAUUGAUCAGAAAUAAACUUCAUUCUUUAGCAACCUAAAAACUCAAAAGAAAGAAGUAUAAUUUCAGAUAUGCAAGAUUUUGAUCAAUUAAAGUCCAAAGCAUUUUAUGUUCAUACAAAUGAGAAGACAGAAUGGCAGCUGACUUUGAGGAUUGAUAGAAAAAUGAAUUGAUGCUACUUCCCAAUGCUAAUGCCAUUAAUUUGUUGUUGCUUUUUGUGGCCAUGUCAAGCUUGUCCAUCAGAUAAGGUUUGAAUUGCUUCUAUUAUUCUUGUUUAAGACAAUCCCCCCCUCCCCCCCUCCUUUUUUUUCUUUGUUAUAGUCAAUCAUCUUGUUUCAUGUUUGCCCUAUAGUUGGUCUGCUGAUGGUAGGCUUCUUUUGAGUGGAAGCAAAGACUCUAUGUUGAAGGUAAAUCAUGGGAACUAUGUCUUUUUGUGGUAUCAAUGGGGCUAUCAUAUAGUUGAAUGAUUCUAUUGCUUCCUUAUAGCUUUUCAAGGCACUAAAAAAGAAAAGAACAAAUGUGACAUGGCAACAUUUUUUUCUUCCAAGUUUAAACGGUAAUUUGGGAGAGUGUAUUAUGAAAAUAUACUAAAAUAAAAAAUCCUAUGAAUGCAUUCUACUUUGGAUAUUUCUUAUGAAUCUUUCCUUCCACUCCUAACCACCACAGACACUCCCAUCACACCAAGCCUUGUAGUUGUUCUAAAUUGUUGCAAAUCUGUCAGAAACCAAUUACUAAUAUUAAGGACGGUCAUGUCUACUAAUUUGGGGCUAGAAUUUUUAGAGCAGGUGGGAAAUUCUGGUUGCAGUAGGGAAUGUGAGUGCUACUAUUUUGCCAAGGUGGCUUUCCUUAUUCAUGCUAACAUCAACAACAUAGCAAUGAACUCAAUUUAAUAUUGUUUAUCAUAUAGGCUUGAGAUAUCCGGACAUAAAAGUUAAAACAAGACCUUCUAGGCUAUGAAGAUGAGGUAUUUUCCUCCUCUUAAGUACUAGUUAAUAUUCUUCUUUUGACAUUGUACUUGGUUUAAUUAAUGUUUUCCUUCUUUUCGUAUUUUGGAAAGGUUUUUGCUAUUGAUUGGAGUCCAGGUGGUGAGAAGGUAUUCUCCGGUGGUAAGGAUAGAGUACUCAAUUUAUGGAUGGGUUGAUGGCUGAAGGAGGAAGAGAUGUAUGAAAUGAAGAUUGAUAUUAUUCUUCCACAACAUGAUGGACUUGACAGCACUCAGCUUUUGCCUACAGUUAAUAGUCUACCAUAUGUGUAACUUAAAGGUUGUGCACUAAGUUCUGAUGUUAUGAAGGAUCGAGGGUGGUUUGUGCACUAUGCUUUUCUAAAAUGUUUUUCUUUAUUGAGUUGUAAUGAUUGUAUUAUUUGGAUUUAAUUGUAUUAAUUAGGUUUGCAGAUCAUGAUAUGAUUAUUUUCCUCUUUGAUCAUGUAAAGUUGGGAAACAGUUAUGGGUUACUGUAAUAGUAUGGUAUAUUGAUGCACAUAGUUUGUGGCAUGACAAUUUGAUGAAAUAACAGAAGUGUAGCACUCAUGGGCAUAUCAUGUGAACCUUAUUCAAUGUGGCAUUGAUAAUUAGUUUAAAUUUACAUGGGUGUAAUGUCGCACCAGUAUCAUCUGAUGAACCUUGGAUUCUUUUUUCUCAGUUUCUUCCUCUCUUAGUCAAGCUAAACAAUUUAUCUUCAUGACUUCCUUAUGUUACCAAAAAAUAGCAUCUUGUGUUCUCCAUAUCUUCAUCCCCUUGUCAAGACACAACAAUUUGAUGCAUCUUUGCAUUGGGUUACUUCCUCUCAUUUCCCUCUCCUUCUUCCUCGUAUCAUUGCUUAGUUUUGGCUACUCUAUUUCUUUUGAUCAUUAUGGUAGAGCAUCAUUGCAAGAUGUAUAAGAAAUGUUGUGGUGCAUUAUCCCCUUCUCUACCACCUGAAAUCUGUUUUCCAUGAUCAUUAAUACCAAGAUGUGUAAGCAUCAAGUAAGGCAUCUCUUGACAAUUAUGUAAGAGAUAAGAGACAAGCAACAUACCGGUAUUCAAGAGAAGUGAUGUUCUACAUUUACAGUUGGCAACAUGCAUUUAGUCUGAACUCCAGAUUUGAGCAACUUAGAAUCUCCACCUUCAUUAGGAUUGCAAAAAGUUAACUUCUUGGAAAAAUGUGGAAAUGGGGCAUUUAGAAAUCAGAAAGAAUCCCAGUGACCUAUUGCUACUUUUGAAUCAUUCCAAUCACUAACAACUCUAAAGAUAUAUAUAUACAAAUCUAUCCUUGGGAAAGAACUCGAUGUUUCUUGGGCAUGCAACCAUCUCUCUUAAUAGACUUAGGGUUCUACACCCUCUUGGUGGUUUCUUAUAUAUUGCACCAUAUGAUUUGUAGAUAUCCAAUUGUCAAUUUCACUACACUUGAUGAACUAGAAGCUAUGUUGAAAGUGAAGUUAAACAACCCAUCAUAUCCGGUUAAAGGAUAAAGUUGCAUGAAAAAUUGAAUUGGGAGAGAUACAAAUACUGAUGCUUACGUGGGACUGUGGAAGGAAUCAACAUGAGGAACAAACAAUUAAUAGUAAAUGUAAAGUCAUAAAGCUUGUAACAACUGUCAAAAGCUACUCUAUAGUGAAGUUUUUUAACAAUAAAGGUAACUGAAAAAUUCACCAAGUAACUCCACUUGAAGGAAAUUUCAAUGGUAUGAAACUAGAAUAUGGUGAACUCUCCUUGCUUCUGCUAUUGUUAUGAGCCAUUAUAGAUCAAAGAUGAAUCUCGCCAUUUGUUUUCACAUAGGAGAUGUGGGCUAUCUUUGGGUCAUCUCUCAUCAUUGGAUUUAGGAGUUCUAUCUCUCAUAUAUAGUUUCACUUGCCAACUACAAAUGGAGCUUAGAAAAUGUCUCCAUGAUAUGGAGACUGAGAAACAUACAUGAUUCAAGGGAUGUGUAGUUGUUCUUGUGAAUCACCCAAUCUUCAUCUAAUAUAUAUAGAUCGACACACAAAUUUUAGCAACUUGUAAUCUCCACAUUUUAGAGCACUGGAUAAAGCUAGCCUAUUCAACAAACAUAACACAAUUAGAAAAAUGCUAGAAUUCCAGAGACAUGUUGUGAUAUCAUGCAUUCCAAUCAGUAAGGAAUCAAAGUGCUAUAAUUUUAAAUUGUGUAAUAAUAGACCUAUCUUGGGGAAGUAAACUAUCUUGAGCACCAACUCAAUUGUGAGUUAUUUAGGAGACCUGGAUACCAACUCAAUCAAAGCUGUUAGUUGUUUCUGUGGCAGCUUGUCUUCCUCCACUAAUACUGGAGAAAAUGCUUUUGAAACCCUUAAUCUUCAAAUCACAAAGGGAAAUUAGAUUAUGUUGUUAUUCGAUCUCCAAUCUCCUCGACACAAACGAAUGAUUUCCUUGCAACAAACAAUGUCUAAUUCUAUCACUUGUACUCUAGCAUGUGAUUUGGGAAGAGAAUUAAGCUUUGGAAUAUUGCCAAUAAACAAGGAAUUGAGAAAGACCAAGUAGGCAGCCACCACAACUAGUUCACAAACAAAUGGAAGCAUUGGGAGUGGAACAUGACACAAAAACAAAACAUGUUUUCCAUAUUCAUAAAUACCAAGGUGUUUAAGCAUCAGGUAAGGCAUCUCUUUACAAUAAUAUGAGAGAUAGAGACAAGCAGCAUACCAUUAUUCAAAAGAAGUGGUAUUCUUCUUUUGCAUUUGAUAACAUUCAUCCACUUUACACCCCAAUUUUGGAAACUUAGGAUAUCUCCACUUUGAUUAGGAAUAUUGUGGGAAGUUGGCCUCUUGGAAAUACAUGAGAGGCCACUUAGAAAUUUGAAAAAAUUCUAGAGACUUGUUAUUGCUUGAAUUGUGAAUCAUUCCAAUCAGUAACAACCGUAAAGCCUUUAUACACAAUUUUGAAUUAUUAGCCUUCUUACUUUGGAUGAAAAAUUUGUCCCUAGAAAAGAGACGUGUCUUGGGGCAUGCAACCAUCAAUUAUUAGCUCUUUAAAAGGCUUGAAGUUGUGCACGCUCUUGGUAGCUUCUCAUUCAUUACAACAUAUAAAUUCCAGAUAUCCAAUUGCAUGUCACUUUAAUUGAACAUAGUAGGAAACAUGGUGAAUAGGAAGUUAGACAACCUAUCACAAAAAGAAUCCAACAAUAAUACACCAAAUAGAACAUCUUGCUAAUUUAGUUAAACUAUUGUGUGAAAAUCUAAAUUGGGAGAGAGAAAACAUUGAUGCUUACAUGGGACUGUGGAAGGAACCAACAAGGAAAACAAACUUUGAAUAGAAAAUAUGAAGCCUUAAAUCUUGUAAUUGUUGUCAGAAGUUGCCCCCUAGUCAAGUUUUCAAUAAAAAAGUUCAGUGCAGGGAUUCUCUAGUAGCUCAACUUGUAGAAAAUUUUAACAGUAUGACAAUUUAUACUUAUAAAAAGAAAAUAAAAUGUAAGAAUUAUGUGUUGGGAAUAGAUGAAACUUACUGAAUAUAUGGAUAGAAUAGGGUGAACUCCACCUGCUUCCAUUUUUGGAAUCCAAACUAUUAUGGAUCAAAGAUGAAUCUCUCCAUCUAUUUACAAAUAUGACUUAUGGGCAAUCUUGAACUGAUGUCUCAUCAUUGGAUUUAGAAAUGAUGUAUAGCUUUGAAACCAUGGCAGGGUUCUCCUUUAGUUGCCAAAUACCACUAGAGCUUAGGUGAAGUCUUGGUGAUGUAGGAAAGUCAUGGAUUCUGGAAUCUUUACAUUAAAAUAUACGUGAGAUACAUUGGAAGAAAGGGCACCAUCUGAGAAGAAACACAUCUUAAAGUAUACCAUCAAUCAUGAGUUAUUUGAGAGUGAGAAGUCUUUGAAGGCCUCACUCAGAUAAGGGAUGUCUUUGACAUUUCUCACUCUUCAAUCUCAGGAAGAUACAUUAUCAACUAAAACCUUAGGAGUGUGAGUCAUUAUGGGACAACUUGUUUAUGUUCUUUAUUCUUUUCUCACCAGAGGGGAUUGAAAGAUAUGUAGUUGCAAAGGCAAAAGAUGUAGCUAGUAGCGAGAGCAUCGAACAAUCCUUCUCUAAUGCAGACCACAAAUUUUAGUAACUCGUGAUCUCAACAGUUUAGAGCACAAGGAAGUUGUCCUGUUGGAAAUAUGUGACAUGACAUUUAGCAAAUGGGCAAGAAUUCCAAAGAUCAUUCCAAUAAUUAAGGAAUCCAAAGCCUUAUAAUUUGAAUAGGGCAUCUACUUGGCAUGGAUAACGCACCUAUCUUGGGACAAAGACCACAUGUUAAGCACCAAUUCAAUUAUCAACUCUCUAUGAAACUGGAGAUACAAGGUACUAAUGUUAGUACAAAUUACCUGGCAGCUCUUUUUCUUUAAUGGUAUUAGAGGCAAAGCCUUGUGAAAACCCCCAAUCUACAAAUUACUAAGGACAUGAGAUCAUGUUGUAAUCUUAUCUUCAAUAUCCAACUACAAAUAAAUUAUUUCGUUCAAUUAACAAUCUUUAAUGCUUUCACUUCUAUCAUACAAUAUGCAAUAUGGGAAAACAAGUAAGCUUUAUAUUAUUAGGAAUAUGCAAGGAAUUGAUGAAGGCUAUGAAUCUACUUAAAAUUAAAAAUUAAAAAAUAAAAACAAAGAUUUUUUCACUCAUGAAUAUCGUAACUAGAAACAACUGCUUGCAGUUGUUUUACAUAGAUGAAUUGUUUGUCUUUUUGCAUUAUUUUGUAGAAAAUAUUUUUAUGAGCACUACUAAUUUUUUCAUAUCCGUUUAUAUUGAUGCAUUUCAUAUUACUCAUUUUAGGUGGAUGCACAAUGCUGAUCCAACUCUCCUCCUUUUGGAUGUCUUUCUAACCAUUGUUAGGAUUCAUUAAAAAUGACCUUUAUCAAACCUACGGAUUUUUUCAAGUCAGUUAUAACUUGUAUAAACCUUAUGUAACUCGAAAUGUUUUAUUUUUAAAACAGUCCAUAUCUAUUGGCAACUUACAUGUUUUUCACUACAUUUUUUUUCAAAGAGGAAAUGAGGCAUUUUUCUUUAGUAGUAUAUUGUGAUUCACAAAGUAUAAACUCUUGCAGAUUGAAAGAAAGACAAUUUACAUAUCAUUCAACAGUAAUUAGUAAGCACUUUUAUAUGUUUAUAGCUUCUUCUUAUACGGUUUGUCUUUUAUGGCAUUUACUCUUUUGUUAUUCACAUAAAAAAAACACCCGAUUUACCUUUCAAAUAUAAAAUUCAGUUAUGCAGGAAGGCCAUAAAUUGAACAUGAUAAGAUGGGAAAUGUGUUUCAGGACAACUUUGUGUUCUUGCAUUAUAAGGUUUAGUAUAAUUGUGUGUAGUUCUACAAUCAACAACAUUCUAUUGACUUUGGAUUUGGAAAAAUAACUCUAAUGAGCAUUUACUUAUUUUUCAUACAUUUUUCAGGAAUCCAGUUAAUGAGAUUUUGCUUACAAAAAACUAGAGGUUUGUUAACUCUCCUAUAAUCAGAGACUAGUUCUCUUGCAUAAAUUUCAAGCAAAUUUAUAACCCUCUUCUUUGAUAGUCUUUUAUAUUGGAAUUGAACUUCUUGGUGUCUUUGAAUUAUUUAAAUAUUGGAAGCCAAUUAAGGAGUCAUGCAAUGGCAUAUUGUGAAACUUGAUACACAUAAAAAUAAAAUCUAUUAUAUUAUUUUUCUCACUAAAGAAUCAAAACAUAUGCUUUUCAUUUUGAAUGUUUCAGACUUCAUGUCUUCUCUUUCAUUUACGAUAUUGUCGUUGGUGAACUGGGAAUGUUGUCAAGAAUUUUAGAGCUUGACUAUCUGGCCUUUUCCAAUUCCUUAGAGAUUGGUAAUAAUCCAAUGAUCAAUUGUUUUCCCAAAGUGGCUUACGCUAGCAUUAGCAGAUGUGAAAUUAUCAAUGACCAUUCAUUGUAAAGAAAUCUUGUUAUUAUGGUAGGAUAAUAGACUGUAAUACAGUUUCAAAAUUUUGGGACUUCAGCAUCAACACCUUUCUAGGACUCAGAUUUCUAAAUGGAAUGAUGCAAGGCAUCAACACAUUCAUAGAAUUCUUUAAGAAUUCUAAAUGUGAUCUUGGUAUCUUAAUGACAGGCCAACUUUCUUCAAUGUUGCUAAAAAUUGCAGUCCAUAUAUACUAGAUGGGAAUCCACCCAUGGAUAAGAAAUGUAUGUUGCUUUAUCUUCACCUCUCACUGUCUCACACCCUAUUGCCUCAAGUUGCAUUACUUGCCAUAAUUAAACACCUCUUUUAUCAUUGUGACAAAACAAGUUUUGCCAAAACGAUAUGAGAUUCCCUUUGAUUUCAAGUUAUGCAAGAUCUAUAAGAGCUCAAUUGUUUUGAAAACAUGAUUCAUAAAUACUACGCUAACAUUCAGUUCAUGAAUACCAUGUACCAGAAGAAGGCACUAAGAAAUUUGUGUCAUUUACUUUUAGGAUUCUAUCUUCAACUCUAGUUCAUGCUCAAUUGUUUUAUUAACUACAGUUGCUUUGAAUGAACAUGUCAAAGUACAAGUACUAAACUAGUUCAUUUCCAAUCAAAUUACUAUUCCCGAUUCAUAGAGUAUAAACCCUUGCAAAUUGAAAUAAAGAAAAUUUACAUAUCAUUCAAUGGUGAUCUGUAAACACUCUUAUGUGUCUACAUCUUCCUCAUUUGGAUUUGGAAUUUAACUUCUGAUAAGCGUUUACUUGUUUUUAAUUUGUUUCUUAGGAAUCCAGUUAAUGAGAUUUUGCCAACCAAAAACAGGGGUUUGUUAGCCCUCCUACCCUCAGGCUGGUUCUCUUGCAUAUGCUUGAAGAAUAUUGGAAGCUAAUUAAUGAGUCAUUGCAGUUUCAUAGUCUUAUAAGAAAUCUUGUUAUCGUGGCAGGAAAACAGACUGCAACAUAGUCUCAUUUCCCUUCAUGAUUUAGACAUUGUGAAGAUCAAAAACUUGUUCCCUGAUAAUAGAAGAAGAAAAGCAGCCAAAGAACAGCAACAAAAUGUAUUGGCACCUUGUGGACUUGAAUUGAUGGUAUUCAGGUGGCAUAAAUAUACAAAAAUACACCUAACAAACUACUAAUUAGCAGACCAAGAUUCUACUUCCAAGAGACAGGGUUGCCAUCCAUGUCAAGAAGGCCCGAACUUUAUUGUUGUGGGACUUUGGCAUCAACAAAUCUCUGGAAUUCUUUCAGGUUUCUAAAUGGAAUGGUUCAAGUCAUCAACACAUUCCCAUAAUUCUUUUGUAAAUGUCAUCAUUCUGGCCAGCUUUCUUUAGUCCAUAUGUACUAGAUGGACAAGAACCACAACACUUGUAUUAGAACAUGUCUGUUGCCUGGAUUUGCAUUACCUGCCAUAAUUAAGAACCUUUUUAUUAUUGUAGUAGAGUGUUUUAGAGUCACCCAUACCUAGUCUAUCUCCAUGUCUCUCAAAUAGCUAGGCCCAUUGGUAGCAGAAGAAGAACAACUUGAAUAGUUGGUCAUUUCCUUUUCAGGAAUUAAUUCUACUGCAUUCCUAUACAUAGUAUGCAUAUUGUGAAGAAGAUUAUUUGACUUUACCCUUUUUCUUCUUUGUUUUUUCAAUCUAAAUUGGAGUGGUAUGACUGUGUCACUAUUGCCAGAUUUAAAUGUUAAUGUCAUAGAAUGCAUUAAUAGUUUUCUAUUAGAAUAAUAGAAUCCAAUUCGACUAGAUACUAGACAUAAGUAAGCGUAGAAUAUAGAGCAAACAAUAAAUGAAAUGAGGGAAACAAAUGAUUCGAAGAAGGGUUAUUCGUCUUCCUAGUCUUCCACACAAGAAAGGAAUUUUCUACAUCCCUUUCUUGUGUCAAAAUAAUAAUGAUCCUCAACACCUUCGUCAAAAAUUCCUAUUCUUAGCUUAGAUUUUUUUUCUAGGUUUAUCAUAAUUUUAUAUUUAUUACAUAUAAGAAGUAGUGGACAAACAAAAAAAAAGAGGAAAAUUUAUUGAAAAAAUAGAACUUCUUCAAUGAAGCUAUAAAAAAAAUUUCAACUUUGAUUAGAUACUAAAAUAAAUAGAGUAAGAAUCUAUUAGUAUAGAAAGGAUUUGAAUGAUAUCUAAUAUAGGGAAAUAUAUAUACAUACAUAUAUAUAUAUAUAUAUAUAUAUAUAUAUAUAUAUAUAUAUAUAUAUAUAUAUAUAUAUAUAUAUAUAUAUAUAUUUAUACUCUGUCAUCCAGAAAAUCAAGUGAUUCCUUAUUUCUUCUAACUUUGAAAGGAUCGAUAGAUACUAUCGAGAAGCAAAUGUUCUGAAUUAAUCAAUCAAGUUCGUUUUUCAAAAACAUCAGAAAAAAAAAUGAAAUGGAGUUUUUUUAAACAUCGUAAAAGAAAAUUUGUUUUGUCUGGCAUUUAUACGAAUAAAAUCUUAUGAUUAUUAAGAACUCAACGGGACCUUCCCUCUCGAAUUAGAGCCAAAGAAGGGGUGGGUACCAUUGAGUUCUUAUGCUUUCAUGUCGACAACUUUAUUCAUCCAAUUACUACAAGGAACCAUAAAAGAAAAAACCUAUUAAACCAAUCACAAGAAUACCAGUUACAGUACCUAUUAGCCAAAGAGGAAUCCUUCCAGUAGUAUCGGCCAUUUAUCCCACUUUCCUCCACAUUUCAUCAAGUGGUCAUGCUAAAGUCAUAAAUAGUCAUGGAUAAUUAUGAGAUGAGAUCCUUUCGAAUAAGAUAAGAGAAUUCUUACUAUUAUUAUUUAUUUUAUUAGUCUCUUUCGUUCUCUUAAUUCUUAAUUGAAAAAAUAAUUGGAAAAUAAAACAAGUACAAAAAUGAGUAAUAACCCCCAAUAAAGAUCGAUACGAUUCAAUUCAAUAUUUUGUUCAUUCAGGUUUGAUUGUGUCGUAGCUCUAUAAUUUGGAUUAGGUUUAUUGUUCGAUGAACUGCAUUGUUGAUAUUGACCCUAAAAAAGAAACAAUAGGUACAGCUAGUCCGUGAACAGCCAAUCAUCGCACUGUAAAAAUUGGAUAGGUUCGAUCUAUGGUCAUUGGGGCCUCCUAAAAAGAUCUACUAAAUUCAUCGAAUUGUUCCAAAUGACCAAAACAACAGGUUAUUAAUGGAAUUCCUUGUUGGCUAUCUAUAAAAUACUUGUUUGGCUGAGGACUUCCAAACACAUCGUAAGCUAAACCCGUGUUGACGGAUAACCAACCCGCAAUGAAAAGGGAAGGUGUAGUAAUGUUAUGAAUGACUGAUUACUACUCAAAAAGUGUUAUUUGAUAGCUUGUAAUUAACUAUUUUAAAUACUUUUGAGUAGUAGUUAUCACCUUUUAACCCAAUUAACAUAUUAAGGACCCUUGCAAUCAAUUCUAAUCAAAUUGUGUUAAGUUUUGGUGUUUUGAUAGCUUUUUUAUCACCAAAGCAAUCCGAGAUUGAGGAGAGUUCUUUGGAAUCCAUGGCAAAGAUGUCCAGACAGGGUGUCCGGACACACCAUCGGAGAGCGGAGGAACAUGGGUUGUGGCAGGCUGGCGGAAUAACGUAGAAAGGCUUGCUCACUUUAGUCAACGAUCCGGACAACAUAUCCGGAUAGGAUAUGCAAUCGUCCGGGGUGUGAUGUUCACAAGUGUCGUGUGCUUCUCCCUAAGGGAGUCCGGAUAGGGGAGCGCGUCGCGUGUCCUCUUGGGGAAUCCGGAUGGAGUUGCUCCGGAUAGCGAUGCGCGCUCCAUGUCAUCAGGGGGAGGGGUCCCUACACCUUGCACACGCAGACGAUCCCCCUUGCGACGCACGACAUAGCUCAUUCCACCCGGGGAAGAAUUUUGUAUGGCCGAUGUUUCACCUUCUCCGGAUAUCUCACAUCCGGAAUUAUGCCUUGGUCAGACAUGUCCGGAUCCUCUGAUCGGAUAUCUCACAUCCGGCGCUUGACGCCGGAUGGGAGAGGAGGGCGUUUCAACUUCCUCAGUCAGACAUGUCCGGAUCCUCUGAUAGCGCUCACCCGGAAAGUUUUUCUCUCAAUAUACAGUGCCGCGAUGUUCUCCUGAAGCUUCCCGAUAUUUGCGACCGACAUUUUGAGCUAUUUUGCUUUAUAUAUUUGAUGUCUAAAUCCCCAAAUUCUCCUUGUAACCCACCUAUCAUAGGAUUCCUUAGUCUUUAAGCAAGAGAAAAAGGUGAAUAACCUCUUAUAUAUAGUUUGUAAUUUUCUUUAAAAGGAGGAGAUCAAUCUCUCGGGAGCUUGUUCUUGAAGAUGCAUCAUUUGUACAAUUUUGCAAGAAAUAUAUUUUACAAAGCACUUGCUCUGUUUUUUCCUAUAUAUUUUUGUUUUCUCAGUCUUUUUCUUACUAGCCAAACAAGCUCUGAGGAAGUUUCCUCAGAGAAUGAGUGGCUAGACUUUUAGUUCCUUGGAGCUAAGGUUGCCGGGAAAGGUUCCAAGUGCAAGAAUUUAUAGCUUUGUGGUUUCAACCAUUAAUGAAGAGAAAGUGUGUUCCUUUAAUGAUUUCUAUGUUUUUAGUUAACUUAAAACACCUUCAAUUCACUUGAGCCAACACGUGGUAAGGCAAGUGAUCUCCGUCCAUGGAGAUGCACUAGUUUACCUCUUGCGAGCUUUUGGGAAGUGACUUGAAGGUAGGAUUUUCUAGAAUUGCCAACACUUGGUAAGCUUUUGGACUCUAAGGAGACAUCCAUUAGUUAUCUCUUGCGAGCUUGAGAAGGGAAGUCCAAAGUUAAAGAUCACCUUGAAUGGCAAAUGCUAGGUGAGAGGCACGAGCCAUUGCAAGUUGCAUCAGUGAGAGGGAAUUAGAGCUGAAAUCCAUUUAAAGGAUACAUCUAUACAACACCGGUUAGAGAAUUGACUAUAUGUUAAUUCUCUAAUGCGAGGAAAUGAACCAAAUGACCGAAGCUCUAUUUUUGCAUAAGGAACCUCCCCUGUGAACCCAAACCUCCAAGGAAUGUUUUUCUUCAUAAGUAAUUUCCAUUACUUUCUUUUUAGUUAGCUUGAAACAAAAACUUCGUUUAACCAAAGUUUGUGUUUUAUUUCUUAAGCUAACCUUGAAAUGAAAAAGCACCAAUUUAACUUUGAAUUGGUAUCAGUUGUGAGUUGAAAACCCUUCCCAGAGAACGAUCCUAGAGCCACUAUGUUAUAUUAGCUACAGCUAUCCUAAUGCAUGGUGAUAUAGGUUAUAAAUUUUGUUGAUUACUCCCUCAAUCAAAGAGCACCAGCUGGACAUGAAUCAGCUGAGACACCAAUUGGGAACGAAUCAAAUGGCGCCGUUGCCGAGGAAGGUGCCAACUUCAUAGUGAUAUUAUUUCAGUAUACUUGUGGUUUUCAUCACAAGUUUGGUGAGUUUUCUGUCAUUUUACUAACUCUUUUAGUUGUUUCUUUUACUCAUUUAUAUUCUAGCAUAGCUUUUAAUUUAGAUUUAGUUAAGCGAACUCUUUUUGGUAGUUUUGUUUUUUUUUUUUUUCCUCUGUUUUUGUUCUUUUUUGUUACAGUUGAUACUAGUUGUGUAUGCCAAAGUGGAUACGAGAUAGUGGAGGAAGGCUUGCUAAACUUGAAACACCUCAUAACAAGGAGUUGGAAUUGAGCUUGAACAUCAUGGAAACUACACCUGAGGAUCAGCAUAGUCACCAUGAUCAUCAAGACAAUCCCAAUGAAUUCAGAUCAAUGAGGGACCGCAUGCAUCCACCUCGUAUGAGUGCACCAUCAUGUAUAGUGCCCUCUAUAGAGCAGCUAGUGAUCAGACCCCAUAUUGUGCCACUUCUGCCAACUUUCCAUGGAAUGGAAAGUGAGAAUCCCUAUGCCCAUAUCAAGGAAUUUGAAGAUGUUUGUAAUACAUUUCGAGAGGAACGAGCUUCUAUCGACCUGAUGAGGCUUAAAUUAUUUCCUUUUACUUUAAAGGAUAAGGCCAAGAUUUGGCUUAAUUCUUUAAGACCAAGGAGUAUCCGUACUUGGACUGAUUUACAAGUUGAAUUCCUCAAGAAAUUCUUUCCUACUCACAGAACAAAUAGCUUGAAAAGACAAAUUUCAAACUUCUCAGCUAAAGAGAAUGAGAAAUUCUAUGAGUGUUGGGAAAGAUACAUGGAAGCCAUAAAUUCUUGUCCUCACCAUGGCUUUGAUACAUGGCUGUUGGUGAGUUAUUUCUAUGAUGGGAUGUCUUCCUCAAUGAAGCAACUCCUCGAAACAAUGUGUGGAGGGGAUUUCAUGAGUAAGAAUCCUAAGGAAGCUAUGGAUUUCUUGAGUUAUGUAGCUGAAGUCUCAAAGGGAUGGGAUGAACUGCACAAAGGAGAAGUGGGAAAGAUGAAGUCUCAACCUAAUGCUCUUCAUGCUAAGGCUAGGAUGUACACCUUGAAUGAAGAUGUUGAUAUGAAAGAAAAAUUUGCAGCUAUGACAAGAAGAGUGGAGGAGCUAGAACUGAAAAAGAUGCAUGAAGUGCAAGCUGUUGCUGAAACACCAGUGCAAGUAAAGACAUGUUCUAUUUGUCAAUCUUAUGAACACUUGGUGGAGGAGUGCCCUACAAUUCUAGUUGCUAGAGAAAUGUUUGGAGAACAAGCAAAUGUCAUUGGACAAUUCAAGCCCAAUAGCAAUGCUUCGUAUGGCAAUACUUACAACUCAAGUUGGAGGAAUCAUUCAAAUUUUUCAUGGAAACCAAGAGCACCUCAGUACCAACAGCCAGCUCAACCAUCUCAACCAUCCCAACAAGCUUCAAGUCUUGAACAAGCAAUAGUGAAUCUCAACAAGGUUGUGGGAGAUUUUGUUGGAGACCAAAAAUCCAUCAGCUCUCAACUUAGUCAAAGAAUUGACAGUGUAGAGAAUACUUUGAAUAAAAGGAUGGAUGGGAUGCAAAAUGACUUAUCUCAGAAGAUAGAUAAUCUCCAAUACUCAAUCUCAAGGCUCACUAAUCUGAACACAGUGCAAAAGAAGGGUAGAUUUCCUUCUCAACCUCACCAAAACCCCAAGGGUAUCCACGAAGUGGAAACUCGUGAGGGAGAAUCUUCACAGGUGAGAGAUGUUAAAGCCUUGAUCACUCUAAGGAGUGGUAAAAAGGUUGAGUCACCAACACCCAAGCUAUAUGUUGAAGAGAAGGAAGAAGAAGAGACAAAGAAGAGGGAGGAAAUGAAAGGAAAGAAGAAAGAUAUCAAUGAAGGGAAGGAGGACCGUGAUUCAACAGUGAAUGCAAAUCCGGAGAAAGAACUUAUUAAGCCAGAAUUGAUGAAGAAACGCACAUCUCCACCUUUUCCUCAAGCUUUGCAUGGGAAAAAUGGGAUAAAAAAUGCACCAGAAAUCCUUGAAGUAUUGAGACAAGUGAAGGUCAACAUUCCAUUGCUGGACAUGAUUAAGCAAGUUCCAUCAUAUGCAAAGUUCCUAAAGGACUUGUGUACUAUCAAAAGAGGGUUGAAUGUGAAUAAGAAAGCCUUCUUGACUGAGCAAGUGAGUGCCAUCAUACAAUGCAAAUCUCCUUUGAAGUACAAAGAUCCGAGAUGUCCUACCAUUUCAGUCAUGAUUGGAAGAAAGGUAGUGGAAAAAGCUUUGUUAGAUUUGGGAGCAAGUGUGAAUUUGUUACCAUAAUUUGUUUAUAAGCAAUUGGGACUUGGUGAAUUAAAGCCAACAUCAAUCACUCUAUCUUUAGCUGAUAGGUUAGUGAAAAUUCCAAGGGGGAUAAUUGAGGAUGUUUUAGUUCAAGUUGAUAAUUUCUACUAUCCAGUAGAUUUUUUUGUUCUUGAUACUGAUCCUUUAGUUAAGGAAGCUAAUUAUGUUCCUAUCAUCCUUGGAAGGCCAUUUCUUGCUACUUCAAAUGCAAUCAUAAAUUGUAGGAAUGGACUUAUGCAAUUCACUUUUGGCAACAUGACACUUAAGCUUAAUAUCUUUCAUAUGUCAAAGAAGCUAAUUACUCCGGAAGAAGAAGAAGGUCCAGAAGAGGUAUGCAUUAUUGACACUCUAGUGGAGGAACAUUGUGAUCAGAAUAUGCAAGACGAUUUGAAUGAAAGUCUUGAGGAUCUUAAAGAAGGGUUGUCUGAACCCGCUGAUGUCCUUGCUACUCUACAAGGUUGGAGGAGGAAAGAAGAGAUCCUACCUUUAUUCAAUAAAGAGGAGGGACAAGAUGAUGUAACAGAAGAAUUCUCGAAGCUCAAUUUGAAACCUCUGCCCAUGGAGUUAAAAUAUACAUACUUGGAAGAAAAUAACCAAUGUCCUGUUGUUAUAUCUUCAUCUCUUACCGGUCAUCAGGAGAUUUCUCUACUUGAAGUUCUUAAGAGGUGCAAGAAAGCAAUAGGAUGGCAAAUAUCUGACUUGAAAGGAAUCAGUCCUUUGGUUUGUACACAUCACAUAUAUAUGGAGGAAGAAGCUAAACCAAUUCGUCAACCUCAAAGAAGAUUGAAUCCUCAUUUACAAGAAGUGGUGUGAACUAAGGUACUGAAGCUACUCCAAGCGGGUAUUAUUUAUCCCAUAUCUGACAGCCCUUGAGUGAGUCCUACUCAAGUGGUACCAAAGAAGUCAGGAAUUACUGUGGUUCAGAAUGAAAAAAGAGAAGAAAUUGCUACACGCCUCACUUCAGGUUGGAGGGUGUGUAUUGACUAUAGGAAAUUGAAUGUUGUUACAAGGAAAGAUCAUUUUCAACUCUUGUUUAUUGAUCAAGUGCUGGAGAGAGUCUCUGGCCAUCCUUUCUAUUGUUUCUUAGACGGGUACUCAAGGUAUUUCCAAUUUGAAAUUGAUGUUGAAGAUCAAGAGAAGACCACUUUCACAUGUCCGUUUGGAACAUACGCCUACAGAAGAAUGCCUUUUGGUUUAUGCAAUGCACCUGCAACAUUCCAAAGAUGUAUGCUUAGUAUCUUCAGUGAUAUGGUGGAGCGAAUUAUGGAGGUUUUCAUGGAUGAUAUCACCAUAUAUGGAGGUACAUUUGAAGAAUGCUUAGUAAAUUUGGAAGCGGUUCUUAAAAGAUGCAUUGAAAAAGACUUGGUGCUCAACUGGGAGAAAUGUCAUUUUAUGGUACAUCAAGGAAUUGUCUUUGGCCAUAUCAUCUCCGAGAAAGGCAUUGAAGUUGAUAAAGCAAAGGUGGAACUUAUUGCCAAAUUGUCAUCCCCAACCACUGUAAAAGGAGUAAGGCAAUUUCUUGGCCAUGCAGGGUUCUACAGGAGAUUUAUACAAGACUUCUCUAAGCUUUCAAGGCCUCUUUGUGAACUUUUAGCUAAGGAUGCUAAGUUUGUCUGGGAUGAGAGAUGUCAAAAGAGUUUUGAUCAAUUGAAGCAUUUUUUGACAACCGUUCCAAUAGUAAGGGCUCCUAACUGACAAUUACCCUUUGAAGUAAUGUGUGAUGCCAGUGACUUUGCUAUAGGAGUUGUACUUGGCCAAAGAGAAGAUGGGAAGCCCUAUGUGAUCUACUAUGCAAGCAAAACAUUGAACGAGGCUCAAAAAAACUACACAACUACAGAGAAAGAAUUGUUAGCUGUGGUGUUUGCUUUAGACAAGUUUCGUGCUUAUUUGGUAGGGUAUUUCAUCAUUUUUUUCACUGACCAUUCGGCCUUGAAGUAUUUAUUGACAAAGCAAGAUGCAAAAGCAAGGUUGAUUAGAUGGAUUCUUUUGUUACAAGAGUUUGAUAUCCAAAUCAGAGACAAGAAAGGGGUGGAGAAUGUGGUAGCUGACCACCUUUCAAGGUUGGCUAUAGCACAUAAUUCCCAUGUAUUACCUAUUAAUGAUGACUUUCCUGAGGAAUCACUUAUGUUGCUAGAGAAAGCUCCUUGGUAUGCUCAUAUUGCUAACUAUUUGGUUACUGGUGAAGUUCCAAGAGAGUGGAAAGUGCAAGACAGGAAGCACUUCUUUGCAAAGAUUCAUGCUUAUUAUUGGGAAGAGCUCUUCCUUUUCAAGUAUUGUGUAGAUUAGAUCAUAAGGAAGUGUGUCCCUGAAGAAGAGCAACAAGGGAUCCUCAGCCAUUGCCAUGAGAAUGCCUGUGGAGGCCACUUUGCCUCUCUGAAAACAACCAUGAAGGUCUUGCAAUCAGGGUUUACUUGGCCAUCGCUUUUCAAGGAUUCCCACAUCAUGUGUAGGAGUUGUGAUAGAUGCCAAAGACUCGGGAAUCUUACAAAAAGAAACCAAAUGCCCAUGAACCCCAUCCUUAUAGUUGAUCUUUUUUAUGUUUGGGGUAUUGACUUCAUGGGACCUUUCCCAAUGUCUUUUGGUAACUCUUAUAUAUUGGUGGGGGUGGACUAUGUUUCCAAAUGGGUGGAGGCAAUCCCCUGUAAACAUAAUGAUUAUAAGGUGGUUCUCAAAUUUCUUAAGGAGAACAUCUUCUCAAGAUUUGGGGUGCCCAAGGCCAUAAUCAGUGAUGGAGGUACUCAUUUUUGCAACAAACCUUUUGAAACCCUAUUAGCCAAGUAUGGAGUGAAGCAUAAGGUAGCUACACCUUAUCAUCCUCAAACUUCCGGGCAAGUGGAGCUAGCAAACAGGGAAAUAAAAAACAUACUGAUGAAAGUGGUGAUUACAAGCAGUAAAGAUUGGUCUAUUAAGCUGUAUGAUUCAUUAUGGAUAUAGAACAGCUUAUAAGACUAUUCUUGGCAUGUCCCCCUAUCGUCUCGUCUAUGGCAAAGCAUGCCACCUCCCUGUGAAAGUUGAAUAUAAGGCUUGGUGGGCAAUCAAGAGGUUGAACAUGGACUUGAUUAGAGUUGGGGCAAAGAGGUGCUUAGACCUUAAUGAGAUGGAGAAAUUAAGAAAUGAUACUUACAUCAAUUCCAAAGUUGCAAAACAGAGGAUGAAGAAGUGGCAUGAUCAACUAAUCUCCAACAAAGAAUUGCGUAAAUGACAAAGAGUCCUACUCUAUGACUCAAGGCUCCAUAUCUUUCCAGGGAAGCUCAAGUCAAGGUGGAUAGGUCCUUUCAUUAUUCACCAAGUAUAUCUCAAUGGAGUGGUGGAAUUACUAAAUUCCAAUGGCAUAGACACCUUUAGAGUCAAUGGUCAUCGCCUCAAGCCAUUCAUUGAGCCGUUCAAGCCAGAAAAGGAGGAAAUCAACCUCCUUGAGCCACAAAAAGCCUGAUCAGAGAAGGGUUAGAUGGACUUGGUUUCACCAAAGUCCAUAAUUUUGUUACAUAUGUUAAUUUUUAAGUUUUGUAAACUAUUUGAUUGUAAUUCUGGUCUUGAAAUUAUGUAAAUUAUAACUAACUUAAUCUUUUUGAAUGAUUAAAAUCAGGAGGAAUUGCAAGAAAAUCGAAAGAAGCUGUUCCGAGCUUAUGCCAUUCCCAGCUCAUCAGAGCCAUCGCAGGCCCCUCCUUUUGUUGAUCAGCCUGUGCCUCAUCAGGAGCCUCCUACAGGAGAGGCAGCUGAGCCAUCAUUUCUACAGCAUCACUCCACGUCACUCAGGAGGUACCACUUCCUCCCUAUUUUUCAAUCGCUUUUAUCACAUUGAGGAUAAUGUUCAGCUUGGUUGGGGGGAGAGUUGAGGAAGGAAGUUUUUGUUAUUAAUGCUAAGUUAUUUUGGUAAUUUAGUUGUUUUUUGCUUAAUUUUAGAAUUUUUUUCUACUCUCCAUGGUUAUUAAGGAAAAAAUUUCAAAAUAAAAAGUGAGAAAUUGAAGUUUUGUCUUUUCACUUGACUUAGAGUUUGCAUUAUGCUUACUAAAGUUGAUGAAUUAUUGAAGCUUCUAUUGAAUUCAACCUUAGUUCUUCCACUUUAAGCUAUUCACACACUGGGCAUAAUAGGUUCCGAUUAUAAGAUGAAAAACUAUUUCCCUCUUGACUUAGGAAAAUUUUAGACUUAGUACCUUUGACCUCAUUUAAUAGUGUUGGGACACCUUAUAAAAGGCCAAUGAGCCUUUGAAAAAAAAAGAAUAAAGAAAAAAAAAUGUUUGCUUACCUUGAAACCCAAGCAAGGUCCGAGGGGUAUAUGGUGAAAAUCUUUAAAACCUGGUGCCCUAAGCCUUCAUUGGUUGGGAGUCACCGACCUCAAUGCUCGUUACAAGGGUGGAUAGGUGGAAUUUAACAUACUGUAGGUGCUUGGGUAUUAAAAUUCCUUCUCAAAAGUCCGAGGUAAAAUCCGAGGAGUUAGUGGUUGAAAGAUCCUUAAAGCUUAAUGCCCUAAACCUUAAUUGGUUGGGAAUCAUCGAUGGACCCCCGUUACAUGGACAAUUUAGAAAAGAAUACCUUUAAGCCUUGUACUCCUACAAUGAAAAAAUUUGUGAGAAAAGAGGUGCGUUCUUAGCCUAUUGGAGGUUAAUUAGUUUGCUAAGCUUUGAAAAAGAACUAGGUUUGGGGAAGAGAUUAGUUCAACAUACUAUAUUCGGAAACUAAUAAAUAACACUUAGAUUUUUGUGGAAGAGUAAGGUUUGACCCUUUGGGAAUGGAAACUCUUUUAAAGCUUAAAUUUGCAUAAUGCCUUCUCUUUAAGAAUUGUGAUUAGACAAGUUAUUUGAUAACUCUUGUUGAAGUUUGAGUUUUAUUUCUUUAAUGUUCCACGUGAGAGUUAGAUCAUCAUGCCACUUGAAAAUUGUUUUUUCAUCAGCAUGAUGUUGUAAAUUAUAGUACUGUUUAUUUUUAUUUUUCUCUCCUUCAUUGCUAAGGGACUAGCUAUAUGUCGGUUGGGGGUAGUGAUUACUACUCAAAAAGUGUUAUUUGAUAGCUUGUAAUUAACUCUUUUAAAUACUUUUGAGUAGUAGUUAUCACCUUUUAACCCAAUUAACAUAUUAAGGACCCUUGCAAUCAAUUCUAAUCAAAUUGUGUUAAGUUUUGGUGUUUUGAUAGCUUUUUGAUCACCAAAGCAAUCCGAGAUUGAGGAGAGUUCUUUGGAAUCCAUGGCAAAGAUGUUCGGACAGGGCGUCCGGACACACCAUCGGAGGGCGGCGGAACAUGGGUUGUGGCAGGUUGGUGGAAUGACGUAGCAAGGCUUGCUCACUUUAGUCAAUGAUCUGGACAACAUAUCCGAAUAGGAUAUGCUAUCGUCUGGGGUGUGAUGUUCACAAGUGUCGUGUGCUUCUCCCUGAGGGAGUCCGAAUAGGGGAGCGCACCCCGUGUCCUCUUGGGGAAUCCGGAUGGAGUUGCUCCAGAUAGCGAUGCGCGCUUCGUGUCAUCAGGGGGAGGGGUCCCUACACCUUGCACACGCAAACGGUCCCCUUUGCGACGCGCGGCAUAGCUCAUUCCACCAGGGGAAGAAUUCUGUAUGGUUGACGUUUCACCUUCUCCGGAUAUCUCACAUCCGGAAUUAUGCCCCGGUCAGACAUGUCCGGAUCCUUUGAUAGCGCUCACCCGGAGAGUUUUUCUCUCAGUAUACAGUGGCGGGGUGUUCUCCUGAAGCUUCCCGAUAUUUGCAACCGACAUUUUGAGAUAUUUUGCUUUAGAUAUUUGAUGUCUAAAUCCCCAAAUUCUCCUUGUAACCCACCUAUCAUAGGAUUCCUUAGUCUUUAAGCAAGAGAAAAUGGUGAAUAACCUCUUAUAUAUAGUUUGUAAUUUUCUUUAGAAGGAGGAGAUCAAUCUCUCGGGAGCUUGUUCUUGGAGACGCAUCAUUUGUACAAUUUUGCAAGAAAUAUAUUUUACAGAGCACUUGCUCUGUUUUUUCCUAUAUAUUUUUGUUUUCUCAUUCUUUUUCUUACUAGCCAAACAAGCUUUGAGGAAGUUUCCUCAGAGAAUGAGUGGCUAGACUUUUAGUUCCUUGGAGUUAAGGUUGUCGGGAAAUGUUCCAAGUGCAAGAAUUUAUAGCUUUGUGAUUUCAACCAUUAAUGAAAAGAAAGUGUGUUCCUUUAAUGAUUUCUAUGUUUUUAGUUAACUUAAAACACCUUCAAUUCACUUGAGCCAACACGUGGUAAGGCAAGUGUUCUCCGUCCAUGGAGAUGCACUAGUUUACCUCUUGCGAGCUUUUAGGAAGUGACUUGAAGGUAGGAUUUUCUAGAAUUGCCAACACUUGGUAAGCUUUUGGACUCCAAGGAUACAUCCAUUAGUUAUCUCUUGCGAGCUUGAGAAGGAAAGUCCAAAGUUAAAGAUCACCUUGAAUGGCAAAUGCUAGGUGAGAGGCAUGAGUCAUUGCAAGUUGCAUCAGUGAGAGGGAAUUAGAGCUGAAAUCCAUUUAAAGGAUACAUUUGUACAACACCGGUUAGAGAAUUGACUAUAUGUUAAUUCUCUAAUGCGAGGAAAUGAACCAAAUGACCGAAGCUCUGUUUUUGCAUAAGGAACCUCCCCUAUGAACCCAAACCUCCAAGGAAUGUUUUUCUUCAUAAGUAAUUUCCAUUACUUUCUUUUUAGUUAGCUUGAAACAAAAACUUCGUUUAACCAAAGUUUGUGUUUUAUUUCUUAAGCUAACUUUGAAAUGAAAAGACACCAAUUUAACUUUGAAUUGGUAUCAGUUGUGAGUUGAAAACCUUUCCCAGAGAACGAUCCUAGAGCCACUAUGCUAUAUUAGCUACAGCUAUCCUAAUGCAUGGUGAUAUAGGUUAUAAAUUUUGUUGAUUAAUCCCUCAAUCAAAGAGCACCAGCUGGACAUGAAUCAGCUGAGACACCAAUUGGGAAUGAAUCACUUCGCAGAGGCACAAAAAAGGCUGCGAAAUCACUUCGCAGCAAACGACUGAUUUCGCAACGCUGCGAAGUGGUCUUUCAAGUUGUGGUAUUCGGCUUCCAUCGUGACGGGAAAAUUCAGGGGGUAAACACAGCACUGUACAAAAAGGCUACGAAAUCAUCUCGCAACAAAAGAGUGAUUUCGCAGCGCUGUGCAAAAUUCUUCCUUCAGCUUGGAGUGAUCGGAUUGCAAUGGCUGUAACUCCUUCAUUUCAACUCCAAAUUGUGCACCGUUUGAAGUAUUGGAUUUUUGACUUCUUGAGCUUCGAAACGACAUAUAGAAUGCAUAAAUUGGACUUCAGGAAGUGCUCUAAAAGUGGCUGACAUGACUGUCAUCAAGAAUAUGCUUCAUGGCAGAUUUCUCUUUGCUUCCCCUCCUUACAUUCCGGAUUUGCUUAUGGCAGCAAAGGACUUCAAAGCUUUAGUUCUUCACAUUUCUGAGCUUCAAAUUGCUUUGCCAAAGAUUCCACAUAACUCUCCUCAAUCUCAGAUUGCUUUGGUGAUCAAAAAGCUAUCAAAACACCAAAACUUAACACAUAUUGAUUAGAAGUGCUUGCAAAGGUCUUUAAUAUGUUAAUUGGGUUAAAAGGCAAUAACUACUACUCAAAAGUGUUUAAAAAAGUUAAUUACAAGCUAUGAAAUAGCACAUUUUGAGUAGUAAUCACCAAGCUCCACAUAUUCUUGUACAAUCAAAGGACGAUCAAUUUCGUAAAAGAUGAGAUCAACAAAUAUAAAUUCACUGAAAAAUGGAUAUUUGUGAGAUCGUCAAUAUUAUACGAAGGGUGUCUUUAGAGUAUACUGAAUCAGUAUAGCUAUCCUUUUUCUACCAUAGCAACGCAAUUUCAAAAACUACAGCAUUUGAAUAGCUUGUAUUUAGGUGGACAAGAACUACAGCACUUAUCUCAGAAACAUGUAUGUUCUUUCUUCAACUCUUACUCUAUUGCCUGGAAUUGCAAUACCUGCCAUGAUUAGUCAUCUCUUAUUUAUUCUCAUGGAGAAAUAGGUUUGGUUGUAUGAAGAGACAAUAUACAAUUGUUGCACCUCUUGAUUUUUAAUCGUGUCAGACAUUUGGAAUUGUCAAGCUGAUUUAUGGCUAACCUUACAAGGACAUCUAGUGCAAGAGAUUCAGAAUUAUACCUAUCUAAUCCAUCUCCAUUUCUUUAGAACAACUAGAUACUAUGGCCGAAAUCUCACGUAAGGUGUCAGGUUCAUGUUGGGGCUCAUUCACGAGAUUAUAAUGAAUAUAGCAAGGGAUGUUCUCGAUCUACCACCACCCAUGUUGUCAAGUUGUUCAAUGCUCUCGUGUUGACCAUGGCUACAGUCACAAUUGUGUGUCCUUUCCCGAAAGAAAUAGUCAUUUUGAAACUUUUGUCAACAAUAGAACUUUCAUGUAUCUACUUUCAGGUACCCACAAAAAAUUGAGUCCAGCUUAGCAUCCAAUAAAGAAAAAUAAUAAUCUGAGGAAUAAGUGUUUUCCUUACUCUUUUUCAGUAGGAACCUAGUUUAUUUCCAAUAAAUUGAAGAAUAAACUAAUUCUAAACAUGGAAGCCAUGUACUUGAUUUUUGUUUAACUAGUGGAAUAAUUCGAACAUAUUUACAACUUUAGCAUUAGAAAAGUUUAACAAAAUCACUAAUUAACCCCCAAACCCCCACCCACCACAGAGAUAUGUUACAAAGAUUCCUCUACUCUACAUUGCAACAAAGUGUAAGGGGUUGUGUCCUUUCUUCAUCGUCAAAUGAAAUAACCCUUUUCAAUAAAAGAAUAAGAGAAAUUGAGAGUUAAGACCAUUUUCUUUCAUUAUACUCUCUAUUCCUUUGCUUCUUCCUCUCUUAGUCAAGCCAAACAGUCUGUGGUUUCUCCAUUUCUUCUUCACUUCACAUCAAUAAGUAGCAUCUUGGGUUCUCCCAUCUCUCUAUCCCCUUGUCAAAACACAUAAUUUAAUGUAUUGCACAUCUUCUUGACUUCUGGCAACUGAACUUGUUUUUCACAAUCAUAAAUAUGGAGGUAUUUAAUUAUGGCAGGUGAUAUACCUUUCAGAAAUUGAUGUGAAAAGGUGGAGACUAAGGGAUGUGCACUUGGUUUUGCGAAUCAAACAACCCUCAUUUAGUAUAAACCACAAAUUUUGGCAACUCAUGAUCCAUAAUUUAGAGCAUGGGAGGAAGUAGGCCUGUUGGAAAGAUAGGAGGAGACAGUUAAAAACAUGCGAGAAUUCCAUGGAUGAGUUGCUCUUAUGAAUUAUUUAGAAUUCAUGAGAAAAUUCAAAGCUUUUUCUUUUUUCUUUUUUCUUUUUGUUUUUUCUUUACAUAGUUAAUCAUCUUGUUUAAUGUUGGUCCUAUAGUUGGUCUACUGAUGGUAGGCUUCCUUUGAGUGGAAGCAAGGACUCUACACUAAAGGUAAAUUAUGGGAACUAUGUCUUUUUGUGGUAUUGAUGGGGUUAUCAUAUAGUUGAUUGAUACUAUUGCUUCCUUAUAGCUUUUUCAAGGCUCCAAAAAAGAAAAUAACAAAGGUAGACCUAGGAAAAAUAUUCUUCCUGAUUUCAGUUACUCUUUCUAUAUGAACUCUUUAUUUUGGUAAAUUACAGUUAGAGAUGAUCAUAUAAUUGAACUAGGUUUGCUUCCUCUCCUUUCCCUCUCCUUUCCCCUUGAGGAAAUUUUUUAUCAUUGCUUAGUUUUGACUACUCUGUUUCUUUUGAUCAUUGUGGAAGAGCAUCACUAUAAGAUGUACAAGAAAUGUGUUGUGGUGCAUUAUUCCUUUCUCUACCACCUAAAAUCUACUUUCCACAAUCAUAAAUAUCGAAGUGUUUAAGCAUUAGGUAAGACAUCUCUUGAUAAUGAUGUGAGAGAUAUAGAUAAGUAAUGUUACUAAAUAACAAGAAUAUGUAUAAAAAAAAAAACAGAAUAAGAAUACACAUUUAUGUGGAAAACCUUAGAUGGGAAAAACCACGGGUAGAGGAGAAGAAAAUUAAUUCACUAUAUUAAAAAAUCGAUACAAAAGGGGAGAGAUGCGAGCGACUACUUUAUAAGCAUAAACAUCAUAGCCCUAAUCUUAUACAUAAUUGAAAAUAUAUAUACAUAUGUGUGUGUGUGUGUGUGGGAGAGUAAUAAACAUCAUAACCCUAAAUUCUAUUGGCCCUAUCCCUUCGCUACCACCACAAACUCUCCAAAAAUCUCACAAAUUUUUCUUCACCACAUAUGUCGCAUCACGAGCUUUUUGGGUAAGACUAAAUAGAAUUCGAGUUACCAAACUCUAAUAAACAACAUACCAUUAUUCUCAAGAAAUGAUGUUCUGCUUUUUCACUUUACAAUAUUCAUUUAGUUUGAACUCCAAAUUCAGGCAACUCAAAAUCUUCGCCUUCAUUAGAUUGUAGGAAGCUAGCUUCUUGGAAAGACAUGAAAAUGGGGCAUUUAGAAAUAUGGAAGAAUCCCAAAGGCCAGUUGCUACUUUUGAAUCAUUCCAAUCAAUAACAACUCCAAAGAUAUAUACAAAUUUGUCCUUGGGAAAGAGAUGUUUCCUGGGCAUGUAACCAUCUCUUUAAUAGACUCAAGGUUGUGCACCCUCUUGGUGAUUUCUUAUAUAUUGUAGUGAACCCUAUCACACCCCAAACUCACUCCAAGGGCAUUACGAUCAUUUCACACCUCAAGCCCAAAGGUUCAAAGUGGAAACGAUACAAACAUUCGUAUUGUAACUGGAAAUUUACCAAUUACCAAAUUCCUAUUCAAAGUAGUAGGACAAAAUUCUAAAAUCUCUAAGUAUCAACUUUAAAAAAAAAAAAAACUAAUAUGUCAACCAAAGUGUUAUUGUCCAAAUAACUCCAAACUCAAAAUAAUUCAAACGAGAAUUAAAUUUUAACAUUUAAACAAUGUCCAAAAUAAAAAGAGUUUAAACAAAUAUCCUAUUAAAGCCAAAUUUCCCUCCUAACGAUCACUCAUCGCUCUAACUAAGGUUACAUGAAAGAUUAUCAACAAAGGGGGGUGAGCUUAAAGCCCAAUAAGAAACAUUAAUACAGUUUCAUGGAUCAAACAUUUUCAAUCAUCCUUGCAAAUAGGAAAUAUAACAUAUACUUAUUUUCAUAAAAAACUUUUGAGUUCAAAAUGCUAAUACAUUCAAACUUUUCAACAAAACUUUCUCAUAUUCAUUUCAAAACCAAAUCAAAUACAUUCAAAAUAUCUUUACUCAGGUUAUCAAAUGACAAAUGGUGCCCAAUUAGGUGGAACUUCACAAUUGAGCAACUAGUUUCAAAUUUGUUUCAUUUAAGGUGAACAAAACCAAAUGUCAACAAUUAUAACUUGUUGACUAGGGUCAUAUAAUCUAAAGUCAAACACUUUAUUUCAUUAAUUCAAACUUACAAAACAAAACAUCGUAUCUCCUCAAUUUUUCAUUUUUCAUAAACAAAGAAAAUGCUCAAAUAUACUUUUCAUACAAAACAUAUAUUUGAUCGACGCGUAAAGUUAAAAAUAAUAUUUUUACACAUUUCAAAAUACAAUAUAAAAAGAAAAUUAUUUUCUUUUACAAAAAUCUGCAUUAAUUUCCCUUACCUCAAAUAAGUACUCAAAAACCUUGAAGUAUUUAACCCCGAAGAAUUUCGUCUCAAAGAAUCUAUUUCAAACCUAACAAAAAAAAAAAGACAACUAUGAUUAUUAACUAUUUAUCUAAAUUUAUAGGUUUGAGAACCCUAAUAAUUUUCUAUAUUAUGUCACCUAAUAUUUUUAGUAGGAAUUUUCUUAACUAAGUCCACAUACUUUUACAAGCUCUUCUUAAGCUUUGAGUGGUCAUAGUUUUUCCUAUAUUUAGUUUUACAUAAUUUUGGUGAAAAGUGCAUGAGGAAGAACCAUAUAAAACCACAACUCACUUUUGGAUGCUGAAUCUACAAAAUAUAAAUUGAAAAAAUUAACGUAUUAGGAUAAAUAAUAAUUUAGAAAACAACUCCACAAAUGAAAUAUCAAGUAAAUGCAAAUUUAAUAUUUUAAAAGCUUAAUAAACUCAAUUAAAGAUAUAACCACAUGAUAUACAAACUUGGGGAAACUUAUAACUACCACUAAUUUCAGAUGUCUAAAAUUUAUAUAUAUCCUAGACAACAUUUUGAUAUGUAAACUAAUACGUAAAUUUUUUUAAUUUUAAAAAGAAAAUUUGGCAGCCAAGCUAGAAAUUUAGCAUAUUCCUAUAAUAUAAAGAAAAAUAAAUUAACUAGAUGCCUUAAUGCAUUGCUCUAGCACACUAUUUAGUAGGAUUUAGAUACUACAUAUUCAAUGUUGUCUAAAAAGUCAACAUAAAUAAUAUAAGAGGGAAAUAACAUUUUGCCUUACACAAUUAAUCCUACUAAAAGUUUGUUUUGUUAAGUCAUUCAUCUAAUACUACAUAUUUCAAGAUGAAUUAUUUGAGCUAAUUUUCUCAAGGAAAUAAUUACUUUGGUGAUAGCUACAUAUUAGCUUAUUUUUAUGAUAUGAUGUAUCAAUUAAUAAUUGUCUUCAUUCACCUAGAUAUUGACAACGAUUUCAAUAUAUUGGUCGAUAUUAUCCAUGUUUAUUUUAUUGAAUGUCAAUUCAAUACCUUAUAAACUAAACAACAAAACAAUUAAUAAGUAUAAAAAGAAUUGAUAUUGGGAAAUCCAAGCCUAGGAAGUUUAAGGGGAAGCGAAGUAAAAUAGCCUUGACAAAGAAAAAAAUUCAAAGAAAUUGGUAUAAUAUAGCCAUGUCCCUCUACUUGGAUUUUCAAGGCCUAGAAACAUGGUUAGCUCCUGUAAAAAUUUUCAUUUCCAUGCUCUUUUAUAACACUUUCCCUUCGAUGUGACUAUUUCAAUAUCCUUUAUUUUAAAAAAAUAUUUUUACUUAAUAAGUGAAAAGAAUGGGAUAUUGUCUGUUUUACUUUGCUUAGUUCAAUGUUCAUUCCCAAGAAGUGCUUAUUCUUUAUACUCAAUAUCCUCACUAUGAAUUAGUUCUACUCCAGGGUCGUACUAUUUCAGGUGCGCUUCUACCUAUCACUUUUAGCAAAUGUGAUUUUCUAGAGUAAUGUACUUAAAAGCCUACUGCAUCACUCAAGAAGAAUACCCAAACAAACCAACAUAGUCAUAAGGCACCAUAACAAGACAUACAGUAAUUAGUAACUUUGAUGGAAGAGAGGUUUUGUUUUUAUUUUAGUAACUUUGGCAUAGUUGAUGUUUGAAAAUGCUGAGGGAAUGCAUCCCUUCUGGCAGUGAUUUCAAUUGGGGGCAUUCAGAAAUCUAGCCUUUCCCUAAUAUCCUUCAUUCUAUGAUUCAUCCAGACCAAAAAAGCACCCAGCAUGUCUGUCUUUCUCCACAAGUCCUCCGUUGCUAAGUCAUCAACAUACUAUAAAACAUCUUUAAGCUUCUGUACCCAAGUUGUUACUGUUGCUCCUCUUCAGCAUCAGCAAGUACAAAUUUGAAGGAGGACAGUGUGUCCUUAUGCUUCAUAAACUCCUCUUGAACCAUACAUCUCUACAAAAGCAAAAUACCCUAACUUCAUCAAAAGAUUGUCAACAAUAUUACUGAAUGAAAUUUGUUCAGCCAUCUUUCAAAGGUCUAAGGGAAAAUGAAAGGAGUUUUAGCAACAGAAAAAAUGAGAAAAGCCAAGUGAGGACUGAAGGGUCUGAAUAAACUUGGGUGUGUUUGCUCUGUUCAAUUCAAGUGGGAUUAAUUACUUGACCCUCAUGAUUGACCUACCCACCAUAUUUUUCAUUUUUUUUUCUUAUUAAAAUUUUCAAACAAAUAAAAUUACUUGAAAAUUACUGGAUAUUACUUAUUAUUUAAAAAUGAAAAUAAAAAUUGCUAACCUUCUUGUAAUAUAAUUAGUAAACAUAUUUUUGUUUUAUAAGCUAUAAUCAAACCGGUUUAUAUAUCCUAUUUUUAAAAAUAACAAAGACAAAAAAUUGUCCAUUGAGCACCUAAAUAUUUUAAACUCAUUAUAAUAAAAAAAAAAUGUCCAAAAUAUUUAUUAAAAAAAACUAAUUUAAUUUUAUAAUCAUUUUUCAACCCAUAAAUUAUCCAAAAAUAAACUAAAAUCUUUAUCAAGGUUUUUCUAAGUAGAAUUUAAAAAAUGAGAAAUUAAUAUUUGAAACUCCUAAAAAUCAUUAAAUUAAAAUUUUAAAAAAUAAAAUCUGUUUGAUUGUCUUAGAAUCGACAAUAGAAAUGCAAACAUGAGUUUAUAGCUCUUAACAGAUUAGAUUAUGAAACUAAAUGUAUUUUAGAUAGUGGAGUUAGUUCAUACAACAGAAAGGAUGAGGUAUCCAAGAUGUCAAAUUAGGUUGGGGUUGAAGGAAGUGAAGGAAAAUUACCAUAGAUGUGAAAUCGAAAAGGUUGUGAUCCCAUAAGACAUCAAUUGACAAUAUCCAAGAAAAUGAAUGACAAAACAUCAGAAUAUCAACAAGCAGAUUGCAUACUUUAUAUCAAGGUACUUAAUUGUUCUGAUGCAAGCAUUUGAAAUUUUUUUGUUGUAAGAGCUCAAACAUUUCCUAAUAGAUCAUACCGGUGGGUUGAUGCUAGAGAUGUCGUCAAUGCACACAUUCAAGCAUAUGAGAUCCCAAAGCCAGUGGAAGAUACUGCUUAGUAGAGAGGGAUUUACACUAUUCCGAGACACUGAAGAUUUUGCACAAGCUCUACCCUAAUUUACCCCUGCCCAAAAAGUAAGUUUCUAUUAGUUAUUGGUAGUACUCGUUUGUGCCAUCAUUAGAGUACUUGUCAUUUAAUCUUCUUUUUUUAAUCGUUUGUAAUAGUAGAAUGAUUGUUUCUAUCCAUUAGAUGUAAAUAUGGUGAGACAAACCAUAUUUAAAACCCUACAUGCCUCGUAUUAAUAAUUUAUUUUUAAUCUUUGUAUUAAUGCAUCAAUAAAUGGUAUUGAAGAAAUUACUUUUACAACAAAGGUUACAAGAUUAUAAGUAGGAUCACUUUGAUACAAUGACGGGAUAAAAGAAAUAGAUGGGUUUAUUGAAUGCAAACCUCCAUACAUAAAUGAUAGAGACUUAACUUGUUCAAUAUAAGUUCUUUGAUGUAAAAUAUCAAUUUUGUUUUCCAAAGUCUUUAUGGCUAUUGGCUUUUCCAUGGAAUACCAAAUAAAGAAAAAAAAAACCCUCCUUACCCGAGAGUUCAUUUGAACCUUGUUUCGAAGAAAAAAGUUUUAUUAAUCCAAACCCUAUUGAUUUAUAUAUGACCUAUCAUGGGACUAUGAAGAGUUUUAAAACAACUCAAAGAUAACAAAAAAAAAAAAAAAAUUGAGGUUAAAUAGUGAAAACUACAUUAGAUUCCAAUAAUAGUUUUUAUGAUAUAAUGUUGCAUUGGCAGGUUUCAUAAAGAAAUGAAUUAUUCUAUGAAUACGAUUUUCGAUUCCAAAUUUUGAAUUUUCUAAUUCCUUAGUUUAGUGGUGGGUUUCGUAGAAAUUGAAAGUUGUGGAAAAGUAGAAUAUGGACACAAUUUUUUACUUAAUGAGUAGAUUUUACAACACCUUCAAGUAAUUACCCUAAAAAUGAUAGGUCAUUGCAUUGAAAAUGUAUUAAAUUUAAUUGAGAGAUUAUUUAUAAAAAUAUCAUCAUUUUUUAAAAGAAUAAUAUGAUCUUACCAUCGUCUCGGGUAGGAAAGCAAUUUAUGGUGGUGUUAGAUUUUUCUUAAUAUAUUCUUGUUCCUUUUUCUUUUUUUCUUUUUGGUGCAUAUUGUAAGGUUUCAAGUUCCUUUAGAAAUAUGAACAACGAUGAAGAGUUAGAAAUUUUGGAACAUUAAGUACAUAGUUAAAGCCAUGUUUAGAUAGUUGAAAUUCCUAAAUAAAAAAAAAUACAAAAAAGAAAAAAUGAAAGAAGUUCAAAUUUUAUUUGAUUAUCUUAAAAAAUAAAAGAAAUUACAAAUAAUGAAAAUUGUUUAGAUUUUAUAUACUUUCUAAUGUUUACUCUUUAUAAACAAAAAAAAACAAAUAAAUUUUUUUGAGGUUCUAAAAAUAAUUAAACUUAAGCUUAAUUUUUGUUUUUCUUGAUUUUUAAUGCCUUUCAUAAUUUUUCUUUACAAUUUUUCCCACUUAAUCCAAAACUUUCCAAGGUCUAAAUUUCAUAGGUGUUUCAUCUUCUUUUUAAUUAAGAAGUUUUGAAUGUUUCAAUUCAAAUUCCACAAUAAGGUAAUAAAACCUUAAAAUUAAUAUUACAUCUAGGUUGACUUGGUAAUCAACUUGAACCAAAUCUAAAUUAAGAAACAUUCGGUCCUAGCCUAACCAAAUAUAGCCUCAAAUAUGAGGUGUUUAGUUAAAACUCAACUUAUUUCUAUAUAUUAAAGUGAGGCUUAAAUUGACUCUGGUAUACUUGUAGUCGAGUUGAGUUGUUUAAGUUGUAUGAUCAGAGCUAAGUUUUGUAAGAUUGAAUUGGGGUGAACUCGUUCAUAAUGUUUAUUUUUUUUAACUUCUUUUAUAUCAUAAUUUAAAUAGCAAAUAGGACAACAUUUAAACAUAAUUAAAAAAAAAAUGAGAAUGAAUUUAUGUAUCUUUCUUACAAAAAUGAAAUAAUAUAAUUAAAAUUUAAUAUUUUUUUAAAUACUAAAAAACAUAAAAUAGAUAUUAUUAUAUAAAAUAAAAUAAAUUAAAAAUAUUAUAAAAAUAUAAAAUUAGGUUAUAUAUGUAUGUAUGUAUGAAUGUAUGUAUAAAAUAGUAGUGUGACGGGUGUUUGCUACUUGUAAAAAGUAUUUUUACUCAUUUUUAAAUUGAAAUUAAUAAAAAGAAAAAGAAAUAAAGUGUUUUCAAAAAUAUUAAAUGCAUAACUAAUAUUAUGCUAAUGAAGUUUUUUGUUCUUUGUAAUUUAGAGUUGUCUCAUUCAUAUUUUAAGGUAAACUAAUAGAACAUUAAACUCCCCAAUAUUGUAUCCAUCUAGAAUUUAUCACCAUUUUAUUUUAUAUCAUAUCAUAAUUAUAUUAAUUAGUGGCUUCAAGAAAAAAAAAUUAUUUAUAUGUUAGACAACAUGGAAAAGAUAUCUUUUUUAAUGCUUAUUAAUAAUUUUUAUUUCAAAUUUUAAAACAUGAAUAUAUAAAUUUUAACAAUUAUGAAAUAUUAGUCUAAAUAUCUUUUAAUAUUUGGUUAUGUUUGCAAAGCAUUUUUAAUAACAAUUAUGAAAAACAAUUUUUGAGAGUAAUUUCCGAAAACAUUUUUUUUUGUUUUUAAAUAUGUUUUAAAAAUAACUUUAUCUCAUAUAUAGUACUUUAUUUUAAUCGUUCUCUAUUUAAAAUAACUCUAUGAAAAGAAACGGAAAUAAUUAAAAGAUUUAUCUUAAAAUAUUUUAUUUUUUUAUUUUUAUGAAUAGAAAACUUUUUUUUUUUUUUUGUCAAAUGUGUCUUCUUGUUUUUGUUUUUGUUUUUUUAAAAAACAAAAAACUGUUUUAAAAAAUAAUUACCAACCAUGCUUGAACACAAAGCCCGAAGCUCCCGUGGGGCUGGUUUUGGGCCUUUUAGGUUUGGGAAAAACAGUCGGGCCUGGCUGAGCACAAAUUCUUCUCUUUUAAGUCCAAAAAGCCCGUCUCAAGCCCAAACUUCGGGUUGGGCCGGGAAGCUCCUGACUUAACACAAAUUCUUCUCUUUUAAGUCCAAAAAUACAGUCUGAAGCCCAAAAUUUCGGGUUGGUCCGGCCGGGCGGGCGGGCGGGCGGAUAGGAAAUAUAAGAAAAUAAAUAUCUCCAUAAUAUAAUUAUUAUUACGACAGUGGAAUCUGAGAAAAGGUCGUGAGUGUUCUACAAUUUUGAUCUUUUGCAGCAGACUGAAUGUAGACUACAAAGAGAGUGAGAAAUGGACGGGCAAGGCAAGGUGGUGUGCGUGACCGGAGCUUCUGGGUACAUAGCCUCAUGGCUUGUGAAGCUCCUGCUCCAACGCGGCUACACCGUCAAAGCCACAGUUCGAGACCCAAGUCAGAUCUCUUCCCAAUUACAACACUUCUCAUUCCCAAACCCCACUUGCUAUUGUCCCCAAUUUUCUUCUUUCUUUAUUGUUUCAGUACUUUUCAAGCAUAAUGUUAGCCGUUAUUUAGCAGUUUGAAACUUAGGUUGAGUGGUAUUUUGAUGGGUCUUUGUCCUUUUUCCUUUUUCAGAAGUUUAAUCUAUGAUUGAAAGUCAAUAUUCAGUACUCGGGUCUUUGUGUUGUCCUAAUUUUCUUGGAAUUAUACUCUCUACAUGGUUCUACAGGGCAAAUUGAUCGAGUUUAUGCUAUUAAAAAUGAUUUCAGAUACUUUCAGAAUCAAUCCAUCUCAGAUUCUGCAUGUGUUCCUUCUUAAUUACUACUAUCUUGUAAAAAUUUUUGCAUUUAAUUUACAAGACACUGAGGAGGUCUCAAAAAGAAAAGCAAAGGGAAAGAAAAAGAUUUUCCUUCAGCCAUACCAAAUUGUUUUGGAACCAAAAACUCUAAAUAUGGGCCUGUGUUCUUUUUGGAGACCUAUUCUUGAAAAUAAUUUCAGAGAAACGAAGAAAAUCUACAAAAUUUUGUACAAUUAUUUGGCUUUAUUACAAGCUUUUUUUGUUCUACAAACAAGACAAGAGGACAGUUUAGGGCUUCAUUUUGUUUCUUUACUGUUCUUCGGUUUCCUCUUGAAUGCCUCUAGCUCUAUUCUAUUUUUAGUAUUUCAACAAAUUGUACAUCACAACUGAAGUUUCUUGCACUUUGAAAAUCCAAUCAUCUUGCAUAAAUGAUCCAAAAGCUUGCAAUUGCAGUUGAAAAAAUGACUACUCUACAUGCCCCAUCCAUUUUACUUCAAUCCCCAUUCUUUUAAGAAGAGCAUAGUUGAACUUCUUAAUAUUCUAGUCAUGCUUCCACUGUAUACUCCUUCUGUACUAGGGUUUCCCCAUUUGGGGUUGUUUUUUUCUAUCACAUAAUAUAUGUUCUUACCAAAAUAAAGUUUUUGUAAGCUUUCAUUCUUCUUAUUUCCAUUUAACAUGCAAGUUGUGCUUAUAUAUGCCACAGAUGAUCCAAAGAAGACAGAACACUUGCUUGCACUUGAAGGUGCUAAAGAAAGGCUUCAUUUGUUUAAAGCAAACUUACUUGAAGAAGGAUCCUUUGAUUCUGUGGUUGAUGGAUGUGAUGGAGUAUUUCAUACAGCAUCCCCAGUUGUGCUGAUAGUUGACGAUCCCCAGGUUUAUCCUAUAUUGGUUCCAUUCGCAUACUGUAAAAUUUAGCAUUGUCUAUAUUCUUUUCCAAUCAGUUACUGAUCUUGAAAUUACUAACUAAUCAUGAAUUGUUAAUUUGCAUGAUUCUUCUUUCUGUAUGUGGUUUCUUCAACUGAUCCAAUGGUAGUGAAUGCUGAUUUCACUAAACCAAUUCAAUGGUGGAAAAGAGAGAAACUGAUAUUGGAUUUUUUAUAUUCUGCUUAUGUGCAAAAAUAUUGAAUAGCUUUUUUUUUUUUUUUUUUUUUCUUUCUUUCUUUCAUUCUCCCCCCUAAUCCUUCUUUUCUCCACUUGUUAUGCUUGUUCAAAAGAAGAUAAAGGCCCUUUGUCUUGCAUCAAUAAGAACCAAAAACCCUGUGAAUACUUAUUUAGGAAUGUAUAACUUCCUUGACAGCAGCAUGGGAAUGCUCACACCGUAACAAGGCUAUUCCAAUGGAAAUUUAUGGUGGCUGAUCCAAACACUCCUUGUGCUUUUUUUUUUUUUGAUAGGCAAAAGAGCAAAAGACAUGUUAAAGAGCCAAAAAAAAGGCUACACCAAGUACAUAGGAAGUACGCAUGUGCACACCAAAGAAAAAACACAAAAACCCUCUUCUUAAUGGCAACCUAACCAAUCGAUAAAAUCAAUCAUAUACAAGGACUCUUGCCCUAGUCCCCCUUUGGUCCAUUCUAAAAAGUUACAAAGAAAAGAGAAUUUUAGCUCGUGAUAUGAAAGCUCAACAUUAUCAAAAGCCCUUCUAUUCCACUCUUUUCAAAUAGUCCAAAACAAACAAAGAAGUGCAACAUUCCACACCUUUUUUUUCCUCCUCCCAACAGAUCGGCUAUGCCAACUAAGAAGUGUUGCUUGGACUGAGGUAUGCAACACCCAAACCACAGCAAACAAGGAGAAAACUAAUUGCCAUAACAAACUAGCCUUAGAACAAUGAAGAAUGAUGUGAUUGCAAGAUUCCUUCUCAUCUUUACAUAAAAAGCGUUUGUUUACCAAAGUCCAACCUCUCUUCAAAUUGUCCAUAGUUAGAAUCCCCUUCCAAGUUGCUUCCCAAAACAAAAAAAAAAACUCACUUUUAUUGGAGCCUAAGAAUUCCAAAUAAGCCUUGUCGGGAAAGAAUUUGAACCCCUCUAAACCAUCCCAUCAUAGAAAGAUUUAACUAAAAAUUGGCCUCCCUUUGUAGCCAUCCAUACCACCUUGUCAUCCAUCUCCCUUCUCAUUGAUUUGCCAUGCAAACGCAAAAGGAGUGCUUCAACAUAACCUAACUCUUAAUCUUGAAAUUCCUUACAAAACAAGGGUUCCAACACCCCUCAAAAUCAAUAUGCUUCCAAACAUCACAUACCCAAGCCUCCUUUGAAGUGGCUACAACAAACAAAGAGGGGAAAGAGGUACUCAAAGGGGUGCCCCCACACCAAAUGUCCUUCCAAAACCUUACCCUUCUUCCAUUACCCAAAUCAUAGGAAAUCUUGUUUUUGAAAGAAUCCCAUCAUUUCCUUAUAGCCUUCCACAAUCCUAUGCCAUGACCCUUCCUUGUCUCCAAAGAGCACCAACCUGCUUCUUCUACCCCAUUCUUACCAAUGAUUUCUUUCUUCCACAAGGUCUCCCCUUCUGACAUGAACCUUCAACUCCAUUUUCCUAAGAGAGCCUUGUUCAAAAUAGAAAGAUUUUGAAUGCCUNNNNNNNNNNNNNNNNNNNNNNNNNNNNNNNNNNNNNNNNNNNNNNNNNNNNNNNNNNNNNNNNNNNNNNNNNNNNNNNNNNNNNNNNNNNNNNNNNNNNUUUAAGGGGGGGCCCCCAAAGGAACCCCCAAAUUUUUUCAAAGGGUAAGCCCCCCUUUUCCCCCCCAAAAAUCCCCCAAAUUCCCUCAUUUUGGGGACCCUCCCAAAUAAGAAUAGGCCACUUUUUUUAAGGUUUUUUUUAACCCCAAAAAUUUUUUCAAACCCCCCCAAGGCCCAAGAAAGGACCAAUAUUGGGCCCUUAAAACCCCCCAAAAAAAAAAAAAAAAUUGUUUUUCCCCAAAAAAAAAGGGGAACCCCCCCCCCCCCUUCCCCCCUUUUUUUUUUAAAUUUUAAAAAAAAAAAAACAACCCCCCCCCCCCCCCCCCCCCCCCCCAAACAAACAAAAACUCCUUGUGAUUAUCUUCAAGAGUGGAGAGUUAUAGCAUUUUAACUGACAACCACUAUCUCAAGGUGACUGAAGAUGCAUUCCACAAAAUGUUAGACAAGUUGCUUAUGAUUUUCUCCAGACCCUGAAUGCUAUAGGUAUAAGAAAUAGGUAAAUGUGCUUACUAAUAGUGGAUGCAUUCCACAAAAUGCUAGAGAAGUGGUUGUUUCCUUCUCUCUAUCUCUUUCCUUACCUCCUUCCUCACCUCCCUCACCUUCCCAAAUUCCCUUUUCCUUUAUUUUCUCAAACAGCUCAGUUGCUCCACAUGAUUAUUUUUUUAAAAAUAGGAAUGCUUCACAAGAUUCAUAUAUUACCUUGCUAAUUUUAGUUAGUUAGGCACUGCCCCUUAAAAACUCAAUUAAGUCUACAUAUUAAAUCCAUUUUUUUGUACACUUUUGUGAAUUGGAUUAGGGUAUACAUAGAGGAACACACUUUGUCGUUGAUAGAUUUUGUUGACUGGUUAGCCACCAAGUAAGGGUCAGGCUUGUUUGUUCUUUUGUUUUUUGCUUCCUUGUAUAUGGUAUACUCCGUGUAUACCCUUUCUCUUGCCUUUUGGCUCUUAAUGAAUUUUCUUUACCUAUCAAAAAAAAAAUUAUACCUUUGAUGUAGUUAUGAAUACAAGGAUCAUCCAUAACUCCUCCAAUUACAUGACAUAUUUGCUAUAUUAUUGAUUCUAAACUGGCACUGUCAUAACAUGAUUGGCAAAAAAAUAAAAAUAAAAAUAAUAGUUACUUCUAGAAUUUGAUGGAUGAACCUUAUGGCUAUGCUUGGUUCCUAGAAAAUUUGAGGCAAAAUGUAAGGGAAAGAAAAUAGAAAGGAAAAGUAGAAAGAAAGAAAAAUUGAAGGAAAAUUAAAAAUAGAUUUAAAGUCAAAAAUUAUUUUUAUAUGUUACUUCAAACUUAUUUCACUUAUUUUAACUAUUGAAUACAAAGAUUAAAUAAUUUGAAAAUUCAUAAGUUUCUAAUUAGUUUUAAUUAUAUUUGUCUUUCUUUGGUAUUUUCUAUAGAACAAUCAAACAUGAAAAAAUUAUUUUCCUUAGUGUUUUUUUUUUUAGUACUUUCCGAGAACCAAACAUAAUCUAUUGAGUUUGUCUAUGAUGAUUGGCAUUGGUUAUUUUGUUUAGGCUCAUUCACCAACCAACUGGUUUGUGGUGUACCACUAUACUUCUUUUCCAAUUUUAUUUUAUUUUAUUUUAUUUUUUUGGUUCAUUUUAGGUUUAAAGAGAUUUUAUUUUAUUUUAUUUAUUUAUUUUUUAUCAUAAUUCAUGUGUAACUGCAUUUCCUUUGUCACCAUCACCAUGUGACUCCAUAUAGUGGUUGGGAGAGUUAGAUGCUGGAACAGUUAUGGAAUAACUCCAUCAAUGUUGUGCAUCUUUCUUUGAAAUGUAGGAAUUUGGAUUUUUUAUUUUUUUAUUUUUUGAAUAUCUCCUUCUCAUAAAUAGGUAUGGUAUGCCCAACCAUUUUAUUUUAUCAAAAUUCUUUGAUAACAUAGCUUAUCAAUAUGAUGAAAUGAUCAUAAUGUAUCUCAUCAACCUGAUUUCAUAUUACACAAUGGAGCCUAGAUUUUGAAGUUCUCUCAGUUACAAAGGGAAAUCUUGUGUUGAUGUAAUGGCAGAUAUUGUUUUUUGUAGUUGGGAUUCCUCAAAGAGUUUGGGAGGUGGGAGGAGUCCUAGAGGGAGAGCACUGUGCAGAGAGACCAACUUAGCUGGCUAAUAGAUUAUUCGGCUUCAGAGAAAUGCUUGGAUACUUAAGAACAUGAGAAAAUCUUUCAUUGACUUGUGUGCUGAUGUCUAUUAUCUCACAACUCUUUGAAUGCUUGUCACUGUAGAGUUCUUUAGGUUCCCUUUAAUGUAUAUACAUUCUUUUUUGGAUCGGAGAUCAAUAUGCCUUUCCCGUCAGAGAGUGGUUUUGUGCUGGAGGAGGCACUGCCUGUGCUAUUUCUAGACUCCUGACUGUGGCCAGUCCACUCUGCACUUUUUUCAGUUUCCGGACACAACAUGUUAUACAAUUAACAUACCAGCUUCUAUGUGAUCGAAUUCAGCUCCACCUCAAUCAUUGGAAUUAGCAGCAUGCCAACAAUCACAGUGUGGGCACCAGUUUUUAGUUAUUCACUUGCCUUGCUUUUCUGGUGAAGUCAGGCAGCAUCUUUUCAUUUCAGAAUGUGGCAUGCUGUUGUUUGUGACUUUUUGGCCAUAAGAGCAAUUGUGGAUGGCCCUUCAAUAGACAAAACUUUAUAGGUGUGUGUUUGUGCCAAAUCAAGGGUCAAGUUAUGAAUGAAAAUAUGAAAAUGAAAAGAGAAACAGAGCAAAAAUUCAUUUUACCAUGUCUCUGUUCUUUCCAUGAGGGAUUAGGCUUGUACCUCUUUGGAAGACUCAGAAUCUCCUUUCGGUUUUUCAGUGGCUCCUUUCUCCUAUGACCCGUUCAAGAAUGCUACUUUAUUGUAGACCUUCUAUGCCUUUAUUGAAAAAGAAAAAGUGAUAAGAUAUUUCAACUAGUUGAAAAUAGAGGACCCUAAGGCCUGAGAUAGACCGAUGCUAGAUAGAAAAUACAUAUGUACGGAUUUUCAAACUUAUCUAGAAGAAAUAGAAGCAAAUGAUACAUGACAAGUCAGUGUCAAAAGGUGAACUAAGUCUUCCACUAGAUAGUCUACUUAGAUGUCAAAAAUGUAGUGGGCUCUUUAGCCUCAUGGUAGCCUAAAGCUCAAGUUUGGUUGAUGUUACCUAGCAAACUCGAGACAGAUGGAAAUUUCCAGCCUUUUACGGGUCCAUAGAUGUGUGAUUAUUAGGGCUUUUUAAUGUCAUUUGUGAUGGGGUUUGCUAUUGAUGUGAUGCAGAGGUCCUGAAACUAUUAGAAGGGAUGUAAAUCUGGUGAAAGAGUUGGAUGUUUAUGAUCUUAUGGGGAAGGAGAAUUGAGCAAUGGUUCUCUCUUGCAUGUCACUGGGUCAAAAAGGGUCAGGGAGAUAAAACCACCACUUGUGGAGGAUAGUGGAUCUUUUUAGAGACAUUGGCUGAUCAUUUCUUGAAAGUUUAGAUCAAGAAAUCAAGAAGAUGAGAGGCUGAUUAAGAGAGAAGUCAUGUCCUAUGCCAACUUUGUUUGAGUGGGCCAUAUCAUAUACUUCUACCUGGGGUUAAUCUUUAAGUCUGGAGGGUUCAUUGUCUCUUCAUUUUUUUACCUUUAUUUUUUUUCCCCUUAUUGAAUCAUGUUCUUGUACAUCUACUUGUUUGAAGGAUUUCUCAUCCUUCCUUGUAAAUAACUGUUUGCAUAAUAUUAUCACACAAAAACAUAGAUCAUAGACAAGCUGAGAAUUUCCUUAGGAUCCAUAAUGUGAUCUUAUGUUUGCUUCUAUACAUAAUUAUUAGCUUUUAAUUAGCUUAUCUUCAUUGGACUACUUAUGUGGAGAUUUGUUUUAUCUGUUUCUCCGUGUUUCAGGCACAACUAAUUGACCCAGCACUAAAAGGAACAAUGAGCGUUCUAGGAUCUUGUGCAAAAGUUCCAUCUGUCAAAAGAGUAGUUGUAACAUCAUCUAUGGCUUCAGUUGCAUUCAAUGGGAAACCUCUAGCUCCUGAUGUGCUAGUUGAUGAGAGUUGGUUUUCAGAUCCAGUUUUCUGUGAGAAAUCAAAGGUUGCUUAAAUGAGAUGAUAUCACAUGCUAUCUCUUUUGCAUGUUCUUGUUUGUGGCUUUACAAAAUGUUUUCUUUUCAUGGCUCUUCACUUCUUUUACCCUGCAGAAGUAGCUGCCAAUUUGUCAUGCCCUCUUGUUUUUACACUUCUGCUAGCCAGCUUAGGGUUAAAUAACAUGAUGGGAAUGAGAGGAUUAUCCCUUUAUUUUGCUAAGCCUGCCAUUAGAUUAAAUAAUCCUUCCAUGUAUGUCUAAUAUUUCACUAAUACAGUGUUGGUAGCUGUCUGAUCCAUAAAGUCGCAUUCCUCAAACAAGAAAUUAAAUGAGAACUCUAAUUUGGAUAUUAUAUGAAUGAAAUGGAUGUUAAUCUCUGAUUGUCUUACUGUCCAUUAAACAUGAUGGGCUCAGAAACAUGGGUUGACAAAACAGUUGUGACAUAUCUAAUUAGUUUUAAUGUGAGUGUGUAUGCCUGCACAGCCUCCUAUUGAUUUUGCUUGGGUUCAUAAGUUCAUUGCUUGUUCUCUAUGUUCCAUUAUCUACUAGCAAUACAUAGAAAUGCUUCUCACUAUAUAUUUUCAAACAUGUUGGUUUCUACUAGCUAUGGUAUAUGCUUUCAAAGACAUUAGCUGAGGAGGCUGCUUGGAAGUUUGCAAAAGAGAAUGGGAUUGACAUGGUUACAAUAAAUCCAGGGUGGGUGAUUGGCCCUCUCUUACAGCCUACUCUUAAUCUAAGUGUGGAGGAAGUUCUGAAGCUACUAAAAGGUACUCUUCUACAAUUGAUGAGAAUCUCUUUUUUAUGUUUAUCUUUCUACUCCAGUAGCAAUACAUGCUUCACUUCAAUAUUGAGUCAACUCUAUCCAACAGCCCUGCAAAUGGAAACUCAGAAGUUUAAAUCAAAACUUAUCAAUAAACCGUCACAAGACUUCCACAGUUCCACAUAAAAGGACUACAUAUGCAUUUUGAUAUAUGCUGACUAAUCUUCUAACACUAAAAAAUUGAUCUCUCCUCUGGUCAUUAUAGUUAUAUCACCAAGAUACUCAUUUAGGGGAUUUGCAUAUGAGAUUAGAUGAAGAUAUAUUUAGUUUUGGCCUCCCAAGCCAGACUGGUUUGGAAGGACCCCUGGACUGUGAAAGGACUGAAAGCAUGCGUAUGCAAUUACUAUCCUGAACUUGAGGUAUAUUUACAUGCAAGUUCAAGCCAAGGGCAAGAACUUCUUAAAUAACCCAUUAAUCCUUUUGAUCUACCCCAUCUAAAUAUUACUGCAGCUCAACAUAAUUAGCAUAAAGUGGGGGUUCCCCGCAUCCAACUCCAUUGCAAAUGAGUUGUUCAUGUGCAACUCACUUGAUCAGUAUUUUUAAAAACUUCUACUAACUUUUUUGGACUAUUUUACAGAUCUUAACAUUCUCUAAACAUUUAGAAUCAUUUCUAGUGGCUUUAUAGGGCAAUAUCAUGUUACUUUAUUGACAACUCUUACAAUAAUCAAUACUACCUUAACUGUAUAGCCAAUAUGGUUUGUUUCCUUACUAGCCAACCUCUUCUGCCUCCAACUAACCUCCCCUGUAUCUUGCUUCAAUUAUGAGGGCGUUGCCAUAGGUUGAGCAUUGGACAUAUGAUAAACCUGUGCCUUGAUGGUUGUACUCUGAUUCAUGGAUCCAGACCGUAGUAAUUGGGAUUAGACUUGUUGGUAGUUGCUUUAGUUCAAUGCUUGCAAUAACCAAAGUAAUUUGUCGUGCUGCUUUAGAACCGUUCGAUCUUUCGUAUGAAAUAAGAAAGGUAUUUUGUACAAAAUAAUGUUUUCACUUGUAAUUUCCAACAUUACAUAAAGUGAUAAAUAUAAGUGUAUUUGCUAAGUGUGAUUGCAUCAUUUUCUAAGCAUUUCCGUUUGAGACAAACAGUCUAAGACGAAAAUGUGUGCUUCAAAAAUUUCUAGCUGUAAUACUUUUGAGAUUGUGCCAAAAGAUCAGUUGACAAUGACUAUAAAUAAAUAAAUGGAAAAACAUCAUAUUAUCAUUGAGCAGAUUGCAUGCUAAACUUAAAUAGGCAAAAGAAACUGAUACUUUCAGUACACUUACGUAAUACUUGUGAUGUAAGCUUCUGAGAUUUGUUUGCGGCAGGAGAUACAUUUCCCAAUAAAACACAUCGAUGGGUUGAUGUUAGAGAUGUUGCCAUGGCACAUAUUCAAGCAUAUGAGCUUCCAACGGCUAGAGGCAGAUACUGUUUAGUAGGGAGCAUUUUACACUGUUCUGAGACAAUGAAGAUUUUGCGCAAGCUCUACCCUGCUUUAAACCUACCUGAGAAGUAAGGUUUUAUUAUUUGCAGGGCGUUAUUUCUAGUUUGCAUUAGUGCCCUUUGAAAUCAAUAUUAGGCAAUGCUACUUCUUUUUGUUUAUUUUGGGUUUUUUCUUUUAUUUCUUGAUAGGCUAAUAUAUACAUAUUCUGUAAAGAAGUACCUAGAAAAAGGGGCACAACUCUGGUGCAAGUAGUAGUAUGAAAGUAGCACUAAAAUGUAGAAAUUAAAAACAAAAGGAAACAACUACAUCAGGAAGGCAACAGACACAAUAAAACAAGUAACCUGCAUUGGAUGAAUAUGUGAUACAUUGAUUCCAUCAUUUGGUUGCACAGACAACACCAAUUGACAAUAGACUAAACUAAGAAACAGUUGUUCUAAUAAGACUGAAACAACACCAUCAACAAAUUAUUGAGAUUUUCACAAAAGGCAUUGCCUUGAGAAUCAAACUUUGGAGAGGUGAAUCCUCUCCAUCUGAAUGAGCUGGGAAGCUGAAAAUUAGCCUACCUUGUUGGUCUGUGUUAUCCUCUAUGAUGUGCCUGUGAAUCCAGUAGGUUGUAGCUUGCAUUUACUUGGGCCAUGGCUGGACCACUGUGUCUUACUUUCAAGACUAUUGUAUGUUUGAAAUAUUUCACAUGUAUGCGUAGCCUUUCUCCAUUCACGGUGGUCAUAGUGGUAUGUCUACACUAUUUCAACAUAUCGCCUUCUUAUGAAUUGCAUCCAAUUCUUAAUAUGUUAUCGAAGUGCUAAGGGUCUAAAAGUGCUUCAGUGAUCGGGGCUCAGGAAUUUUCUGAUUUAUAUUAUUUAUUCUGUUUUGGCUGAUCAUAUCCACAAAUGUGUUUUCCUGUUGAAUGAAGUUGUUAGUGAGCUAUAAGAACCUUUCCUUGUUUCAAACUUUUCCUUGUUUCAAACUUCUAUCAUCAAUAUUGACCUUGGUGGAGUUUCUUCAGAUUCACUGAAUACUUUUUGCCAUUUAGGUCUAGUUAAACCCAUAUUUCAUUCUUCUAGUACAAAAGAACUAAUCCCCAUUGCUUGGGGAUCUUCUCAAUUACCCAAAGAGAUGUGUUUUAUGCUCUUUAACUUUUCAUUGCAUAUAGGAUUAAGCUUCAGGUCCAUGUCCUGAGAGUUUUCUUUUCUUCAGUACCAGUCGUUUCACUGAUUGAUUAAGAAAAUGUGUUUCUGUUUCAUUUGCGGCAGAUGUGCAGACGACAAGCCUUAUGAACCAGCCUAUAUGGUGUCCCAGGAGAAAACUAAAAGUUUGGGCAUUGACUUCACUCCUCUGGAGGUGAGCCUGAAGGACACUGUGGAAAGCUUGAGGGAGAAGAACUUUGUCAGUUUCUGACACGUGGUAUAGCCAUGCAAAUGAAUCAUAAACAAAAAAUGGUGUCUUCUUGGUAACUUCAUUGUCAAGUGUGUUGGAGUCAUAUAUCUUCUAACAUGUUCAUGGUAAGCAAUCCCCAAGACAUGCUACAAGUUCUCCAAAAGAAAACCAACAGCAUAUAAAAAGCGGCAACUUCUAUUUCCGCUUCUGCUCAACAACAAAAGCUAUCAACUAUCCUAAAUAGGCACCAAGGAGAUUCGUAGACCUUAGGCCCCUGCCAAACUAGAUUUUUUGUUUGGGAAGUAACUGAGGAAGAUUUUCACUUGUCAUUAACUUAUGCAGAGGUUGGUAGCUAACAAACUAUGUAAGGGCAAUGUUCUUGAUUAUACCAUAUGAAAGGACACAGUGAGCUCUGCCUUUGGAAAUGUAGGCAGUGAGGUGGCAUGGUCCAUUAACUUCAUUCUGUGAUUGGCUGCUCAACCAUUCCAAAGCAAGGGAAAAUUAAGCUUACUGAAGUUUUACUAUCUCUGCUCAUUUUGUUUCUUAAUAGUACUGAAAUGAUUGGAGACAAUAAGAUUGAAACCCCAAAUUUUUGUUAAUUACUGUUGAAUAUAAAUAUGUUUUAUAAAAAAUAAUUCUCACUAAUAAACCCCAUUAUUCCACUGGACAUGUUGCCACAGAAGUGGGUAUAAGGAAGCAUAUUCCGAUCAUCCAAGGACACUGGGUGUGACUUCACCAACAAAGCUUACAGCUGAUACAAGCAAACUACCUCUCAUAAAGAAAACUAGGACUGUUUCACAAAAUCGAAGGAAUAUCUUUGUGGGAAGAGAACAAAGAGGAUGCACAUAUUCAAAAUUUGUGGCUGAGCUAUUUAAACCUUUCAUUGAUACUGGUUGAGCUUCUCUCUGUAUUCGUAGGGUGCACCCCUCCUCUUUUGGCACUUUCUAAUGUAUGUUCUUGUUGUCUAUAAAAAAAAAAGAAAAAAAAAAUACUGGUUGAGCUUCUUAAGAUUGACACAACAGUUUUUCUCCAUUCUUAAUUUAUAAUCAAAAGACUGGCUGAGCUAUUUCUUUGUUCUUAUUGAGUUUUGAGAUGAACCCACAUGUGUUUGUCACUCAUGGCAGGUGUGCAGAUGACAAACCUUAUGUGCCAGCCUUCCAGGUGUCCCAGGAGAAAUCCAAAAAGCUUGGGUAUUCACUUCACCCCGCUGGAGGUGCCUAAAGUAUACUGUAGAAAGCUUGAAGGAGAACCAGCUCAUCUGCUUAUGAGUCAAUUAUUUGGCUGUCAUUGAAACAAAUCACUAAUUAUUAGUGUACCCAAAUACUGUCAUUGUUAUGAAAUAAAUUUGUGGCUAGGAUAGGGCUGAUAGGUGCUAGAAGGAGACUGCUUGGGAAGAAUACCAAUCAGCAUUAUAGUAAGGCAUCUAUUGGAAAAAGACAUGACUUCAAACUCUUUUUUGAAUAAUUUCCAAUAAACAAAGAUGAGUUUUAUGUUUGUAGAAAUAUUCAAACCUCCAAGCUUGUGAUAUAAAAUCCAACACAAAUUCAAAAACUAAUUUGCAUGGGAAUUCAAGUAAUUAGAACAGAGCACCAGCACCAGUUUGACAACAAUUUUGUAUAGACAGUUUUUAAAAAUAGUGGUUAGGUUUUGUUAGGUAACUAUUUUCAAAGACAGUUUUGAAAAACAGUUUUUAAAAAUAUUUUUCAAUAUUUUGAAAAAUAAAAGUCUGUUUGAAAAUUUAAAAUAUUUUUAACAUGUUUUUAAUAUUUUUAAAUAUGUUUAAAAAACAAUUUAUGUAUCUAAUAUUUUAUUUUUAAUCAUUAUAUAUGUUUGUAUAAUUAUUUUUUUUAAAUUCUUAAAAAAUAAUUAAAAGAUAUUUUAUGAAAAUAUCAUAUUUUUUAUUUUUAAGAGUAGAAAAUAAAAAUAAUUUUUUUUAUUGAAACGUGUUUAUUCUAAAGAAUAGAAAAUUGUUAUAGAAAACAAUAGUCAAACAAACCUUUAUAUUUUACUUUUAUAUUUUUGGCACAAAUAUAUAUAUAUAUAUAUAUAUAUAUAUAUAUAUAUAUAAAAUAAAAAUAAAAAUAUUAGGUGAUAUAUAUUUUUUUUUCCAAGGAAGGGAGGCAUUUUUCUUGGCAGCAUAUCCUAAUUCACAAAGUAUAAACCCUUGCAAAUUGAAAGAAAGACAAUUUACAUAUCAUUAAAGGGUGAUCUGUAAGCACUCUUAUAGGCCUACAUCUUCCUCAUGUGGAUUUGGAAUUUAACCUCUGAUAAGCAUUUACUUGUUUUUAAUCUGUUUUUUAGGAAGCCAGUUAAUGAGAUUUUGCCAACCAAAAACAAAGGUUUGUUAGCCCUCCUACCCUCAGGUUGGUUCUCUUGCAUAUGCUUGAAGAUAUUGGAAACCAAUUAAUUAGUCAUUGCAGUUUCAUAGUCUUACAAGAAAUCUUGUUAUGGUGGCAGGAGAACAGACUGCAACAUAGUCUCAUUCCCCUUCAUGAUUUAGACAUUGUAAAGAUCAAAAACCUAUUCCUGGAAAUAUAAGAAGAAGAGCGGCCAAAGGACAGGAACAAAAUGUAUGGGAACCUUAUGGACUUGAAUAGUUGGUAUUCAGGUGGCAAAAAUACACAAAAAUGCACUUAACAAACUACUAAUCAGCAGGCCAAGAUUCUACUUCCAAGAGACAGAUUUUUCAUCCAUGUCAAGAAGGCUCGCACUUCAUUUUUGUGGGACUUUGAUAUCAACAAAUUUAUGGAAUUCUUUCAGAUUUCUAAAUGGAAUGGUUCAAGUCAUCAACACAUUCCCAGAAUUCUUUCCUAAAUGUCAUCAUCCUGGCUAGCUUUCUUCAGUGUUGAAAGAGGGGGUGAUACCAUGUUGCUAAAAAUUGCAGUCUAUAUGUACUAGAUGGACAAGAACUACAACACUUGUAUUAGAAACAUCUCUGUUGCCUGGAUUGGUAUUACUUGCCAUAAUUAAGCACCUUUUUACUAUUGUAGCAGAGUGUUUCAAAGUCACCCAUACUUAAUCCAUCUUCAUGUCUCUCAAACAACUAGGUCCAUUAGUAGCAAAAGAAGAGCAAUUUGAAUAGCUGGUCAUUUCCUUUUAUAAUUUAGGGAUAGAGGUCAAAAACUACAACACUUGAAUAGCUGGUAUUAAGAUGGACAAGAACUACAACACUUCUCUCAUAAACAUGUAUGUUCUUUCUUCAACUCUUACUCUAUUGCCUGGAGUUGCAUUACCUGCCAUGAUUAAUCGCCUCCUAUUUAUUCUUGUGGAGAAACAGGUUUUGGAGUAUGUAGAGACUACAGUUGCUGCACCUCUUGAUUUUCAAGACCACCCAGUCUCUCCUCAAGCAUCUGGAAUUGUCAAGCUGAUUUAUGGCUAACCUUCCAAGGACCUUAGGGGUUUCAUACAGGGUAGAUCUAGUGCAAGAGAUUCAGAAUUAUCUCUACAUAAUCCACCUCCAUUUCUUUAGAACAACUAAAUGCUAUGGCCAAAAUCUCACUUAAGGCGUCAGGUUCAUGUUGGGGCUCAUUCACAAGAUUAAGAUGAAUAUAGUAGGGGAUGUUCCUGAUCUACCACCAGCCAUGUUGUCCAGUUGUUCAAUGCCCCUGUGUUGACUAUGGUCACAGUCACAGUUGUGUGUCCUUUCCCAAAAGAAAUGUCAUUUUGAAAUUUUUAAUGUCAACAACAGAACUUUCAUGUUUCUACAUUCAGGUACCCACAAAAAAUUGAGUCCAUGUUAGCAUCCAAUGAUGGAAAGUAAUAAUCUAAACAAGGGAACAAGUGCUCUCCUUGCUCUUUUUUAGUAGAACACUAGUUUAUUUCCAAUCAAUUGAGGAGGAAACUAAUUCUAAACACGGAAGCCAGGUACUUGAUUUCUGUUUGAUUGGUGGAACAACUGAAACGUAUUUACAGAUUUAACAUUAGAUAAGUUUAACAAAAUCACUAAUUAACUCCCAAACCUCUCCCCCCACCCACCACAACGGAAAGAAAAAACGUUUUGGGAUCCUAGUAGCUUUAUGUUACAAGAUUCUGAUCAACAUAUGGUGCAGAGUAUUAUGUUGGUCCAGUUCCUCUACUCUGCAUUGCAACAAAGUAUAAGUGGGUUUUCUCUUUUCUUCAUCUUCAAAUGAAACAACCCUUCUCAAUAAAGAAUACAAGAAAUUGAAAGCUAAGACCGUUUCCUUUCAUUGUACUUUGUUUCCUUUGCUCCUUCCUCUCUUGGUCAAGCCAAACAGUCCGUGGUUUGUCCAUUUCUUCUUCAUCCCACAUCAAAAAGCAGUGUGUUGGGUUAUCCCAUCUCUUUAUCCCCUUGUCAAGACACAGAAUUUAAUGCAUUGCUGUCUUUGAUUCCUCCUAGUUAAAAGGAAGCUUGAAAUAUCUCCAUUGCUUCUCUGUUUCUUUGAGCCAAAGGAUAGAAUACUGCUUUUCUCUGUUUCUUUGAGAUGCAAGAGGUUUGUAUAGAACUUAGGUGAGGUAACUAUUGGUCAGGGAGGUAGGCAGAUCUGAAACAUUUUCUUGACUUCCAACGGAAUAUCCUUGCACAUAUGUUACCAUUUUCUUUUCUUCAACUCUGUUUUCUUUGUUUCUUCCUUUCUUGGUCAAGCUAAACAAUCUGGUGAUUCUUCUUUUGUUAUUCAUCCCAUCAGGAGGCAGCAUCUCAUGCAUCUUUGCCUUGGGUUCCUCCCUCUCCUUCCAGCCUACGAAAAAAUAAUACCAUUGCUUAGUUUGGACUUCUCUGUUUUUUUUUAUCAUUUUGAAAAGCAUCAUGGGAAGAUGUACAAAAAAUGUGUUGUGCUGAAUUAUCCCCUUCUCUACUAACCAAAACAUGUUCUUUGACAAUCAAAUAUCAACGUGUUUAAGCAGUCGGUGAGGCAUAUCUUGACAAUGAGAUGAGAGGUAGAAACAAGAAACAUACUCGUAUUCAAGAGAAGCGUUGUUUCUUCAUUUGCAUUAGACAACAUUCAUUUAGUCUCAACUUGAAAGUGGAUUGCUAGAAUCUGAGCUCUUGCAAAGACACAAAAGUACAUUUAGAAAUCUAAAAGAAACCCAGAGACCAGUUGCUACUUGUGAAUCACUGUAAUCAGAAACAAUUCCAGAUAAUCCUGCAAAUCUAAACCUUUGAUUUGCUCCGUUCCCUUUUGCCAAGAAUAGUUCUAAAACGUUUUUCUUUAUUGAGUUGUAAUGAUUUUAUUAUUUGGAUUUAAUUGUAUUCAUUAGGUUUGCAAAUCACAAAAACGGUGUCGUGCUUAUGAAUAUCUUCCUCUUUGAUCAUGUAAAAUUGGGAAGCAAUUAUGGAUUACUAUUAUGAUAGCAUAGUGUAUUGAUCCACACAGUUUGUGGCAUGACAGUUUAAGGAAAUUGCAGAAGUGUAGCACUGAUGGGUAUGUCAUGUGAACAUUUUUCAAUAGAGCUACUUGUCCAAAUUUACAUGGGUGAAUUGUCACACCAAUGUCCUCUGAUGAACCUUGGGUUCUUUUUUCUAUUUCUUCCUCUCUUGGUCAAGCCAAACAAUUUGUCUUCAUGAGGACUUCAUGUUACCAAUAAGCAGCAUCUUGUGUUCUCCUUCUCUUCAUCCCCUUGUCAAGACAACAAUUUGAUGCAUCUUUCCAUUGGAUUGCUUCCUCUCUGCUCCCUCUCCUUCCUCCUUGAGGCAAAACCAUAUCAUUGCUUAGUUUUGACUAUGUUCUUUUGAUCAUUGUGAGAGAGCAUCAUUGUAAGAUGUACAAGAAAUGUGUUGUGGUGCAUUAUCCCCUUCUCCACCACCUAAAAUAUGUUUUACAUGAUCAUAAGGACCAAGGUGUUUUAAGCAUCAGGUAAGGAAUUUGUUGACAAUGAUGUGAGAGAUAGAAACAAGCAACAUACCGAUAUUCAAAAGACGUGAUGUUCUUCUUUUGCAUUUGACAACAUUCAUUUAGUCUGAACUCCACAUUUGAGCAACUCAAAAUCUCCACCUUCAUUAGGAUUGCAGGAAGUUGGCUUCUUGGAAAGACAUGGAAAGGGAGCAUCUAGAAAUCUGAAAGAAUUCCAGAGGCUUGUUGCUACUUUUGAAUCAUUCCAAUCAAUAGCAACUCCAAAAGAUGUAUACAAAUCUAUCCCUGGAAAACAGAUGUGUCUUGUGCAUAUGCAACCAUCUCUCUAAUAGACUCGAGAUUGUGCACCCUCAUGGUAGUUUCGUAUAGAUUGCACCAUAUGAAUUGUAGAUAUCCAACUACCAAUAUCACUACACCUGAAUGAACUAGGAGUUAUGCUGAAAGUGAAUUUGGACAACCCAUCAUCGAAAGAAUCCUGUUGGAAUACACCAAAAAGAAAAUCUUAUUAACAUAAAUGAAUUCAUCCCGUUAAAGGAUAAAGGUGCCGAAAAAAUUGAAUUGGGAGAGAUAGAAAUAUUGAUGCUUGCAUGGGACUGUGAGAGGGACCAACAAGUGGAACAAACAUUGAAUAGUAAAUGUAAAACCAUAAAGCUUGUAACUGUUGUCAAAAGUUGCUCUCUACUGAAGUUUUUUAACAAUAAAGGUAAGUGCAAAAUUCACCUAAUAGCUCCACUUGUAGAAAAUUUCAAUGGUGUGAAACUAGGAUAUGGUGAACUCACUUCCGCUAUUGCAGUGAACCAUUAUGGAUCAAAAAUGAAUCUCACCAUUGAUUUUCACAUAGGUGGGCUAUCUUUGGCCCAUAUCUCAAUAUUGAAUUUAGGAGUUCUGUCUCUCAUAUAUGGUUCCACUUGCAAAAUACAAAUGGAGCUUAGCUGAUGACAACACAUUUAGAAAAAUGCAAGAAUUCCAAAGACAUGUUUUGUGCUAUCAUGAAUCAUUCCAAUCAAUAAGGAAUCAAAGUGCUAUAAUUUUGAAUUGUCUUAGGGAACAUACCCCAAUUCAAUCUUGCGGAAGUAAACUGUCUUGAGCACCAACUCAAUUCUGAGUUCUUUGGAAGACUUGAGACACCAAUUCAAUCAAAACUGCUAGUUGUUUUUGUGGUAGAUUGUCUUCCUCCACUGAUAUUGGGGAACCCCAAAGCCCUAUAUACAAUUUUGAACUGUCAGCCUUCUUACCUUGAAUGAGAAACCUAUCCAUAGGAAAGAGGUGUCUUGGGCAUGCAACCAUCAAUUAUUAGCUAUCGAAAAGGCUUGAAGUUGUGCACCCACUUGGUAGCUUCUAAUUCAUUAAACCAUAUAACUUCUAGAUAUCCAAUUGGCACAUUACUAUACCUGAAUGAAAGUGAAUAGGAAGUUAGACAACCUUUCACAAAAAGAAUCCUGUAAGAAUACACCAAACAGAACUUCUUGUUAACAUAAAUGAAUUCACUCAGUUAAAUUAUUGUGUGAAAAUUUAAAUUGGGAUAAAUAAAAAUAUCGAUGCUUACAUGGGACUGUGGGAGGACCAACAAGAGGAACAAACUUUGAAUAGCAAAUGUGAAACCAUAAAGCUUGUAACUGCUGUCAAGACGUUGCUCCCUAGUCAAGUUUUCAACAAAAAGGUUCAAUGUAGGGAUUCUCUAGUAGUUGAACUUGUAGAAAAUUUCAACAGUAUGACUUUAUACUUGUAAUAAGAAGAUAAAAUGUAAGAAUUAUGUGUUGGGAAUAAAUGAAACUUACUAAAUAUAUGGAUAGGAUAGGGUGAACUCUCUGUGCUUCCAUUUUUGGAAUCUAAUGGAUCAAAGAUGGAUCUCUCCAUCUAUUUCCAAAUAGGAGAUGUGGGCAAUCUUGAAUUGAUGUCUCAUCAUUGGAUUUGGAACUGAUGUAUAGCUCUGAAACCAUGACAAGGUUCUCCUUCAGUUGACAAAUACAACUAGAGCUUAGGUGAGGUCUUGGUGAUAUAGAAAAGUCAGGGAUUCUGGAAUCUUUACAUGAAAAUAUACAUGAGAUACAUUGGAAGAAAGGGCAGGCCUUGGUCAUUUGAGAAGAAACACAUCUUAAAUAUAUUAUCAAUCAUGAUGAGUUGUUUGAGAAUCAUGAGUCUAUGAAGGCCUCACUCAUAUAAGGGAUGUCUUUGACAUUUCUCACUCUUCAAUCUUAGGAAGGUACAUCAUCAACUAGAACAUUAUGAAUAUGAGUCAUCAUGAGGCAACUUGUUUAUGUUUUUUAUUCUUUUCUCACCAGAGGGGAUUAAAAGAUAUGUAGUUGCAAGGACAAGAGAUGUAGCUAGUACUGAAAGCAUCAAACAAUCCUUCUCUAAUCCAGACCACAAAUUUUAGCAACUCGUGAUCUCCACAAUUUAGAGCACUGAAGGAAGUUAGCCUGUUGGAAAGAUGUUCCAUGACAUUUAGAAAUAUGCAAGAAUUCCAGAGAUCAUUCCAAUCAUUAAGGAAUCCAAAGCCCUAUAAUUUGAAUAGGGCAUCCACUUGGCAAGGAUAACGCACCUAUCUUGGGAAAAAGAUUGGGCACCAAUUCAAUUAUCAACUCUCUAUGAAACUUGAGAUACAAGGUACCAAUGUUAGUUGCUUCCGUGGCAGUUCUUCUUUUACUGGUAUUGGGGCAAAGCCUUUUGAAAACCCUCAAUCUACAAAUUGCCAAGGACAUGAGAUCAUGUUGUAAUCUCAUCUCCAAUCUCCAACUGCAAACAAAUUAUUUCUUUCAAUUAACAAUCUUUAAUGCGUGCACUUCUAUCAUAUGAUAAGAAAUUUAGGAAAACAAGUAAGCUUUAUAAUAUUAGGAAUAUGCAAGGAAUUGAUAAAGGCUAUGAAUCUACUUUCAAAAAAUAAAAUAUAAAAACAAAUAUUUUUUUCACCCAUGAAUAUUGUAACCAGCUUCUAAAAAACAUUAGGUAUUGAAAUAACCCAAUGUUCCUUAGGUAUUAAAGUUGAAGUUCAAAGUUACCAAGAGUGCUUUUUUGACCCAUGCAUAAAAUAAAAAGAAAAUAAGAAAGCAUAACAUAUAACUCAUAAUUGUGUCAAGUAUGAGUUCAAUUCAUGGUCAUGCACAAUUGCAUUAAGUAUUUAAAAGCUAAAUAAGGCUAUGUGCAAUUCAAAGAAUACCAUACAACUCAUAAUAGAAUCCUCACAGCUCACCAUAGAAUGAGAACUCAAACGUCUUUCUUCCGGUCAUAAGAGUUUGUGCUCUUCGAGCCUCUGACUUGCACAACUCAAGACAGCAGGACAUGCCAAAAAGUUUCUUUCACCUCAAACAUUAUUCAAAUCUGCAGUCUAAAUCUAGAUAAGAUAAUUUUCUACAAAUAUAACAUGUUGCAAACAAAUAACAGUAUGUUGGUUUAAAAUUGAAGAGCAUUUCAAACCAAACAAAAUAGAAAAAUUUUCAGUGUACAUCACUCACCUAAAAGCUUGUAUGUUGGAUGAAAUUCUUGCUAAUGAAUCCUGACAAUUAUUUGCAAUCAAAAUUUAGUAAUGGUUUAUAACCAAAAAAAAAAAUAUUACAAAUUUUUUUAGCAAUGUUCCAUGAAAAGCACAUUGCAUAUUGAUUGAGAAAUUAAUAUGAAAUCCACUAAUUUGAAAGGCACUAAAUACCAUAUGUUCUCUUGAGUUCUCCAUGUAUCAAAACAGAUGCAAGUUGCUAUUCGAGCCACCACAAUCACGGAGCAAAAGACUUCUUAGCAUGGAAGGCAUACCAUAUUUUAAACAAGGUUCUUAACUUUCCAAGAGACAUAAGAACGUGGUGUGUUGUAGAAACUGUAGAAUAAAUAAAUGGAAGUUAGACAUAUGCACUUGCUACUUAGUUUUUUAAUCAUGUGUGAAAUAAAUAAAGAGGUGUUACUUGCAUUUAGGCCAAACUUGUAGUCUCCAAUGUGAAAUCCAAAUCUCAUUUUGUCAACAGAAUAAGAGUAUUAAACAUAUAGAAAAUUGAAUCCUUCCUUUUGACAAUUUGAAAACCUUAAAGGAAUGACUUGAGAUCAUAAAUAACUAUACAGUAAAGAAAAUUUUCAUCAUUCUUUCUAAAAGGAAAAUUUGUCAUUUCCUUGAUUACGAAAGAUUGAUAUUUUAACAUAAAGUGCACUUAUUAAGGUAAACUUUGUGCAUUAUAUAUUGAUUUAGAAAAUUGUAUUUAAACCCGGUUAGAAGGGUAUCACAAAAGAUGCUUAAUUGAAAUGAAGGCAUCCAUGCCAAUUUGUAAAUGUUGUCAAAUAACACCCUCCCUUAUCAUUUUACAUCCCAUGCUUGCAUGUCAAAUCUUUAACUAAGACUGCUCAAAGAGCACCUAAAAGAAAAUUACGAAGAUUUCAUUACAGGUAGAACUUAAGAUGCUUACAUUGACCAUGAGAGAGAUCGAUAAGAAACAAAAUACUCCCCCAUAAGUUUGUAACUAUUGUACUGAUAACUUACUUCCUAGUCAAACUAUCAACAUAACUCCAUGGAGACUUCCACAAAUUGUUGAGCCACUGGUAAAACACAACAUCAAUAUGAGAAAUUUACAAGGUACUAUGCAGAUAAAAGAGUAAGAAAUGUGUAUUGAGAAUAAGAGUUACCUUAAUGAAUGUAAGGCUAGGAUAGGGUUGAAUUGGCUCUGCAUCCAUUUUUGCAAUUUGAAUUUAUUAUGGUUCAAAAAUGAGUUUAUGAUGUAUCCUCAUUUUAGGGGAAGCGGGAAAUCUGGGGCCAAUCUCUAUCAUUCUCCUUGAAACAUCUUUGAUUUCGAAGUUUGAUAAAACUUAGAAGACAACCUUUCACUUGGCAAGAAGGACUAGAACAAGGCAUCCCUCAAUCUCUACAAGUUAAAGAAAUGAAGUUUUGAAGACCAAGGGAGGGGGCUAGGAUUCUAGAUUUGACAAUAUUUUCAUUGAAAAAUCAAUGAGAGUUGUAGCAAGAAAUCCUGUAAAAAGGAAAUUGCAUUUAACAAUGUACAAUAUAAAAUGAAUGAACUGAGUUUUUAGAAAGGUGAAUCUUUGGAGGCUCCACAAAGAUAAGGGGUUUUAAUACCCUUGCAAGUGUAUUCGUGAAAUUGUUUCCUCAACGGAAACCUGAACCUAGACAUUGUGCAACACAAAGCUGUUAAAGAGAUGUGAGACUCUAAAUCUGAUGAGGUAGGACUUGAGAUCCACAUUUUCUUAAGUGAGGAAUUCUGAGGUUGUAGACACACUAGUAGUUUCCAGAUUUAGAUACUUCUCUUCAAAUAUUUGUAUAAUGUACAUCUUCUUUGACAUUGCUGCUCCAACAAGAUGUCAAAUAGGAGGUGCAACCUAUUUGGGCAUACUACACGUACAACAAAAAAUUUCAUUAAAACAAAAACUUUUACUAAAACAAAAAUAUGAAGUUAAUGUCUAAGAAGAUGAGAUUUAUAUAUAGUGAAUGAGCAUGAUUGAUUUUAGCACAAAGGGAAUGAUGCCAAAAUUUUUAAGAAUAUCAUCACCACAAGUACUUGCAUCAUUAAAAAUUCCACAAGGAUUUGAUGGUUAGGCAAUAAAAUAAUUCUAGUAAAUGAGUUAAAAGCAGCUGAGCUAAGAAAGAUUAAAUCCAAAUAAGCAUCAAUCAUUAAAGAAUUAACCAACUACGAAAGACUUCAAAUGACGUUUUCUCUGUAAUUUCUGUUCCUAAUUGGUCCCAUUUGCUUAAACCAAAAUAUUAUUAAUUUGCUUUAAAGGAAGUGGGUGACUCAUAUCUCUGAAAGGAUGUGAGAGGUGGAAAUCCCUCGAUCUCUAGUGAUUCAAGAGGAUAAUUCCUAUGGCUAUUGUUGUCAUCAUACAUCAUUCAGCUAGCUAUAGACCACAAAAUUGAACAAUCAUGAAUACGUAGAUGCUUAAAUAUGGUGUGUACUUUAUCUAGUGGAAAAGCUUAUGAGACUUGGUCAUCUCGAGAUUUCUAGGAAUUAAGAUAGAUACAAGUUGUUGCUUCCUGUUAUAAUUUAUCUGGAUCGCAAUCAUCAAGCACUAACUCCAUUCACUGCAUGUUUUGAGCCUUCAGCAUAAAACCAAAAUUCCUUUCUAUCGGACAAAAAAUAAAAUAUAAAAAAAUCACUAAUAACUCAACCAUUUUAUGUUGCUCAUAUUAUAAAAUGUAGGAUUUAACUGACUUCCAUCAUUGAAAAUGAAUUAAUAUAACUUUACAAUACUAGUAUAUUCAGCUUUUGACAUGGCUGAAACUGAUCUUGGAAUCAAAAAUCACAUACACAAGUAGAUAUUUAAUAGAAGAGGAUCCAAAAUCUCUUCCAUUGAUUAAUGUAUAAAUGAAUUAAUCAAAAAAAUUUGAGAUAAUUAUGGGGAGAUGAACCUUGUACCUCUGAGUUUCUUAUUCUUCUUGAACAGAGCAAUGAGCAUAAAGUGUUGAGCACCCAGGAAUCUCCCUUCCUCCACAGGCAAAGUCUAAACAAUCUAUCCUUUCUUCAUAGUCCACUUCCUUGCAAAAGUCAAAACAUGAAGAAAAUAUCAUCAAAAUUGAGACAGAAAUAAGUGCAUCAACUAUCUCAAGAAGAGAUUUAUGCCUACUGCUUACCUUUUGAAGAAGUUCACUUGGUUAGAGCACAUUUUACAUGGACGCCCAAUCACUGCAAGCUGCUGAACCAAAGGAGAGUUCAAACAUCUAAAAAAUUUGACAAACUCAAGUAUCAUAAAAUACUUCAUAUGAAUUCUAAAUGAUCUCAUAUCUAAAAAACAUUGGCAUAAAAUUAUUGUUGUUUACCUUACAUGUUUCUUCCAUGGUCAUAAUCGAAACUUUGUUUGUCAUAAGAAAUCUUCUAUAUAUAUAUAUAUAUAUAUAUAUAUAUAUAUCAAUUUAAUAAUUUUUAAAAAUUAGCAAUUAUAAAACUAUUUUGGUUCUCCAAAAAUUUAUGGGAAAGUAGGGAAAAAAACUAUAAACUUUUUCUCUUGUUUGAUUAUUUAUCAGAAAAUUGAGGGAAAAACAAAAAUCUAUGAGAAAUUUAUUUAACACUUUUGAGGAACCAAAAAUGUUUUAGAUGUUGUCAAAUCAAUAAUUUAAACGUGUUUAAUUCCAAUUAAAUGAGUUUAAUCAAACACAUGAAAUUGUGAAUAAAAUUAUUUAAAAGCAUUGAAAUUCAAGUCAUUAAAGUUGUCCAUAAAAUGUCGUAUAUUGAAGCAAGAAAAAAACAAAGCAAUUUGAAUGACUUGCUAAUAAAGCAGCUAACUAGAAUAUGCCCUAGAGUUGUUCAGUGCCCUCUAUAUAAGAAAUAAACAGAGAACACAAAAAAAAAAAAAAAAAAAAACCUAGAAACUACAAUAAGUGAAGUGAUAAUGUCAUCUAAUUAGUAAACCAAACCAAGUCAAUAAACUACAACUUCCUCUAGUAUAAAGGUCUUGAUACAUUAGAUAUUGAAUUUGUUGGAUUAAAAUCUCAUUUAUUGCACCUGGCAAGGUAGAAGUAGUAAUGCUCAUUUUUUAUUGUGACAGAUUAUAGAGAAAAUUAGACACUGGGAAAAUACCAAGCCAGGAGCCAUGUCAAGAGCUGCUUUCUUGUUAAAAAUUAAGUCCAAUUAGAAAAUUGCAGUAGCACGUAAGAGAAAUUGAAAGUGGUGUUGAGAAGAGAAAGAGGAAGAAUGAUGUGUUGGGAAUGAGAUGUAAUACCUUGUUUAUUACUCAGAUGGAUUGGUCAUCUAUAUCCACAUAGGGAAUGUGGGCAAUCUUGGGCCAAUCAUCUCCUUCCUCCUUCGAGUACCUUUGUGUUAGAUGUGGGCAAUCCCGCACAUACAGUCGUGAAAGGGUGUCAGGCAAUAGUCCUUCCGUUGGCAAAAUCGAUCGGAGCUUAGGGCAACUGUAGAUUUCUAGCUUUUCAAGAGAGGUGAGGGUUUGGAGAGACAGGGAGGCUAGGGAUUCCAGAUUCUGGAAUUCUAAAAGGGUAAGGGAGGAGAGAGUUGUAGGAAAAAUAAUCGAGUGGGGGUCAUCCGAAAAGGAAGUUGCAUCUGGAAACAUGCCACUAAUCAAGAGGUCUUUAAGAGAGGUGAGUCUGGAAAGGCCCCAUUGGGAUAGGGGGGUCUUGAUAUUCUCAGAGUGAGAGAUCUCGAGUGAUGUAAGACGAGUGAGCUUUUUUAUCUGAGGAAGCAACAAUUCCAGAUUUUCAAAAUCUUCAAUACGUAGAUCUGUGAGGGUGUUGAGGCAAUCUGGUAGGGUUUUGAGAUUAGGAUACCUCCUGAGGGUUAACGAUUGAAGUGAAUUAUUAGU
rnacentral:lncRNA from 1 species